UGAGUCACGCUUCUGAUUAUCUCUUGUCUCUCUCUUCCAAGGUACAACUUUAAAGCCAGGAAAUUAUGGAGUAUGAAGAUGAAGCCAACAAAUACAACACAUCCGAAAUUGAUUGGGGUGAGGAACCGCAUGGGAGGGAGGUGGAGCAUACGAAGACCAGUCAUGCUAUGGAGAAACUGAUUCUUAUAUUAGUUAUGGAAGUGCCCCAGCAUGUGAAGAAGAAGACUCACAGAUCGAAGAUGCUGCUUCCCAAAUCAGUCAUGGAGAUGAAUAUGAGAAUUCUGAAAGAGAUGACCAUGACGGAGAUUCAUGGAAGGGAGAGACUGAAUCCCAGCUCAGUCAAGGAGAGGGGGACCACGAAAGUGAGCAAGAUCAUAGAGAGUUCACUUAUGCAGGAGAUCAUGAUCAGUUCAUAGAACAAUACCAAAAACGUUGGUAUGAAGAAACUGAUUCUCAAAUCAGUUCAGAAGAUGGUGAUCCAUAUGAUGAUGAGCCUUGGAACGUGGGAGCUGAUCCAAAAGAAGGUUAUGUUGAUAAAUUGGAGAUUGAAGAACAGGUUCAAGAACCAAAUAAAGCAAACAUCAACUACACCAUGGAAGAUGAGUCUUGUGGUGAGCCAACAGAUGAUGAAGCAGCUUGUGAGCCACGCCACAUCUACUUUUCAGGUCAUGAUCAAGGACCAGAAGCUUACCUACAAUGGGAGAACGAAAUGGAAUACUGGAUGCGGUCCAACAACAUUCCUAAGGAGGAGAGACUAUCAUAUGCAAUUGACUCAUUUGUUGGAGAAGCUACCACAUGGUAGAGACAGGAAGAAGCUCUGAACUACUACCAUAAUCCAGUUCGCAGUUGGGGUGAUCUAAAGCAGCGUAUGUACAGAGAGUUCGUACAGAAGUUCCACAACCGCAACUACACUCCCAAGAAGCUUUUGUUCCAAGCAACUACAAAAAGUUGGAUAUCAAAACCACCGCUUGUCCCUAAGCACAAGCACACCUACUGUCCUGAGCCAAAGAAAGUGUUUCAAAACACAUUGGAGAAGAAUUCAAAUGCUGAGAAACCAGUGGUAACUACAGAAGUUAAACCAAAUUCAAACCCACCACUCAUAGCUCACAAGGGAAGCACAAAAUCGACACUUGAACCACAAGACAAAGCAAAGCAAUGUAAGUCUUCUAAAACUCUUAUGAUAGAUACCACAAUCUGUUAUAGAUGUCAUCAGAGAGGAAAUUUUGCUAAGACAUGCCCAUCUAGAGAAUUAGAAAUUAGUUCAUCAGUUGAACCAGAAAAAGAAGAAGCUAGAAAAAUAGAAAAAGAUGAGUUGCAUUUUAAAAUUUCCACUUCAGAUAUGAUUUGCUUGUCUUUGCCAAAGGUUUUUGAUGCAGGUUUAAAUCAUGGAGAGCAGCACUAUGAAGAGAUAGAUACGUGUCAGCCUACUCCUGAGAAAGAUGAAGUUGUUACCAACUUCACUCUGAUCCAACCAGAGCCACCAGAUAACAUGUUAACUCCAAAUGUCGUGGCAAUAAAGGAAACAGAACUAAACGAUAGUUCUACUCAGGUAAGUAGCACAGAUCUCUCAGUUAUUUCUGAUAAUUCUAGUCUGUGAUAAUGAAUAUUUUAUAUCCAGAGACAUGUGAGAAAGAACCCAUCUCUUAUUUUAAACAACAAAACUGUGAAGAACAUGAUGCUUUGCAAAAAGUUAAUGAAAUGGUUAAAACUAGAUCAUGUUUCUGUGUUUCUUGUACUACCAUGACUGCCAUAACGCACUUGUCUUCUGUCAAAAGUGUCAAAGAUCUCGCAGGUACAGAAGAGAUGUUACAAAAAUCCAAACCGCCAAGCUUUAGUGGAGACACACCACGUGAAUAUGAAGUUUUCACCAAGACGACUACGUUGCUGCCAAAGGAAAUCAACAACAAACCUUGGAGAGGAGUCAUUGCCUCUUUACUGAUCAAAGAAGAACCACCAGACAUUCCACACCAAUCCCACCUGAACCGGAAUGGAGAAAUGAUCCAAGGUAAGUUUCUAGACUCACAUCUUUACCAUGAUACUAACUUGCUCUAUCUUUGUGCAGAUGAAUUAGUUUCGAGGACGAAACUUUUUCAAGAGGGAGGGUAUGAUGCGGACAUCAACCCAUCAAGACGUCUCAUGGUGAUCUCAACACUUGGAAGAGUUAGGUGCAACGGACAUGAGAGUCUAGCUAAGGGUAAAGGAGAGACGAUCUCCCUUGUUGAACAAGUUAAUGGCGAAGGGGAGAGGACUGUCAUUAACUUGUUCUCUCUAGACUCCUAUCCCAUCACCAGUAAGCCAUUAGAUCACUCAAUCUUAACCGGACCAAACCAAAGAGGAGGCAACCAAUCUAUUGAAGAUACUGUUCAACCCAAAAAGAUCCACGAGCAUUGUCCAGGUCAAAUGAAGUCCAAUAAUAAGUGUUCCAGCCCAACUGCCACUUGGAUCACAUUCUUAGCUCAACCAGAACACGCCUCGAAGUGGAAUCAGUCCAAUUGGAGUUCAGAUGAAGGAGAUAUUGAGUUUAUAAAUCGGGUGAUCCUCUACUUACCCGAUUUGGACAUAUGCGCCUUAAUUGGAGAAUUCCGACUAAACCAGGAGGAAUUAAGCUAUCAACCGACUUGGUCUGGAAUCUUGACUCAUCAGAGAAUCACAGAGAAUUUGAUUCAGACCGAGAUCGAUUCUGGUUUAGGAGAUAUCCAAAUUCUAACCCGAUGGAUCCUCCACUUGCCUUAUUUGCAACCUUCUAGGUUUUGGAGUCUUCAGACAUAUCUUUGGCGACCAGGAGACAUUCUAACUCAACCAGAGGCUCUACUAGGCGUCCUUACUUCCACCAAAACGCAUAGGAUCAAUUCGAGAUGCACAUGGACUGACCUUCCUUAUUUAGAUCCAAGUGCAUUCAACAUGUUCACACUUGGUGUCAUAACUCUCCAACGGCUAUAUCCUUGCUGCUUCUACGACUUUAGCAUACAUUCAGCGAACCUGGACGUCCCAAGACAUCACUUUAUGCACCCAAGUUGUCAAGACUCAAGCUCAGCUCCAUUUACCUUAUUUGGCCAAGAUUUGGUCAUUAUGACUUAAACGGCUAGUUUUGCAUUUAGUUUGUGAUUUCUUUCUUGCUUUAGCUUUUUAGAACGUUGGUUUAGACCUGUGUAGAGCAUUAUAUAAGCUCAUCUUUGUCUUCAUUGUAAAUCACCAUUCAAUCUUAAUUAAUAAAGCAUUUUCGUUUUCUUCAAAAAGAGUUCUUUGUAAGAGUUGUUUCUUUUGAAUAUUGUGUGUGAUUCACAUUGUUCAUUAGAAUUCUUGGAUUAAACUAUUUGUGUGAUUCAAGUAGUUUGUUGCAUCACCUGAUCGAGAGAGUCUAUCAUCAUCAGAAUGAGUGAGUCAAUCAAAUCCACCACCUUCCAUCCCACCUUCAUAUCCACUUCCGCACAAAGCUUGUUAGCUUUUGAUUACCAAGAGAUCACUAAGCAUCGGUGUGAUUCCGUGCCUACAUCACUAGCUCUUAACAUUUAUUAAAGGUUUCAGUGGUUCUCAUCAAAAGGAUAUUAAACAAGGCAUUCAAGGUUAGGUAUCAAAAAGGCUUUUUAAUGGUAAGGCUGAUGUGUUUAGGGUUACCUUUUUCUGGAGAGACAUGACAUUAUGCAAAACAGCAAGAGAGGAUGGAACUGUAAAUGCCCCCACAGUUUCAGUCAUAUUAUUCUUGCUUCAAGAUUUCUGAUCUCCUUUCUUCAGGUUCUCCUUAUUCCCCCAGACUUAGAUUUUUGUCCAAAUUGUGAAUCCAUGACUCCUUAAGUAAAUACCUAUUGCCUUGGCUCAAGUGAUUUCGGCUUCUAAGACUCUUUAGGCUUUUAGUUUCCUUCCUUUCUUUCUUUUUCUCCUUUUUUCGUUUUAUUUUUUUUUGAAAGGGGAAACAGCCUUUUGACUUGGAGUCUUAGGGUGCACGAAAAUUAUCUUUAAGAAUGAGUUUUUCUGAGGCAUCAUAAGAUUUCUGGCACACUCCCUUCUGGUCUCUUUCAGUCUUUCUCUUGAGUGACUGAAAACUAUGUUGUUCCUCCCUCUCCGGCGUUUUUGCACAUAUCUGUCGAUAUAAACUUAAGAGAGAAUGCAUGAGGUUUGAACACGAAGGUUUGGGCUAAGGGUUUGGUACCAGCUAAAGAUGAACUGGCCAUCUAGGACAACAAAGAGUGGUAACAAUAAGGAAAAGAUGUCCUAGAUGUAUAUCAUGAUGCUUAUUUUUAAAAAACCAUUGAUGAGAAAAUUAGAUGUCAAGAUUAAGUCCAAGUAAAAUGAGCUAGUAUAUCCUGUCAGAAAAGAUCUUCAUGAAUAGAACUCCUCUGGUGGAAUUUAGUAGUGUAAGUACUCUAGCUACCGCCUAGUCUAGUACUAAACCUUGAAAGAGCUUUUAUGAGUGAUUGAUGUAGAAGCAAACAGGUUGGUUAUCAUCAUCGAUUUUGUCAUUAUUCCCUCAAAAUGUUCUUGACCCUUGAAAACACUUUUUUGAAACUCAAAAGACUUUGAAAAGGUUUAAGAAAAUCGAAAAUUUUUAAAGAAAAUGCAGAAUGCAAUGACUCAUGCAAGAAAAGAUGGUUAGAAAGGGAUGAAAUCCUCCCCCAGACUUAAAUCACACUGUCGCCAGUGUGAAAUAAAUUAGGCAAAGAUGAGAAAUAGAGAAUUUAAAGAUUAAAAAGAUUAAGGAAAAGAAAACUUACCUGUGUUGGUGAUGGAUUGUGAUGUGGUUGUGGUGGUGUUGCUUGAUCAAACUUGGAUGCUAGGGAUCCAAAACUGAUUUGAACAAGGUGGUGGUGGUGGUGAAAGUGGCCAAGGAUGAAAUGGAGGUGGCGAAGGGUAGAUGGAAGUGGCCAAGGUGGAACAGAUGUGGCCAAGGGUGGAUGGAAGUGGCCAAGGUGGCCGGCUGUGCUGGCUGCGGAUGAAGACAUCCUGGCCGCGGUAGGACGCGCGCCGGCCCGGUUGAGGACGUCGCGGCCGCAGUAAAACACCUGCUGGCCACGGCCGAACCUCCUUUGGCUGCGGUCAGCUCCUUUUCUUCCCUUUUUUUUUAUUUUUUUAUGGCAUACUAAGGCCUGUCUAAAAUAAGAAAAACAAAACUUUUAAUUGAAAAAGAAAGCUUAAACAAAAACAAAUAAGUACCUAAAAUGGCUUGCCUCCCAUCAAGCGCUUUGGUUUAUAGUCCUUAGCUAGACUUUGCAAAGAAAAAGACUUAGUUCAAAUAGGAUAUUGUCUUAAGACAAGUCCUUUUCGAAAUCCUCCUGUUCUGUCUGGCAGGUUCUUCAUCACUCCAGAGUUCUUCUGGUUCAAAUGCCUGGGCUAUUUGCUCUCCUCUCUUGCUCUUAAGUGGUGUAGCUUCAUAGAAGAUGUCCUUGUCGAUAUUGGCAAAGGAAACUCGCCUGUUGGGCCAAUCCAUGAUGGCUCCAGCAGUUGCUAAGAAAGGCCAUCCAAGAAUAACUGGAUAAGAGUCAUCUUUGGUCUUCACUAUGUAUAAAUCGACAGGUGCAAUGCAAUUUCCAAUCCUUAGAGGAAUGUCUCGGGCUAUCCCUCUUGGUGUUGCACUUGAAUCAUCUGCUAAGCUAAUCUUUGUCCUGAUACUUGAGAUGUGCUUUAUGCCAAGUCUCAAAGAUGUGCUUAAUGCCAUGCUCUUGUGCUGCUUGCUCAGGCGAAAUUCAAUCUCUUGAAGUUCACCAUCUGUCUUUCCUCUUUACCAUGAAGCGAUUUCAUUGGACUCCUUGAUCUCUAACUUAGCAGCCUUGGCAUCGAUGGAUCCUUGAAGGAUAUCAUACUUCUGUCUUGGCUGCACUUCCUCAAACUUCCUUUUUAGGGCAGCAAUGUCUCGAGAGUGCAGAUCUUCUAGCGAUUUCACAUGGUGAGUGAGGUCAUCGAUCCUCUUGUACAGGGUAGCUUCCGUAACAACUUGAAAAUCAAGGUAUUGAUUCAGCAUAGAUCCUAAUCGAUUUAGUUGGGGCCUAAAUCGAUCAGCUUCAGCGUUUUGGUGCAGAAUCUGAUGAGGAAGAGGAUGAGAUGGUCGAUGGUUUACCAAGUGUGGAGAAUAUGGCUCAUCUCGGUGGUGUGGAGGUUGCGAGUCUCCAUGGUGGUGGUUCGGAUUAGGGUUCCAAAGAUGAUGAUAAAAAUCACGCCUGGAGGGUGAUUCAGAUGCGCAAGGACCUUCACACAGGUCGCAGGACCUUCGCUCGGGAUUAGGGUUUCUCCUUGAAUGAUCCAUGCUUCAAAGGUUUCUGAAACUAGGGCAAACAGAAGAAAGAAUAAGCAGAAAAAGAAAAAGUUAGGGUGUUUAUGAAUUUGGUGUACUUCCUAUAUUACUUUGGCAGAAACUCGACAUAUAUAUAGUCGUCUGCGGCUUCAGCCUCCCAGGUUUAGACCUCCAGCAACUUCAUGCCUCCCCGACAACGGCGCCAAAAAACUUGAUGAGCUUGCAGGCCUAGGGUUGUUUUUUAACAAGCCUGUUGGUCCUCCUUAAGUUUUAAAUUUAUAAAACCCUAGUGUCUGCAAAUGCACAGAUGUAUGUUGUAGGACUUAGGGUGUCGAUCCACAGGGAGGAUGUCUAAUCUGCAAGAAACAACAAACUGCAAAGUAAGCAAACUCAUAAACCAAUAAAAGAUUUGGGGUUUUUGGUUAGGAUCCUAAACUAAAGCUAAUCUAAUAUUCACAAGAAAUGCAAUGCAUGAUGAAUUGUUAAAAGAACAUCUCAAGCAUAUCGACUCAAACUAAAGACUCUUGAACUCAUAGGUGGCGAUUUAGACUUCUCCGGUUUACUCUAAUCGAUGUAUGGUGGCAUUUCCAAUUAGCUUCCGAGCAAUUUAUCUUCAUCUGUUUCUGGGAAUCUGCAUUGAACUAGAAUAGACACAUGUAUGAUUAACCAACUGUCGUCACCUUAAUCAACUAAUCUCUUAGAUUUAGCAAUUAACUCUCGCUCUCAUGCUAAACUUAAGAUCAUGCAUUGAACAUUGAAUUCGUCUGCUCACAUCUUCUCUAUAGGUAGCUUUCGACUCCUAUAGCGACUAUGUUCUUCUGAAACUAGGUACGGAUGAUCUGAUACAGCACUCUCAUGGCUUUGAUCAAUCCUAGGCUCAGAGAAUAGGUCAUGAAUCUACUCUCAUGCUUUACGAAUAACUUAGAAGAGAUGAGAUCCAGAAUAUGGUUAAGAAUAAUAGAAAUCCUAAUCGAUAUAUAUGCUUGUCGAUAUCUUCAAACAACUUGACUCUCUGGGACUAAUCUACAUGAUGCAAUGAAUGAUGAAAGACAUAGAAAAAUGCAAAAGAAUGAAACAGAAAAGUUAAUAAGAUAAAAAGGGGGAAGAACAAUGGAUCUGGGGAAGAAUCCCCAUCUCCAUUGCCUAACCCUAGAAAAACAAAUUUUGGUGGCUCAAAAUCUCAUUACAGAAGCACACACCCGUUUAGGACUGCUAAACAACUUGAUGGGCUUCCAUUUCACAUGGUGGAUGGAAGUGGCCAAGGUGGCCGGCUGUGCUGGCUGCGGAUGAAGACAUCCUGGCCGCGGUAGGACGCGCGCCGGCCCGGUUGAGGACGUCGCGGCCGCAGUAAAACACCUGCUGGCCACGGCCGAACCUCCUUUGGCUGCGGUCAGCUCCUUUUCUUCCCUUUUUUUUAUUUUUUUAUGGCAUACUAAGGCCUGUCUAAAAUAAGAAAAACAAAACUUUUAAUUGAAAAAGAAAGCUUAAAAAAAAACAAAUAAGUACCUAAAAUGGCUUGCCUCCCAUCAAGCGCUUUGGUUUAUAGUCCUUAGCUAGACUUUGCAAAGAAAAAGACUUAGUUCAAAUAGGAUAUUGUCUUAAGACAAGUCCUUUUCGAAAUCCUCCUGUUCUGUCUAGCAGGUUCUUCAUCACUCCAGAGUUCUUCUGGUUCAAAUGCCUGGGCUAUUUGCUCUCCUCUCUUGCUCUUAAGUGGUGUAGCUUCAUAGAAGAUGUCCUUGUCGAUAUUGGCAAAGGAAACUCGCCUGUUGAGCCAAUCCAUGAUGGCUCCAGCAGUUGCUAAGAAAGGCCAUCCAAGAAUAACUGGAUAAGAGUCAUCUUUGGUCUUCACUAUGUAUAAAUCGACAGGUGCAAUGCAAUUUCCAAUCCUUAGAGGAAUGUCUCGGGCUAUCCCUCUUGGUGUUGCACUUGAAUCAUCUGCUAAGCUAAUCUUUGUCCUGAUACUUGAGAUCUGCUUUAUGCCAAGUCUCAAAGAUGUGCUUAAUGCCAUGCUCUUGUGCUGCUUGCUCAGGCGAAAUUCAAUCUCUUGAAGUUCACCAUCUGUCUUUCCUCUUUACCAUGAAGCGAUUUCAUUGGACUCCUUGAUCUCUAACUUAGCAGCCUUGGCAUCGAUGGAUCCUUGAAGGAUAUCAUACUUCUGUCUUGGCUGCACUUCCUCAAACUUUCUUUUUAGGGCAGCAAUGUCUCGAGAGUGCAGAUCUUCUAGCGAUUUCACAUGGUGAGUGAGGUCAUCGAUCCUCUUGUACAGGGUAGCUUCCGUAACAACUUGAAAAUCAAGGUAUUGAUUCAGCAUAGAUCCUAAUCGAUUUAGUUGGGGCCUAAAUCGAUCAGCUUCAGCGUUUUGGUGCAGAAUUUGAUGAGGAAGAGGAUGAGAUGGUCGAUGGUUCACCAAGUGUGGCGAAUAUGGCUCAUCUCGGUGGUGUGGAGGUUGCGAGUCUCCAUGGUGGUGGUUCGGAUUAGGGUUCCAAAGAUGAUGAUAAAAAUCACGCCUGAGGGUGAUUCACAUGCGCAAGGACCUUCACACAGGUCGCAGGACCUUCGCUCGGGAUUAGGGUUUCUCCUUGAAUGAUCCAUGCUUCAAAGGUUUCUGAAACUAGGGCAAACAGAAGAAAGAAUAAGCAGAAAAAGAAAAAGUUAGGGUGUUUAUGAAUUUGGUGUACUUCCUAUGUUACUUUAGCAGAAACUCGACAUAUAUAUAGUCGUCUGCGGCUUCAGCCUCCCAGGUUUAGACCUCCAGCAACUUCAUGCCUCCCCGACAACGGCGCCAAAAAACUUGAUGGGCUUGCAGGCCUAGGGUUGUUUUUUAACAAGCCUGUUGGUCCUCCUUAAGUUUUAAAUUUAUAAAACCCUAGUGUCUGCAAAUGCACAGAUGUAUGUUGUAGGACUUAGGGUGUCGAUCCACAGGGAGGAUGUCUAAUCUGCAAGAAACAACAAACUGCAAAGUAAGCAAACUCAUAAACCAAUAAAAGAUUUGGGGUUUUUGGUUAGGAUCCUAAACUAAAGCUAAUCUAAUAUUCACAAGAAAUGCAAUGCAUGAUGAAUUGUUAAAAGAACAUCUCAAGCAUAUCGACUCAAACUAAAGACUCUUGAACUCAUAGGUGGCGAUUUAGACUUCUCCGGUUUACUCUAAUCGAUGUAUGGUGGCAUUUCCAAUUAGCUUCCGAGCAAUUUAUCUUCAUCUGUUUCUGGGAAUCUGCAUUGAACUAGAAUAGACACAUGUAUGAUUAACCAACUGUCGUCACCUUAAUCAACUAAUCUCUUAGAUUUAGCAAUUAACUCUCGCUCUCAUGCUAAACUUAAGAUCAUGCAUUGAACAUUGAAUUCGUCUGCUCACAUCUUCUCUAUAGGUAGCUUUCGACUCCUAUAGCGACUAUGUUCUUCUGAAACUAGGUACGGAUGAUCUGAUACAGCACUCUCAUGGCUUUGAUCAAUCCUAGGCUCAGAGAAUAGGUCAUGAAUCUACUCUCAUGCUUUACGAAUAACUUAGAAGAGAUGAGAUCCAGAAUAUGGCUAAGAAUAAUAGAAAUCCUAAUCGAUAUAUAUGCUUGUCGAUAUCUUCAAACAACUUGACUCUCUGGGACUAAUCUACAUGAUGCAAUGAAUGAUGAAAGACAUAGAAAAAUGCAAAAGAAUGAAACAGAAAAGUUAAUAAGAUAAAAAGGGGGAAGAACCAUGGAUCUGGGGAAGAAUCCCUGAUAUAUUCAUAAAUUGCAUCAUUAGGUGUACAUAUUUUAGUCCAAAUCAUGUCUUAUCUUAUGCAUUUUAGGUCUUUAAGCAUUGUUUUAGGACUUAGGAGAUUACAUUAGGUCCAAGAGAGUUUUGCAUGUUUUGGAGUGUUAAACAGGUGCUUUUGGAGCCAAUUUGGAGUGGAGGAUGUGAUUCAGAUGAAGAAAUGGAGUUGGAAUGAUCAAAAAUGGUAAAAAGGAGCAAUUUUGGGUUUCUCGGCAAAAUGCUGUACUGAAAGUCGAAGAUCCUCGGCCAAAAUCCUUCCCGCGGGUAGCUUUCUCGGCCAAAAACACGUACCGCGGUCAAGUCUCUCGGCCAAAAAUCCCGGGUGCAGAUACAUUUCCGAAAUCGCGUCACCGGAAGAUCUUGCCGGCCGAUUCAGCUGUCGGAGUCUUCAUAAAAGUUGGAGAUAACUGAGUCAAGAGUUCAGAAUAGUUGGAAUCAAAGCAUUUGGCCCACGGAUCUGAAAGAUAUGGUAAUCUGAAGACAGACCUCUCUCGCAUCCAUUCCGGAGCAAUCCGAUACUCCUGAAUGAUCGCCUGUCCGGGGAACCUUCCGGUCCGAUUCAGUUGUCGGGGGCUUCAUCAAAGUUGGAGACGAUUGGAUCAUGGUUCCAUAGCAAGUGGAAUAAUGGAAUUCGGACGCGUGAGCAGAAAGUUGAGCUCGUCGGAAGAAACCCCUGUCUCGCUGCCGUCUUGGACCGACCCGAUGAGCUCCGAAGAAUGCGAAGGGCGGCGCACUUCCAGGCAGAUUCAGUUUCCGGGGUCUUCAUAAGAAUCAGAGAUGUUUGAGUCCUCUUUCCAGAACGUCCAAGAUCAUCCAAUUCAAAUUUAUGAGCAAGAAGUUAACGUCUCCGGAAUGGACACAUGUCUAGACGCCUUUCUCUGAUCGUGUAAAUGCAUUGCGAAGAUGAGCCCUCCAGGAAGCCUUCCACUUCCCAAGCGCCGAUAGUUUCUUCACCAAAGAUCGAGCUGAAUGAGUUAUCUUUCUCAUGGAACUGGUUUCAGGUCAUUUGGAGUUACGAGCUGAAAGUUACACUGAACAGAAGAGAAGCUGCUCAAUUCGGGUUUUAAGAGAUGCGACUGUAAGCUAAGUGUUGUGUCCUACCUCGGCGUGAAUACCUCGGCAUGUAUGCCGAGGAGGCAUGUUUACGAAGCCUUGGGACUAUACCUCGAGGUAGGACUUCGGUCUUUCAACGCCGAGGCUCCCUUGAUCACCAAAAUGAUCCCCAAACGACUAAGUGUUGAAGCAGACCUUGGUGUGAACCCUUCAGCAUGUUAUGCCGAGCUCCUAUGUUACACAAACCUCGGGUACCAGGCACCUCGGCAUGUAUGCCGAGGUCCUCAUCUCUCCAACCCAGAUCACAAACAAAUCCUCUUCACGUUUCAAAGCUUUAACCGGAUCAAAUGCCAAGUCUCAUGCAUGUUCUUCAAGUGUUCAUCAAAGUUUCAACCCAGCACAUGACCCCCUGGUGUAUGGCCCUCGGUGUGAGACUUCUUCAGAUGGCGAGGGGUGGCUCCAGCAACCCAGAAAGGGCGGGUCAGUACCCAGUUUUUCCUGGGCUGACCCGGCCCACACCCCUUUAUAUAAAUAGUUUUUAGAGACUAAAACCCUAGUUAUGCUUUAUCUUAUCCUCUAAUCUGCCUCUUUUUGUUUUCUCUCUGCUUCUUAGUGUAAAAACGAGUUUUAUCAAGAGAUAUCUAGCAGAUUUAAUCAUCUUAAAGCUGUUUCUUAUCAUCUAAUCAUCUCAUCUCUGCUUCUAAUCAUGAUUAACACCACCUCUUGCAAAGGAAAUGGUGUGUUAAUCAUGAUUAGUGAGUAGUUAUCUUUUAAGCUUCUAGGUGUGUAGAUUAGGGUGCUUAGAUGAUCGGUUUAUGAUGUUUAGGUUCUAGAUUCUCAUCUCCUUUCCUUAGUUAGCUGCUCUUAAUGCUAGAUCUUUGCACAUCACUCUGAUCUAGACCUUAGUCAUUUCUCCACCCACAAGGUGUUUGAUGAAAUGUCUGAAUGAGCUAAGCUAAGGGUUUAUGCCUUUUUCAUCAUGGGAAUGAUUUGUUAAAUGCAUGAAUGACAUAUUAGAACUGUUUCUUAAUGCUCACUGAUUCAUAUUUCACAAAUGAUGAUUUGGUUUGAAAGUGGAUUAGUGUAGAGAUUAAUGCCUUCAUGAGAUGAUUAGUCUAAAUUUGAGUUCUAAGUUAAUUGGUUUUGAGAUCAUGUGAUUGCUUGUUGCUGCUUUCUGUGUAAGAUUCGGUCUCCUUGAAAUAGAAACCGUUUGGUCAUUAUUAGACUUGAUACUUUAUGCUUGUUGAUUGCUUGAUCUUGCUUAAGGUGAAUUAAUCUUGAUUAAGUGAUUUACAAAGAGUUUAUUGUCAUGGGAAUGAAUUAAUCUGCUUUUGAAGUCUAGACUAAAGAGUAACUUGCAUUGCAUUAUUGUUCUUAGCAUCAUGAAUAAAUCUCUAAAGCACCCUAAUCAAUGAUCACAUCUAGAGGUUUAGCUUUCUCUUUGUUUUGAAUCUGAGUCUUUGUUUUGUUGUCUUGUUGCUUGUUCUUAAAUUACUGCUUGUUUUUUUGUUUACUUUAUAUUUUAGAUCACCUUGUUACCAACUCAUCCGCUUGUUAGACUUGAAUUAAGAUAGCUCCUCAUAGUUCUAGUGUCUAGAAUCUCUCCAUUUGGAUUGAUACCUCAAGUGCUACAAUGACAUGAGUAGUUGAGGAAUUGAUCAAGGAUUGAAAAAUUCCUGCUAUCAAUUUGGCGCCGUUGCCAAUUGGAGAGUUCAUUCUAGCAUUAGAACUUUGGAUCUUCUUGAGAUCAAGUCAUUGUUUUCUUUUGUUUUACUAAGCUUUUAUUUUCACCAUGUUAAUGUAUAUCACUAAGAGCAUGCAUCUCUUUGAGAUGAUGAAUUUUCUCUUUUUCAUUGUUACUAACUUGUCUUCCUUGAUUCUCUUGAGCUUUGAAAGGUACCAAAUUCACAAGAAGAGAAAUGGAAAGACACGUUCUAUUGAGCUGUUGGAGAUGGACGUCCACAAGAGCAUUAUUCCAGUCCCAAAACCGCAACAACAGCCACAACCUCCAGCACUGACCCAAGCUCCAAAGAAAACGCCAACAGUUGGAAGCUGUGACACUCCUUGUAGUCAUGGAAAGAGGUAUGGCAUCCACCCUCCUCCAAUUGAAGCUGCGGCCUAUGAGAUCAAAGCAAGCUUGGUUAAGUUGAUUCAAGAAACUAAGUUCUUGGGGUCUGGUAUGGAGAAUCCAUAUGAUCAUUUGGACUGCUUUGAGAGGUUGUGUGACACAUUUAGGACUGGAGGAGUGCCCCACGACAGUAUCAAGCUCAUCUUGUUUCCAUUUUCACUUGGAGAAAAGGCAAGCAAAUGGGAGAGAGCAUUACCAUCCCACUUGGUAAAUUCUUGGUAUGAUUGCAAGAUGAUCUUCCUCCAAAGGUUUUAUCCCAUACAAAGGACUAUCCAAGCUAGGAAAGACAUCUUGGGCUUCAAACAAAGAAUCCAUGAGACCUUUGAUGAAGCAUGGGAGAGACUUAAAGGCUACACUAGAGAUUGUCCCCAUCAUGGGUUCCAACAAGAAGCUAUUCUUAGUAUCUUCUAUUGGGGAGUUGAUAGAGAGCAUAAAUGGACAUUGGAUGCAGCUAGCAAUGGGCGUUUUGCGACUCUUACCAUAGAACAAGGAGAGUUACUUGUUGAGAAUUUGGCCAAGAGCAAUGAAAGAUACAAAGAGCUUGAUACUGAAUAUUGUCAAGAUGGUAAAACUGAGGUGGAGCUUCGUUUUCAGCAAGAGUCUGUUCCACAAGAGCAAGCUGCUUCAAAGACUCAAGAAAUGGAGCUGAACAGCAUGUUCCAACAACUUCUGAAGGGACAAGAUGAGCUCACAACAAGAGUAAAGCGUUCAUACAAUGAUCUCCACAACAAAAUAGAGAGUUUAACCUCUCAAGUGAAUCACAUGGAGAGCAAAGAUCAUGAAGCUGCUGUAAAGGAGAUAGAACGUGUACUCUUUUGUCCACAAGAAGUCAUUGCUCUUAGAGGUCUUUCUUCACAAGACAAUGAGGACAUUGAGCAACUCAGUGGAGAGGUGACCCUUGGAACUGAAGUUUUCGCUAUAAAAGACAUCCAUGGAGCUUCUAGAGACAAAGUUCAGAUUACUGCUGAAGAAAAGGCCGAACAACAGCUUCAGAAAGAAGAAAAAGCUAUUGAACCGCCAGCUUAUGUGUCUGUAAGUCUCUGUGAUGAGUUUCAAAACUUUGAGAUGACGUAUGUGGGGACUUGUGGAAUGAAACAGAAGGAUCAGCCGUUUGCUGCUUGUGAGAAAAAGAAAGAACACCAAAGAGAGCUUGAUCUUGAGUUCAUUGAUGGUGAGAAGUUCUUUAGUGAUGAUGAGGAUUGCUUGGAAUCUCCACCUCCUACACCAGGUGAGAAAGAGAUCAGCAGCAACAAAAGCAAUGGUUCAGAGUCCCAAGACAAGCGCCCAACAAGCAUUAAACCAUUCACUCUUGGGUCUUCUUCUUCUCAAGUCUUAGCUCUCACUCCAUGGAAGUUUGAUGGUGGAGCUGUGGAAUACAAAGUUAAAGGCAAUGUGAGAUCAAGACCAUUUGCCAAAGUCAGAGCUAUCCUCACACAAGAACUCAUAGACAAGGGAUCUGGUGGUGUCCAAGAGCUGAUGAACAAGGACCUCAUGCUUGAAUUCAUGGACAUGACAAGGAGCAUCAAAGCUCCUCCUCUCCCUCAUUAAGAAAGGUUUUACAAAGUCAAACUUAGUGACUUUAAACAAAGUGCUCUUGGGAGACACCCCAAGCUUAUCCUUGUACAUAUAUCUUUUUAAUCUCUUCUUUAGUCUUUCAGAACGUUUUGAUGGGUUUGCUAAGUGAUCUCAGAUUCUAGAAAGCGUUCUUGCUCAAUGGUUUGAAGGAACAAGUGCAGAGAGGAGCUUAAAGGUGGCGGCCUUAUGAUUCAAAGGAGCAGUGAACCCGACACCUCGGCCAAGCACCUCGAGAUGAUCAUUACCGAGGUCUCAUGUUUGAUCUUCACGGAAUAAAGUGCUGUGAGAAGCCUUGGAGAGCCAAAGCCGAGGUGUUCUUGAGCUAAUACCGAGGUGCCCUUGCCACUUACACAGAAACUUGUCCACCUCGGUAUAGAAGCCUCGGCAUGGCUAGGCAGAGGGGUCCCUAAACGAGCAUGAACAAAAAGGGACGCUUGAGAGACUUGAGUCCAAGCAGAGGGUUCAAAGCACCAGCAUCCUCCUCCAUGUCCAAUACCUCCAUUCCAUCAUGAACAAGUCUGGUAACUCUCCAAACUCAUUGUACAUAUGCAUCUAGUUCUUAAUUUUUCAUUUUGCAUUUUUCUUGCUUUUUACUUUCACUUCUCUCUUAUGCUUUUAUAACACAGAGGACUGUGUUAUUUAAGUGUGGGGGAGGAGUUUAGUGUUUACUAAUCAUGUUUUCUUUGAUCUUAUUUUCCACUUUGAGUCUUGAGUCUCAUGUAGUUGCAUCUAAUCAGAAAAUUUUCACAAAAAAAAAUGUUCAUUCUAGUUGCAUUCACAUUUUUAGGAUCGAGUCUAGUUGCAUCAUAUAGGUUACAUCUUGCUGGGAGUAAUGAUAGGUUUUCUAAGAGAGUACAUCACUUUGAGAACUUGAACUGAAUAUGCUUGUGAAUCUUUUUUUUGUGCUUGCAAAGUCUGAAAUGAUUUGAAUCUGAGAAGCAAGUUUGAAUUGAACUCAACUCUAAUUAAGUGAGAACCUGAACUUGACUUGAAAAUAUCUUGUGAUGCAUUGUUUGAAUAUGCUUGUGGAUACCAACAUACAUACUUGAGCUAGAACCAUUGUUUUUACCGCCCUUUUUCCUUAGCUCAAGUAGCUGAAUCCACAUCAUGGAUCAGUUCCCUCACCUUGAACCCAUCCUUCUUUCAAGCCAAUGUUUGUGUGUGAAUUGAAAGGCCACCUUGGAUCAAACUUAGCAGAAAGUGUUAGGUUUAGAGCGACAAGGGCAGGUCUCAUUGAGUGCUGUGUUCCAAUAUUGAGGAACUGAGAGUGUUGGCGAGGAAUAAGUGUGGGGGAAAAGACUUGUUGGUGAGUGAAAAAAGGUGAGAUGAGUGGAAAAGAGAAAGUGGAAAUAGCUAGGGGAAUGAAAGAAAAAGAAAUGAGUCUUGGAGUUUUGAGUUAAAGAAAGUGAGCUCUGGUGUCUUGAAAAGAAAGAGUCUAGCCCCUAAGUAAAAGAAAAAGAAAAGAAGCCAAAGAGCUCAAGUGUUUUGGAAAGAAAGAAAAAAAAAAAAAGAGGCUAGAGGUUGCAAAUAAAAAAAGAGCUAUGUAAAGUUUGAACUCCAAGACUUGAGAAUGAAAAUGAAAAGUAAGUCCCCUAGUGAGAGGAAAAUGAGUGUGAAAAGUGAGGUUCUUGAGAGAGUGAGCAGUGAGAAAGCUUUGAGUAGAGUGUGGGGUGUGAUGAGUCUUUGCCCCUGUAUGCAUAGGUUGCUUUUUACCUUUAGCAUUCUGCCAAAGUUUGAUCAUUCAUAGAGAGAUCCUUUUGCUGCAUUAAACCCGCUUGAACACUGAUGAGAUCAUUUUAAUCUCAUAGCCUCUCCCUAGCCAAGCCAGCUUGUUUAAACAUUGCAUCAUUUGAUUCACUUGAUAAAAGCUUAAUGAAUGUGAAAGAGUUGAGAAAGAGGAGAACUUGUGGAGAUUCCUUGUUGAGUUGAUAUAUAUCUGAGUAUGGCUUUGCAUUGCAUAAUUGAGCAUGAACUUGAAUUCUCAUUGUGAUCACUUCUCUCUAAAAGGAAAUAUGAACUCCCAAUGCAUUCAACCUCUCUCUCUCAUUUGUUCUUUUUGCUUGAGGACAAGCAAAGGAUAAGUGUGGGGGAGUUGAUAUAUUCAUAAAUUGCAUCAUUAGGUGUACAUAUUUUAGUCCAAAUCAUGUCUUAUCUCAUGCAUUUUAGGUCUUUAAGCAUUGUUUUAGGACUUAGGAGAUUACAUUAGGUCCAAGAGAGUUUUGCAUGUUUUGGAGUGUUAAACAGGUGCUUUUGGAGCCAAUUUGGAGUGGAGGAUGUGAUUCAGAUGAAGAAAUGGAGUUGGAAUGAUCAAAAAUGGUAAAAAGGAGCAAUUUUGGGUUUCUCGGCAAAAUGCUGUACUGAAAUUCGAAGAUCCUCGGCCAAAAUCCUUCCCGCGGGUAGCUUUCUCGGCCAAAAACACGUACCGCGGUCAAGUCUCUCGGCCAAAAAUCCCGGGUGCAGAUACAUUUCCGAAAUCGCGUCACCGGAAGAUCUUGCCGGCCGAUUCAGCUGUCGGAUUCUUCAUAAAAGUUGGAGAUAACUGAGUCAAGAGUUCAUAACAGUUGGAAUCAAAGCAUUUGGCCCACGGAUCUGAAAGAUAUGGUAAUCGGAAGACAGACCUCUCUCGCAUCCAUUCCGGAGCAAUCCGAUACUCCUGAAUGAUCGCCUGUCCGGGGAACCUUCCGGUCCGAUUCAGUUGUCGGGGGCUUCAUCAAAGUUGGAGAAGAUUGGAUCAUGGUUCCAUAGCAAGUAGAAUAAUGGAAUUCGGACGCGUGAGCAGAAAGUUGAGCUCCUCGGAAGAAACCCCUGUCUCGCUGCCGUCUUGGACCGACCCGAUGAGCUCCGAAGAAUGCGAAGGACGGCGCACUUCCAGGCAGAUUCAGUUUCCGGGGUCUUCAUAAGAAUCAGAGAUGUUUGAGUCCUCUUUCCAGAACGUCCAAGAUCAUCCAAUUCAAAUGUAUGAGCAAGAAGUUAACGUCUCCGGAAUGGACACAUGUCUAGACGCCUUUCUCUGAUCGUGUAAAUGCAUUGCGAAGAUGAGCCCUCCAGGAAGCCUUCCACUUCCCAAGCGCCGAUAGUUUCUUCACCAAAGAUCGAGAUGAAUGAGUUAUCUUUCUCAUGGAACUGGUUUCAGGUCAUUUGGAGUUACGAGCUGAAAGUUACACUGAACAGAAGAGAAGCUGCUCAAUUCGGGUUUUAAGAGAUGCGACUGUAAGCUAAGUGUUGUGUCCUACCUCGGCGUGAAUACCUCCGCAUGUUAUGCCGAGGAGGCAUGUUUACGAAGCCUUGGAACUAUACCUCGAGGUAGGACUUCGGUCUUUCAACGCCGAGGCUCCCUUGAUCACCAAAAUGAUCCCCAAACGACUAAGUGUUGAAGCAGACCUUGGUGUGAACCCUUCAGCAUGUUAUGCCGAGCUCCUAUGUUACACAAACCUCAGGUACCAGGCACCUCGGCAUGUAUGCCGAGGUCCUCAUCUCUCCAACCCAGAUCACAAACAAAUCCUCUUCACGUUUCAAAGCUUUAACCGGAUCAAAUGCCAAGUCUCAUGCAUGUUCUUCAAGUGUUCAUCAAAGUUUCAACCCAGCACAUGACCCCCUGGUGUAUGGCCCUCGGUGUGAGACUUCUUCAGAUGGCGAGGGGUGGCUCCAGCAACCCAGAAAGGGCGGGUCAGUACCCAGUUUGUCCUGGGCUGACCCGGCCCACACCCUUUUAUAUAAAUAGUUUUUAGAGACUAAAACCCUAGUUAUGCUUUAUGUUAUCCUCUAAUCUGCCUCUUUUUGUUUUCUCUCUGCUUCUUAGUGUAAAAACGAGUUUUAUCAAGAGAUAUCUAGCAGAUUUAAUCAUCUUAAAGCUGUUUCUUAUCAUCUAAUCAUCUCAUCUCUGCUUCUAAUCAUGAUUAACACCACCUCUUGCAUAGGAAAUGGUGUGUUAAUCAUGAUUAGUGAGUAGUUAUCUUUUAAGUUUCUAGGUGUGUAGAUUAGGGUGCUUAGAUGAUCGGUUUAUGAUGUUUAUGUUCUAGAUUCUCAUCUCCUUUCCUUAGUUAGCUGCUCUUAAUGCUAGAUCUUUGCACAUCACUCUGAUCUAGACCUUAGUCAUUCCUCCACCCACAAGGUGUUUGAUGAAAUGUCUGAAUGAGCUAAGCUAAGGGUUUAUGCCUUUUUCAUCAUGGGAAUGAUUUGUUAAAUGCAUGAAUGACAUAUUAGAACUGUUUCUUAAUGCUCACUGAUUCAUAUUUCACAAAUGAUGAUUUGGUUUGAAAGUGGAUUAGUGUAGAGAUUAAUGCCUUCAUGAGAGGAUUAGUCUAAAUUUGAGUUCUAAGUUAAUUGGUUUUGAGAUCAUGUGAUUGCUUGUUGCUGCUUUCUGUGUAAGAUUCGGUCUCCUUGAAAUAGAAACCGUUUGGUCAUUAUUAGACUUGAUACUUUAUGCUUGUUGAUUGCUUGAUCUUGCUCAAGGUGAAUUAAUCUUGAUUAAGUGAUUUACAAAGAGUUUAUUGUCAUGGGAAUGAAUUAAUCUGCUUUUGAAGUCUAGACUAAAGAGUAACUUGCAUUGCAUUAUUGUUCUUAGCAUCAUGAAUAAAUCUCUAAAGCACCCUAAUCAAUGAUCACAUCUAGAGGUUUAGCUUUCUCUUUGUUUUGAAUCUGAGUCUUUGUUUUGUUGUCUUGUUGCUUGUUCUUAAAUUACUGCUUGUUUUUUUGUUUACUUUAUAUUUUAGAUCACCUUGUUACCAACUCAUCCGCUUGUUAGACUUGAAUUAAGAUAGCUCCUCAUAGUUCUAGUGUCUAGAAUCUCUCCAUUUGGAUUGAUACCUCAAGUGCUACAAUGACAUGAGUAGUUGAGGAAUUGAUCAAGGAUUGAAAAAUUCCUGCUAUCAAUCCCCAUCUCCAUUGCCUAACCCUAGAAAAACAAAUUUUGGUGGCUCAAAAUCUCAUUACAGAAGCACACACCCGUUUAGGACUGCUAAACAAUGUAUUUAUAGGUCCUAAGGUCUUCCAGGUCUCAUUUAGGGCUUCUCUGAAGAGGAAUAGCGAAGUGGGCUUUGGUGUUGGGCCUUGUAGCUCUUCCUAAGGUCCACCAGGGGUGAGAGUCUUACAAGGCAGGUAAAACAUGUGUUUCCCGCAGGUGAGAGUCUUCCAGGACUGGUGAACUGGGUCAACUUGUUCUCCAUGUAUCUUUUGAUUGCACCGUUGGAUCUUUGUGAUGUAAAGUUCUGUGGAAAUCUGGUUGUCUCCUCUUGAUUGUCUCCAAAUUUGAGCUUGAUCGGACGGUGAAAAAGUCUUCAUUUGAGGCUGAACUUCUGACAGUCUGACUGUGAGCUAAAAAUGUGGAUUUCUUCCAUUUUGCCAUCAUAUUCCCUAAGUUUCCUGAAAAGAGCCUUGAAAUUAUAAAUACAUGGAAAUCAUAAUAAAAGUUCCUAAAACAGAGUAAAACCAUUGAAAAAGGAUUUGAAAUCAAUGGUGAAAAGUGGUCAAAAUCAGGUGUUAUCACAUAUUUAAUUAAAUUUGAAAAAUUGCAUUGUAGGACCAAUAAAACUUUUAUAUAAUUGAUCAAAAGAGUCUUUUUAUUUAAAAAACCUAUAUUACAAAAUAUAUCAAGUUUUAUGAAUCAAAUAUUAACUAAAUUAUAUACAAACAUUUUGGCACAGAGUUAAACAAUUCUUCAAGAUGUUCAUAUUGAAAAAGUGUUGUUGACUUUGCCAUAAAAUAAUUUGCUUUGUUACUCUAUCCAGUCGACUUGCUCGUCACUCUUCUACAUGUGUAUAUGUAUUUUAUUUUCCAUAUGAUAUUUAUGCGUAGCUCUUUUUUAAGAAAAUGUCAGCAUAUAUGGUCCAAACACAUACCAAUUUUUUAAAAACUUUUUUUUUAUCUUAAAUGGAGGACUGAUAGAAAAUUAAUUUGUUUUUGUUAAAGACACUUGUGAGUUCUCCAAUAUUCAUUAACUCCAAAAUCCUCCUAGAAGUUGCUUCUGUAGUUUCAUGAUAAUUAAUACAAAUUGAAUUUAAGUUCAGAUAGAAGGAUGUUUAGCUUGUAAAUCUAGAUUUAUAAAUUUAAUUUGGUUAUUUUGUGAAACAUAUUAUCCCACUAAUAUUUUUGAUCCAAGAAUUUAAUUAAAGUAUGAUGAUAUUUAAAUACACAUUUAAGAUAAAAAAUUCACUUACAAUAUAUUUAACAAGUUGUUCAACCGCAUAAAGAAAGUGGUUGGAAAGAUCACCACCCCAUUUUCAAAUUCCCAAAAUCAAACAUAAAAAAAUAUUAUGAAUUAGUUAUUAUGGUUGUUCAUUAUAAGACUCAUAUAUAGAAAGUUUAUAAUAUUUUCAUUUUCUUUAUUUUUUAAGUUUAACUUGUUCCCCAAGUAUUUGUAUAUUUAUACAUAUUCCUAAUUAUUCGUGGAAUAUGACGUCAAUUUCUUCCUUUUCUUAGCUCUCUCUUUUAUUCGCUACACGUUAUCCAUAUGAUAGUCUCUCUAUCUAUUUAUUCUUACACCAAAAACUAUAAUAUUUAAUUUAUGUUUAUGAUAAUUGCCUUUUUCCAAAAUGAUGGUUAUGGUAGGUUAUGCCUUCGCGAUCAUGAUUUUAUUGUAGAUUCACUAUUUCUUAUUUAAGCUUUACCUAGUGUCCAAAAGAAUAUCCACUUCAUUUAGAGGUUUUUGAGACCUCAUACAACUGCCUGAUCAAAUAGUAUGUGGAUCAGGUGGAUCCAUCCAUGCACCUACUUUGGCUAUUUGGGUCAGUUUCCUCCUUUUCUUAUCUCUCUUUUAUUCACUACACGUUAUCCACAUGAUAGUCCCUUUAUCUAUUUAUUCUUACACAAAAUAUAAUAUUUAAUUUGUGUUUAUGUUAUAUUAUUCUACGAUGAUAAUUUCUUUUUUCCAAAAAUGAUGGUUAUGGUAGGCUAUGCCUUCGCGAUCUUGAUUUUAUUGUAGAUUCAGUCUCCGCGGAACAUAAAUUUAGAAAGAUAGUUAUCAAUGCUUAUCUAGAAUAACGUUUAACGAUGGUUUAAUCUUUGUAUCUUAUUGAUUAUAGUUCUGUUAAAAUUCUUUAGAUAUGAAGAUUUGUUUAUAUAAAACAAAAAUAAUUUUAAUAUAAUCAAUUAGGGUUUUUGUAGUAUCUAUGUUUGACCUAAAUAUUUUUGAAAAAUCUAUGAUUGUUUAGUUGAUUGUUAAGCAUAUAUGAGAAGCGAUUAUAUAACUUUUAUUUUAUGAUAUAAGUUAUUAGGGUUUUGAUGUUAUAAAAAUUUACUCAGAUAUUUAAUUAUGCAUUAUAUAUAUAUUUUAAAAAAAUAAUAAUAAGUAAUAAUUAAACAAAAUAAAAUUUUCAAAAAACAAUAUAAUUUCAUAAAUAGUUUAUAUGAAAACAAAAAACUAAUAAAACAAAUAUUUUGUUGUUAAAUUAUGGUCGUUCUUGCAUUUUUUUCAUGCAAAAUUGUUGAUUAAACUUUUAUAUUCGAUUUUUUUCAACCAUAGAUGUCUCAAUCUAUAACAAAGUUAUCCAUUCAAUCAGUCUUAUGACAUGGUAGACCAUAUAUAUAUAUAUUUUUUAUCAGGUUUACUUCGAAAAACUUCAUUCAGCAGUGGAAACAAAAAUGUAAAUGUGGUGUUGACAGUUAUUCNNNNNNNNNNNNNNNNNNNNNNNNNNNNNNNNNNNNNNNNNNNNNNNNNNNNNNNNNNNNNNNNNNNNNNNNNNNNNNNNNNNNNNNNNNNNNNNNNNNNNNNNNNNNNNNNNNNNNNNNNNNNNNNNNNNNNNNNNNNNNNNNNNNNNNNNNNNNNNNNNNNNNNNNNNNNNNNNNNNNNNNNNNNNNNNNNNNNNNNNNNNNNNNNNNNNNNNNNNNNNNNNNNNNNNNNNNNNNNNNNNNNNNNNNNNNNNNNNNNNNNNNNNNNNNNNNNNNNNNNNNNNNNNNNNNNNNNNNNNNNNNNNNNNNNNNNNNNNNNNNNNNNNNNNNNNNNNNNNNNNNNNNNNNNNNNNNNNNNNNNNNNNNNNNNNNNNNNNNNNNNNNNNNNNNNNNNNNNNNNNNNNNNNNNNNNNNNNNNNNNNNNNNNNNNNNNNNNNNNNNNNNNNNNNNNNNNNNNNNNNNNNNNNNNNNNNNNNNNNNNNNNNNNNNNNNNNNNNNNNNNNNNNNNNNNNNNNNNNNNNNNNNNNNNNNNNNNNNNNNNNNNNNNNNNNNNNNNNNNNNNNNNNNNNNNNNNNNNNNNNNNNNNNNNNNNNNNNNNNNNNNNNNNNNNNNNNNNNNNNNNNNNNNNNNNNNNNNNNNNNNNNNNNNNNNNNNNNNNNNNNNNNNNNNNNNNNNNNNNNNNNNNNNNNNNNNNNNNNNNNNNNNNNNNNNNNNNNNNNNNNNNNNNNNNNNNNNNNNNNNNUGCCUUACUUUUGCUUUGGGCCAGUCAUGGUGCUAGUCGAAUAUAAAAUUAUUAGAGUUGUUAGCUAAACGUUGCUUUAUACUGAUUUCGUAUUCAUCGGGUUUGAUUGAGUUAACUCAUCCUAUAUUUGAUUAUUGCAUAAUUAUUAUGAUAUAGUUUGUGAAGCCAAGCAAUUAUUGCCUCAUCAUUCAGGCAUGCAUAAUUAGGAUUUGAUUGAUUUUUUCAUAUAAUAUAUAAGAUAUGGAGAUGCAUGUCAUACUUUGAUCUGUUCAGCAACUGUCGAUUGCAACUGAUGUGUGUUAAGAUCACCGAAAGCAUUUGUGAAUGUAAAAUAAAUCAGAUUAAAAACUAGAUGACCGAUAUAGAUGAAUAGACUUUUGAAAACCGAUUUGCUUAUAAGUUGCACAGAUUAUUCUGUUAUCAAAUAUGCAGUGUUAUCGUUGGUUAAAAAAGUCUUGUAGCUUUAUUUUUCCAUUCUCUAUCAUCGUUAAUAAAUGUUGAUUACGUGAAAAGAUUUGUGACUAUGGAAGAUUUAAUCUCUCCUCAUAAUUUUGAGAAAGGAGAACACUACCACCAGUUUGAUUUACCAACUUGAUUGUCCACCACUUGAUUUAAGGUACGCAAAUUAAUAUUAUUCGGUUUAGUUUUAGUUCCAAUAUUUAACCAUAAAGUAUUCACAAGUUAUUUAGAGCGAUUAAAAAGACAUGAUCAGUAGAAUGUGAUAUCACUAAAAGCUCAUUGCUUAAAGUUUCUUUCAAGAACUUGGAUUACCACUAGAAGUGAAAAGAUAAAGAAGUUAAUAUGCAAAAGAUAUAUCCCCCAUGUGGCGACAAAAUAAGCUAGUGUGAGUACAAUAUGAAGUAGUACAAAGAAUAUUAAAAGCUCCAGAAGAGCAUAUAUAUUUGCCCAUAGAAAUACUAUAAGAAUGAAAGAAUCAUUUUGUUGAUCUAGAGUGUUCUCCUUAGCAUGGAGAUGCAGAGAAUUACAAGGUAUAACUAGGUACAUGACAUCAAAUACUAGAGCACAAUAUUUGAUUAUACACAAUUUCCUUGAUUCUCAAGGAAUUUUAAUAUGAUGGUAGAUAGAAUAGCAAAAAGAUCCUAUUUGAUCCAAGUAUUCCUUUUAUUAGUCUUUUUAUUUUUUUGUAUUAACCUUAGUCUUCAGUUUUAUGUUCUUAUUUAUCUUGUACAGUUCCUGAAUAAGGAUUACAAUCACUAUGAAUCUAAUGGAAUUUGCAGAAGUAAAAAAAAGGAAAAAUUUAUGUAGUGUAAGAGCUAAAUAUUUUUCAAAUUUAAAUUGAUCUCAUAUUGUUUUUAUAAUACAGACCACCAGCAAAACAUUUUUUGGUUUGUAGAACCAUCCACCUAAAUUAGAUUUGAUUCAACACAAACCUUAACUCUAACUCGCUUUAAUCAAUUUAUGCGUGGAACAAAACAAACACUACAAUUAAAAAAAAUAGAUAUACUAUUCACACAUAGAAAACAAUUAUCUUCUUCCAAGGUGUAUCAUAAUUGGAUGUAAGAAGACUAUUUUUAAAUUGAUAAAUCCCUGCGUUUUAUUAAACAAUUUAUGGAACUAUACAAAAAAUGAGGCACACCAAAUGCCUAAAUAUCACCAUUCAAAUAUAGUCAUAUUAUACUAGACAUACAUAGAAGCUUACACUAUUAUUAGGAUGGAAUAUGAUUGGAAGUUUAAACCAGGUAUACAAUAUAGCAAAUCUUUGUGUGUUAUAUAUAUAAUGAUGGUGGUAAGAGUGAAAAAGAGUGGUGGAGGUAAGAGUGAUGAAGAAAAAUAUGGUAGAACAUUGUAAGUUAUAUAUAUAUAUAUAUAUAUAUGAAAGUAUAAAAUAAUAUUAGAUUUGAAUAAAAAGAAAUCAAACAUUAAUCUAAAACUUAGCAUGUGGGCAUCUGGAAGACUCUCUUUUAGUAUGAUAUUGUCUGCAUUCAAUUCAAGUUCUCAAGCUCGCACAGAAUCAUAUAAUACCCAAGUUCUCCGUUUGUGAUCCAUCCCAAAAGGCUUAUUACUCAGUAUAUCACUGGACUUAAAUUAUAUAUAUUAAACCAUUACUAUCUAGAUUUCUGAUGUAAAACUUGGAUUGAUAUCCUAACACAACACCUUAACACCAAACUAAAAUCAUAUGAUACCAUAACAACGUAAUAUCAGGUUUGAAUUAUAACAUUGCGCAAAACAACAAAAAAAAACAGGAGCCAUCAUGUUUUCAAGUCAUAAAUAAUGAUCAAAAACCAAGAAAAGUGGAUUUUUUGAAAUAUGACUGCUCUCAAGAUCAACGGCUCCACUAGUUAGAGGUCUUCCCUCUGAUGAAUUGGGAUGAUAAUUGAUGUUGAUAUAUAUAUAUAUAUGUAUUUGAUAUGAAAUUUAUUUGGAGUCAUUUGGAGAUGUUCUUAGGAAUAUGAUCCCAAACUACUGAAAACAUGUCUGUAUGGCUUGUAAAUGAAGCAAGCACUGAACAAUAUUUGCCACCAGCCAAUAAUGCAUUGGAGAGCUUCUACAUCCAUCAGAUACACCACCAUUGUUCAAGUGCAUCAACCCGUGUUCUUAGUCGAGAUCAAACAUCUUUGAAUGCAAAUUCCUUUUUUAACCCAAACUAAACCCUAGUUGACCCUAAAGCUAUUGAUACCUACUUAGCUACUUCCCAAAAAUGAACACAGCCAUAAUUUAUAACAACCACAAUUAUACUUUCAUAAUUUUUUGUUAAUUCAAGAGCUUCUCGGGAGAAAAUCUUUUGUACGUCUAAUGAACUUUACCAUUACUUGCUCAGUUUAAUGCAUGGUUUCAUUCUACAAUAACAAAUUAGCAAAGUUUAUUUGUUGCAAAACAUAGUGGUCGAAGCCACGAAAGUGGAAAAACUAUAAAUUCAUGUUUUGUAUUCAAGAUGAUUUUUACUUAAAUCCCUAACAUAUCAUCUAUCUCGGGAGAAAAUCUUGCUGUUGUAUCUCCAUAGAAGAUUUUGAACCGUCUUAUUUCUUAUUAAGCUUUAGCUAGUGUCCAAAAGAAUAUCCACUUCACUUAGAGGUUUUCGAAACUUCAUACAACUGCCGGAUCAAAUAGUAUGUGGAUCAGGCGGAUUCACCCAUGCACCUACUUUGGCUAUCUGGGUCUAUUUAUUGAAAGUUGUUUGUCCUUAUUGUUUUACUUGAUGUGAGAAACAUAUAUGACAUGCAGACGAUACAGUGAACUAUUCAAAAGUUAUCAAAGCAUUCUUAGCUGCCUAUCAAACAUUAUUCAUACAUCUGUAACAUAACUAUUCAAUACUCUAGGUGAAGCUUUAUCUAGUUUAGUAAUUUAAGUUCGAGAACUAAACUUAACCAUCUGCCUGCCUGAUUAUCUAAUUUGCAAUUUAUGUUUCGUUAAAACUAACCCAAUUCUUACCAUUUCCAUCCAUCAAACUUACAUUGUUUGCUUAAUUUUUAAGUUUUUAAUUAAUUUAUAAAUCCAAGAGCUUUCAUCUGUUUUUGCUUUACUUUACUUUUUGCAUUCUUGUUGUGUAUCACUUCUAUAAUACUAUUAAAAGGGAAAAACUUUUAAUCUUUGUUGCCAAACACUCAUAUUUUUUUUAAAAAAAAAAUUGUUUAUCUUAAUCAACCAAUCUAAAGUUUCAAAUAUUCAAAAUUUGUUUAUAAUUAUAUUAUACAAAAUAUGCCGGAGAGUGUUAGACUUAUGUUUUUAGAAUUGCAGUCCUAUGUGUAUUACUUUUUUAAAACAUGCAAGAUAUCUAUACCAUUUAAGAAGAUACAAACUUUAUAUUUCUGUGUCCAAAAGAAACAAAUCUAUACAAUUAAAUAUAUCUAAAAUAGACAAAUAUCAUACAAAUAUGGAUGGAGUUCUGGUAGGGAACAAAUACAAUUGGAAAAGAAUAAAAAAUAAAAGGAAAACAAAAUAAAAUCACAUGUGGCUUUUUAUUUCUUUUUGCAGGUGAGAUGUCUUCCAUGGGAUAUAUAUAUAGAAGUUCAUGAUUAUCAUAUAUAUAUAUUAUUAGAGAAGUUCUGUGAGUUUUAUCAUCAAGCAUUUAUAAAAUCAUACAACAUUUCUUUUCAAUUUCAGUAUAUCACUCUUUCAAUUACAAAUUUUGGGGAAAUGAUAAUCAGAAACUUCCAAGAUAUUUUGUUAGCUUUAUUACUUGAUUCUCCAUUUUCCAUUAUUUACUGGUCUUGCCUACAAUAAUUGAUUAAAAAAAAGUUCCAAUCUAAAAAAAUUUAUUGUAGUCAAAAACAGAAAAUGCAGAAAAAGAUAAUGGGAAUGGAGAGUCAAGUAAUAGGGCUAAUGAAAUAUACUAUAAAUCUAUGCAUCUUUAAGAGUAAAUAUGCUUUAUUUUUAUAAUUCGUACAUUAUAAGCGUUAUACAUAAUUAUCGUUUACUAAGUAUAUACAAAUUUUAAUAAAACGUUUGUUAUAAAACUAUCUUUAUAUCAUAUUUAAUUAAAUUUGAGAAAUUGCAUUGUAGGACCAAUAAAAAGAUUUAUAUAACUGAUCAAAAAGUCUUCAUAUUUAAAAAAACUUAUAUUAUAAAAUACAUCAAGUUUUAUGAAUCAUAACUUAAUGAUAUACAAACAUUUUGGCACAGAGUUGACAAAUUCUUCAAGGUGUUCAUAUUCAAAAAGUGUUGUUGAGUUUGCCACAAUAUCAUUUCCUUUGUUACUCUAUCGAGUCGACUUGGUCGUCACUCUUAUACCAUAAGACAAGUGUGUGUUUAUUUUUAUUUUCCAUAUAAUAUUUAUGCGUAAUUGUUUUUUACGAAAAUUUCAGCAUAUGGUCUAAACUCAUACCGAAUUUUUUAAUUUUUUUUAUCUUAAAUGAAGCACUUAUAGAAAAUUAAUUUAUUUUUAUUAAAGACACUUGUGAGUUCUCCAAUAUUCAGUAACUCCAAAAUCCUCCUAUGAGUUGUUUCUAUAGUUUCACGAUAAUUAAUACAAAUUGAAUUUAAAUUCAAAUAGAAGGAUGUUUAACUUGUAAAUCUAGAUAUAAAAAUAUAAUGCUGGUUAUUUUUUGAAUCAUAUUAUCCCACUAAUAUUUCCGAUCCAAGAAUUUAAUUAAAGUAUGAUGAUGUUUUACAAAAUAUUUAAGAUAAAAAAAUUCACUUACAACAUAUUUAACAAGUUGUUCAACCGCAUAAAUAAAGUGGUUGGAAAGAUCGCCACCCUAUUUUAAAAUUCCCAAAAUAAAAAAAAAUAAAAUUAUGAAUUAGUUAUUAUGGUUGUUCAUUAUAAGACUCAUAUUAUAGUAAGUUUAUAAUAUUUUCAUUUUUAUUAUUUUUUCAAGUUUAGUUUGCUCCCCAAGUAUUUCUAUAUUUAUACAUUAUUCGUGGAAUAGGACAUCAAUUUCCUCCUUUUUUUAGCUCUCUCUUUUAUUCGCUACACGUUAUCCACUUGAUAGUCUCUCAAUCUAUUUAUUCUUACUCCAAAAAUAUUCUUACACAAAAAAUAUAAAUAUAAAUAUUUUUUAUCUUAAAUAGAGCACUUAUAGAAAAUUAAUUUGUUUUUGUUAAAGACACUUGUGAGUUCUACAAUAUUCAUUAACUCCAAAAUCAUCAUAUGAGUUGUUUCUAUAUUUUCACGAUAAUUAAUACAAAUUAAAUUUAAAUUCAAAUAGAAGGAUGUUUAACUUGUAAAUCUAGAUAUAAAAAUUUAAUUUGGUUAUUUUGUGAAACAUAUUAUCACACUAAUAUUUCUGAUCCAAGAAUUCAAUUAAAGUAUGAUGAUAUUUUACAAAAUAUUUAAGAUCAAAAACUUCACUUACAACAUAUUUAAUAAGUUGUUCAACCGCAUAAAUAAAGUUGUUGGAAAGAUCGCCACCCCAUUUUAAAAUUCCCAAAAUCAAAACAAAAUUAUGAAUUAGUUAUUAUGGUUGUUCAUUAUAAGACUCAUAUUAUAGUAAGUUUAUAAUAUUUCCAUUUUUCUUAUUUUUCAAAUUUAGUUUGCUCCCCAAGAAUUUGUAUAUUUAUACAUUAUUCGUGGAAUAGGACAUCAAUUUUCUCCUUUUCUUAGCUCUCUCUUUUAUUCGCUACACUUUCUCCACAUGAUAGUCUCUCAAUCUAUUUAUUCUUACACCAAAAAUAUAAAUAUUUAAUUUAUGUUUAUGGAUAUAUUAUUCUAUGAUGAUAAAUGCCUUUUUUUCAAAAUGAUGGUUAUGUUAGGCUAUGCCUUCGCGAUCAUGAUUUUAUUAUAGAUUCGUUUUAAUCAAUUUUUGGGUGGAACAAAACAAACACUACAAUUGAAAAAUAUAGAUAUACUAUUCACACAUAGAAUAUAAUUAUCUUCUUCUGAGGUGUAUCAUAAUUGGAUGUAGGAAGACAAUUUUUAAAUUGACAAAUCCCUGGUGUUUUAUUAAACGAUUUAUGGAACUAUACAAAAAAUGAGGCACACCAAAUGCCUUAAAAUCACCAUUGAAAUAUAGUCAUAUUAUGAUAAACAUACAUAGAAGCUUACACUAUUAUUAAGAUGGAAUAUGAUUGGAAGUUUAAACCAGGUAUACAAUAUAGCAAAUCUUUGUGUCUUAUAUAUAUAAUGAUGGUGGUAAGAGUAAAAAAGAGUGGUGGAGGUAAAUGUGAUGAAGAAAAAUAUGGUAGAACACUGUACGUUAGAUAUAUAUGAAAGUAUAAAAUAAUAUUAGAUUUGAAUAAAAAGAAAUAAUACAUUAAUUUAAAACCUAGCAUGUGGGCAUCUGGAAGAAUCUCUUUUAGUAUGAUAUUGUCUGCUUUCAAUUCAAGUGCUCAAGCUCGCACAAAAUCAUAUGAUACCCAAGCUCUCCGUUUGUGAUCCAUCCCAAAAGGCUUAUUACUCAGUAUAUCACUGGACUUAACUUAUAUAUUAAACCAUUACUAUCUAGAUUUCUGAUGUAAAACUUGGAUUGAUAUCCUAACACAACACCUUAACACCAAACUCAAAUCAUAUGAUACCAUAACAACAUAAUAUCAGGUUUGAAUCAUAACAUUGCGCAAAACAACAAAAGAACAGGAGUCAUCAUCUUUUCAAGUCAUAAAUAAUGAACAAAUACAAAAAAAUCAAGAAAAGUGGAUUUUUUUAAAUAUGACUGUUCUCAAGAUCAACUGCUCCACUAGUUAGAGGCUUUCCCUCUGAUGAAUUGGGAUGAUAAUAGAUGUUGAUAUAUAUAUUUUUUUCAGUUAGCACUCAUAUGAAAUUUGUUUGGAGUCAUUUGGAGAUGUUCUUAGGAGUAUGAUCGCAAACUACUGAAGACAUGUCUGUAUUGCUUGCAAAUGAAGCAAGCACAGAACAAUAUUAGCCACCAGCCGAUAAUGCAUUGGACAGAGCUUCGACAUCCAUCAGAUACACCACCAAUUUUCAAGUGCAUCAACCCGAGUUCUUGGUCGACAUCAAACACCUCUGAAUGCACAUUCUUUUUUUUUUAACCCAAACUAAACCCUAGUUGACCCUAAACCUAUAGAUACCUACUUAGCCACUUCCCAGAAAUGAACACAGCCAUAAUUUAUAGCAACCCCAAUUAUACUUUUUAUAAUUUGGGUUAGUUCAAAAGCUUCUCAGGAGAAAAUCUUUUGUAUAUCUAAUGAACUUUAUCAUUACUUGCUUUUAAUGCAUGGUUUCAUUCUACAAUAACCAACAAUAGCUUGCUUUUCUAUCUCCAAAGAAGAUUUUUGAACUGUCUUAUUUCUUAUUUAAGCUUUACCUAGUGUCCAAAAGAAUAUUCACUUCACUUAGAGGUUUUCGAAACCUUAUACAAUUGCCUGAUCAAAUAGUUUGUGGAUCAGGCGGAUUCACCCAUGCACCUACUUUGGCUAUCUGGGUCUAUUUAUUGAAAGUUGUUUGUCCUUCUUGAUUUACUUGAUGUGAGAAACAUAUAUGACAUGCAGACGAUACAGUGAACUAUUCAAAAGUUAUUACAGGCAUUCUUAGCUGCCCAUCAAACAUUAUCCAUACAUCUGUAACAUAACUAUUCAAUACUAUAGGUGGAGCUUUAUCUAGUUUAGUGAUUUAAGUCUGAGAAGUAAACUUAACCAUCUGUCUGCCUGAUUAUCUGAUUUGCAAUUUAUGUUUCGUUAAAACUAACCCAAGGCUUACCAUUUUCAUCCAUCAAACUUACAUUGUUUGCUUAACUUUUAAGUUUUUAAUUAAUUUAUAAAUCCAAGAGCUUUCAUCUGUCUUUGCUUUACUUUAAUUUUUGUAUUCUUGUUGUGUAUCACUUCUAUACUAUUAAAAGGGAAGAACUUUUAAUCUUUGUUGCCAAACACUCAUAUAUAUAUAUAUAUAUAAAUUGUUUAUCUUAAUAAACCAAUCUAAAGUUUCAAAUCUUCAAAAUUAGUUUAUAAUUAUAUUAUACAGAAUAUAUGGGAGAGUGUUAGACUUAUGUGUUUAGAAUUGCAGUCCUAUGUGUAUUCAUUUUUUAAAUGCAAGAUAUCUAUACCAUUUAAGAAGAUACAAACUUUAUAUUUAUGUGUCCAAAAAGAAACAAAUCUAUACAAUUAAAAGAGAGCUAUUUUAGUCAUUUUUGCCAUAUACUCUCUAUUUUCUUUAUAAAUAAAACAAUCAUUUGGAAAAAAAUAUUACAUUGACCCAGAUUGAUGUAGUAUUAAUUGAAAAAGAGUAUUUUAUUUUAUAUUCAACAUUUAUAUUUAAAAUAAAUAUAUCUAAAAUAGACAAAUAUCAUACAAAUAUGGAUGGAGUUCUGGUAGGGAACAAAUACAAUUGGAAAAGAAUAAAAAAAUAAAAGAAAAAAAAUAAAAUCACAUGUGGCUUUUAUUUUUUUCUGCAGGUGAGAUGUUCAUAUAUAUAUAAGUCGCAUUCAUAUGAAGUGCAUCAACCCGCGUUCUUAGUCGUGAUCAAACAUCUUUGAAUGCAAAUUCCUUUUUUUAACCCAAACUAAACCCUAGUUGACCCUAAAGCUAUUGAUACCUAGUGGUCGAAGCCACGAAAGUGGAAAGACUAUAAAUUCAUGUUUUGUAUUCGAGAUGAUUUUUACUUAAAUCCCUAACAUAUCAUCUAUCUCGGGAGAAAAUCUUGCUGUUGUAUCUCCAUAGAAGAUUUUGAACCGUCUUAUUUCUUAUUAAGCUUUAGCUAGUGUCCAAAAGAAUGUCCACUUCACUUAGAGGUUUUCGAAACUUUAUACAACUGCCGGAUCAAAUAGUAUGUGGAUCAGGCGGAUUCACCCAUGCACCUACUUUGGCUAUCUGGGUCUAUUUAUUGAAACUUGUUUGUCCUUAUUGAUUUACUUGAUGUGAGAAACAUAUAUGACAUGCAGACGAUACAGUGAACUAUUCAAAAGUUAUCAAAGCAUUCUUAGCUGCCUAUCAAACAUUAUUCAUACAUCAGUAACAUAACUAUUCAAUACUCUAGGUGAAGCUUUAUCUAGUUUAGUGAUUUAAGUUCGAGAACUAAACUUAACCAUCUGCCUGCCUGAUUAUCUAAUUUGCAAUUUAUGUUUCGUUAAAACUGACCCAAGGCUUACCAUUUCCAUCCAUCAAGCUUACAUUGUUUGCUUAACUUUUAAGUUUUUAAUUAAUUUAUAAAUCCAAGAGCUUUCAUCUGUCUUUGCUUUACUUUACUAUUUGCAUUCUUGUUGUGUAUCACUUCUAUACUAUUAAAAGGGAAAAACUUUUAAUCUUUGUUGCCAAACACUCAUAUUUUAUUUUAAAAAAAAAUUUUUAUUUCAAUCAACCAAUCUAAAGUUUCAAAUAUUCAAAAUUUGUUAAUAAUUAUAUUAUACAGAAUAUGCUGGAGAGUGUUAGACUUAUGUUUUUACAAUUGCAGUCCUAUGUGUAUUACUUUUUUAAAACAUGCAAGAUAUCUAUACCAUUUAAGAAGAUACAAACUUUAUUUUUCUGUGUCCAAAAGAAACAAAUCUAUACAAUUAAAAGGGAGUUAUUUUAGUCUUUCAUGCCAUAUACUCUCUAUUUUCUUUAUAAAAAAAAACAAUUAUUUGGAAAACAAUAUUACAUUGACCCAGAUUGAUGUAGUAUUAAUUGAAAAAGAGAAUUUUAUUUUAUAUUGAAAACUUAUAUGUAAAAUAAAUAUAUCUAAAAUAGACAAAUAUCAUACAAAUAUGGAUGGAGUUCUGGUAGGGAACAAAUACAAUUGGAAAAGAAUCAAAAAAUAAAAGGAAAACAAAAUAAAAUCACAUGUGGCUUUUAUUUCUUUUUGCAGGUGAGAUGUUUCUGUCUUCCAUGGGAUAUAUAUAUAUAUAUAUAUAUAUCUAGAAGUUCCUGAUUAUCAUAUAUAUAUUAUGAGAGAAGUUCUGUGAGUUUUAUCAUCAUGCAUUUAUAAAAUCAUACAACAUUUCUUUUCAAUUUCAAUAUAUCACUCUUCCAAUUACAAAUUUUGGGGAAAUGAUAAUCAGAAACUUCCAAGAUAUUUUUUUUAGCUUUAUUACUUGAUAAUCAGAACGCGGGUUGAUGCACUUCAUAUCCUAACACAACACCUUAACACCAAACUCAAAUCAUAUGAUACCAUAACAACAUAAUAUCAGGUUUGAAUCAUAACAUUGCGCAAAACAACAAAAGAACAGGAGUCAUCAUCUUUUCAAGUCAUAAAUAAUGAACAAAUACAAAAAAAUCAAGAAAAGUGGAGUUUUUGAAAUAUGACUGUUCUCAAGAUCAACUGCUCCACUAGUUAGAGGCUUUCCCUCUGAUGAAUUGGGAUGAUAAUUGAUGUUGAUAUAUAUAUAUAUAUAUAUUUUUUUUCAGUUAGCACUCAUCAUAUGGAGAUGUUCUUAGGAGUAUAAUCCCAAACUACUGAAGACAUGUCUGUAUGGCUUGCAAAUGAAGCAAGCACAGAACAAUAUUAGCCACCUGCCGAUAAUGCAUUGGACCAGAGCUUCGACAUCCAUCAGAUACACCACCAUUUUUCAAGUGCAUCAACCCGAGUUCUUGGUCUAGAACAAACACCUUUGAAUGCAAAUUCUUUUUUUUUUUAACCCAAACUAAACCCUAGUUGAUCCUAAACCUAUAGAUACCUACUUAGCUACUUCCCAGAAAUGAACACAGCAAUAAUUUAUAGCAACCCCAAUUAUACUUUUAAUAAUUUGGGUAAAUUCAAGAGCUUCUCACGAGAAAAUCUUUUGUAUAUCUAAUGCACUUUAUCAUUACUUGCUCGCUUUAAUGCAUGGUUUCAUUCUACAAUAACCAACAAUAGCUUGCUUUUGUAUCCCCAAAGAAGAUUUUUGAGCUGUCUUAUUUCUUAUUUAAGCUUUACCUAGUUUUCAAAAGAAUAUUCACUUCACUUAGAGGUUUUCGAAACCUUAUACAAUUGCCUGAUCAAAUAGUUUGUGGAUCAGGCAGAUUCACCCAUGCACCUUCUUUGGCUAUCUGGGUCUAUUUAUUGAAAGUUGUUUGUCCUUCUUGAUUUACUUGUGGUGAGAAACAUAUAUGACAUGCAGACGAUACAGUGAACUAUUCAAAAGUUAUUAUAGGCAUUCUUAGCUGCCCAUCAAACAUUAUCCAUACAUCUGUAACAUAACUAUUCAAUACUAUAGGUGGAGCUUUAUCUAGUUAGUGAUUUAAGUUCGAGAACUAAACUUAACCAUCUGUCUGACUGAUUAUCUGAUUUGCAAUUUAUGUUUCGUUAAAACUAACCCAAGGCUUACCAUUUUCAUCCAUCAAACUUAAUUUAUAAAUCCAAGAGCUUUCAUCACAUAUCCCACGCGCAAAGAACUCGAAGGCGGAUAACCUAGCAAGGAGUGCUCGGAUCUACCCUCAAAAUGUUAUGUAUGUAAACUCAAUACCACCAGUUUGGUUAACCCAACCGUACUAGGUAAUGAGGCUGUUGACAAAAAAAAAAAAAAAGAUAUAUUAUUCUAUGAUGAUCAAUGCCUUUUUUCAAAAUGAUGGUUAUGUUAGGCUAUGCCUUCGCGAUCAUGAUUUUAUUGUAGAUUCGUUUUAAUCAAUUUAUAGGUGGAACAAAACAAACACUACAAUUGAAAAAAGUAGAUAUACUAUUCACACAUAGAAAAAAAAUAUCUUCUUUCGAGGUGUAUCAUAAUUGGAUAUAGAAAGAUUAUUUUUAAAUUGACAAAUCCCUGGCGUUUUAUUAAACGAUUUAUGGAACUAUACAAAAACAUGAGGCACACAAAAUGCCUUAAAAUCACCAUUGAAAUAUAGUCAUAUUAUGCUAGACAUACAUAAAAGCUUACACUAUUUUUAGGAUGGAAUAUGAUUGGAAGUUUAAACCAGGUAUACAAUACAGCAAAUCUUUGUUUCUUAUAUAUAUAAUUAUGGUGGUAAGAGUGAGAAAGAGUGGUGGACGUAAGAGUGAUGAAGAAAAUUAUGGUAGAACAUUGUAAGUUAGAUAUAUGAAAGUAUAAAAUAAUAUUAGAUUUGAAUAAAAAGAAAUUAAACAUUAAUCUAAAAUCUAGCAUGUGGACAUCCGGAUGACUCUCCGUUAGUAUGAUAUUGUCUGCUUUCAACUCAAGUGCUCAAGCUCGCACAGAAUCAUAUGAUACCCAAGCUCUCCGUUUGUGAUCCUUCCCAAAAGACUUAUUACUCGGUAUAUCUUUGGACUUAACUUAUAUAUAUUAAACUAUUACUAUCUAGAUUUCUGAUGUAAAACUUGGAUUGAUAUCCUAACACAACACCUUAACACCAAACUCAAAUCAUAUGAUACCAUAACAACAUAAUAUCAGGUUUGAAUCAUAACAUUGCGCAAAACAGCAAAAAAACAGGAGCCAUCAUGUUUUCAAGUCAUAAAUAAUGAAAAAAUAACAAAAAAUCAAGAAAAGUGGAUUUUUUGAAAUAUGACUGCUCUCAAGAUCAACUGCUCCACUAGUUAGAGGCCUUCCCUCUGAUGAAUUGGGAUGAUAAUAGAUGUUGAUAUAUAUAUAUAUAUAUAUAUAUAUAUAUAUAUAAUCCCAAACUGGUUUGGAGUCAUUUGGAGAUGUUCUUAUGAAUAUGAUCCCAAACUACUGAAGACAUGUCUGUAAGGCUGCAAAUGAGCAAGCACAGAAUAAUAUUAGCCACCAGCUGAUAAUACAUUGGACCAGAGCUUAGACAUCCAUCAGAUACACCACCAUUGUUCAAGUACAUCAGCCCGUCUUCUUGGUCGAGAUCAAACACCUUUGAAUGCAAAUUCCUUUUUUUAACCCAAACUAAACCCUAGUUGACUCUAAACCUAUAGAUACCCACUUAGCUACUUCCCAGAAAUGAACACAGCCAUAAUUUAUAGCAACCACAGUUAUACUUUCAUAAUUUGGGUUAAUUCAAGAGCUUCUCACGAGAAAAUCUUUUGUAUAUCUAAUAAACUUUAUUAUUACUUGCUCGCUUUAAUGCAUGGUUUCGUUCUACAGGAACCAACAAUAUCUUGCUUUUGUAUUUCCAAAGAAGAUUUUUGAACUUUCUUAUUUCUUAUUUAAGUUUUACCUAGUGUCCAAAAGAAUAUUCACUUCACUUAGAGGUUUUCGAAACCUCAUACAAUUGCCUGAUCAAAUAGUAUGUGGAUCAGGCGGAUUCACCCAUGCACCUACUUUGGCUAUCUGGGUCUAUUUAUGAAAGUUGCUUGUCCUUAUUGAUUUACUUGAUGUGAGAAACAUAUAUGACAUGCAGACGAUACAGUGAACUAUUUAAAAGUUAUCACAUGUAUUCUUAGCUGCCCAUCAAACAUUAUCCAUACAUCUGUAGCAUAACUAUUCCAUACUCUAGGUGGAGCUUUAUCUAGUUUAGUGAUUUAAGUUCGAGAACUAAACUUAACCAUCUGCCUGCCUGAUUAUCUGAUUUGCAAUUUAUGUUUCGUUAAAACUAACCCAAGGCUUACCAUUUCCAUCCAUCAAACUUACAUUGUUUGCUUAACUUUUUAGUUUUUAAUUAAUUUAUAAAUCCAAGAGCUUUCAUCUGUCUUUGCUUUACUUUUCUUUUUGCAUUCUUGUUGUGUGUCACUUCUAUACUAUUAAAAGGGAAGAACUUUUAAUCUUUGUUACCAAACACUCAUAUAUAUAUUUUUUAAAGAAAAUUGUUUAUCUUAAUCAACCAAUCUAAAGUUUCAAAUAUUCAAAAUUAGUUUAUAAUUUUAUUAUACAGAAUAUACUGGAGAGUGUUAGACUUAUGUUUUUAGAAUUGCAGUCCUAUGUGUAUUAAUUUUUUAAAUGCAAGAUAUCUAUACAGAUGCUAUUUUAGUCUUUUUUGCCAUAUACUCUCUAUUUUCUUUAAAAAAAAAACAAUUAUUUGGAAAAAAUAUUACAUUGACCCAGAUUGUUGUAGUAUUAAUUAAAAAAGAGUAUUUUAUUUUAUAUUCAAAACUUUUAUUUAAAAUAAAUAUAUCUAAAAUAGACAAAUAUUAUACAAAUAUGGAUGGAGUUCUGGUAGGGAACAAAUACAAUUGGAAAACAAUCAAAAAAUAAAAGAAAAACAAAAUAAAAUCACAUGUGGCUUUUAUUUCUUUCUGCACGUGAGAUUUUUCUGUCUUCCAUGGGAUAUAUAUAUAUAUAUAUAUAUAUAUAUAUAUAUAUAUAUUAUGAGAGAAGUUCUGUGAGUUUUAUCAUCAUGCAUUUAUAAAAUCAGACAACAUUUCUUUUCAAUUUCAGUAUAUCCCUCUUCCAAUUACAAAUUUUGGGGAAAUGAUAAUCAGAAACUUCCAAGAUAUUUUGUUAGCUUUAUUACUUGAUUCUCUAUUUUCCAUUAUUUAGUGGUCUUGCCUACAAUAAUUGAUGAAAAAAGUUCCAAUCUAAAAAAAAUUAUUGUAGUCAAAAACAGAAAAUGAAGAAAAAGAUAAUGGAAAUGGAGAGUCAAGUAAUAGGGCUAAUGAAAUAUACUACAAAUCUAUGCAUCUUUAAGAGUAAGUAUGCUUUAUUUUUAUAAUUCUUAUAUUAUAAGCGUUAUACGUAAUUAUCGUUAUCAAGUAUAUACAAAUUUUAAUAAAAUAUUUGUUAUAAAAAUAUCUAUAUAUCAAAUUUAAUUAAAUUUGAGAAAUUACAUUGUACGACCAAUAAAGGCUUUAUAUAAUUGAUCAAAAAGUCUUCAUAUUUAAAACAAAUUAUAUUAUAAAAUAUAUCAAGUUUUAUGAAUCAUAACUAAAUGAUAAAUAAAUAUUUUGGCACAGAGUUGAAAAAUUCUUCAAGAUGUUCAUAUUGAAAAACUGUUGUUGAGUUUGCCACAAUAUCAUUUCCUUUGUUACUCUAUCGAGUCGACUUGGUCGUCACUCUUCUACCAUAAGACAAGUGUGUGUUUAUUUUUGUUUUCCAUAUAAAAUUAAUGCGUAAUUGUUUUUUAUGAAAAUUUCAACAUAUGGUCUAAACACAUACCAAAUUUUUUAAUUUUUUUUAUCUUAAAUGGAGGACUUAUAGAAAAUUAAUUUAUUUUUGUUAAAGACACUUGUCAGUUCUCCAAUAUUCAGUAACUCCAAAAUUCUCCUAUGAGUAGUUUCUAUAGUUUCACGAUAAUUAAUACAAUUUGAAUUUAAAUUCAAAUAGAAAGAUGUUUAACUUGUAAAUCUAGAUGUAAAAAUAUAAUUCUGGUUAUUUUGUGAAACAUAUUAUCCUACUAAUAUUUCUGAUCCAAGAAUUCAAUUAAAGUAUGAUGUAAGCGAAUAUUUAAGAUCAAAAAAUUCACUUACAACAUAUUUAACAAGUUGUUCAACUGCAUAAAUAAAGUGGUUGGAAAGACCGCCACCCCAUUUUAAAAUUCCCAAAAUCAAAAUAAAAUAAAAUUAUGAAUUAGUUAGUAUGGUUGUUCAUUAUAAUACUCAUAUUAUAGUAAGUUUAUAAUAUUUUCAUUUUUCUUAUUUUUUCAAGUUUAGUUUGCUCCCCAAGUAUUUGUAUAUUUAUACAUUAUUCGUGGAAUAGGACAUCAAUUUCCUCAUUUUCUUAGCUCUCUCUUUUAUUCGCUAUACGUUAUCCACAUGAUAGUCUCUCUAUCUAUUUAUUCUUACACCAAAAAUAUAAAUAUUUAAUUUCUGUUUAUGGAUAUAUUAUUCAGAUCUGGAUAUUUUCAUUCUGAUUUGAUUAAGAUAAGGGGAAUAAAUUCUUACGGUAGCUCAUGGAAGAUUAUGGGAUUGAGAUGGGUUUGGAUUGACCAAAUCAAACGAAAAGAAAAGUGGGAUAUUCAAAGCACGGGAAGAGUCUCUUGUUGGGGGAGUGGAACUAGACGCUCUACAUGGAUGGAUUCGGAAAUCAACACUACAGAUACCCCUUCCGAUACAGUGAAGCAGAGAUUAGUCUCGGGGAAGGAAAGUUUAAGAACAGGAUCAAGAGGAAUUGAUACGGAGAAGAGAUCUAAGGAUUUCGAUUAUACAAAAAUGACAUCGGGGAAAUUAAUAGAGGUAUCACAGAGGAGAUAUCAUGAUUCUAGCUGUAGUAAUACAUGUCGGAGGUUCCCACACUAUAAAGAGGAGCGGAGAGGCACAAACCUUACUCAUCCCUCUCUCAUUCAUCGAGUCCAAAUUCUCUUUUUUCAAGCUUUUUCUCUUUCUCACAGUGAGGCGGUUCUUAUUCGGUCUGAGCAGAUGUCUCAAGGCGUGCUAAUCGGUGCUAAAGGAUCUCAAGUCGGUCAGACAGGUAUGGAGAAGAAGGUUGCAAUUUCACUAAAACGGAUGAAGAUUACGGUCCCGAAAUUUGACAACUCUAGUCUCAUUGAAGGAUAUUCACGUACCUUGAUUGGGAGGUGUAUGAAUCCUCAUCUUCAAGACAUGAAGGCGCUGCUGUACAUGCUUCCUCGGAUUUGGAAAGUAGAGGACAGAGUUGCAGGCGCAGAUUUGGGAAUGGGAAAAUUCCAGUUCAUGUUUGAUAAAGAAGAAGAUGUCCUCGAGGUGUUGAAAAUGGAACCGUUCCAUUUUGAUUACUGGAUGCUAUCUCUUGUUCGGUGGGCUCCGAUUAUUGAUCCAAGUUACCCUUCAAUGAUCAAAUUCUGGAUCCGCAUCAUUGGAGUUCCUCUCCAUUUCUGGGCAGAUGUUACUUUCCGAAGCAUAGGGAAAGCUCUUGGUAAGGUUGAGGAGGUGAAUGUAGAUGAUGGAAAAGUCCAGGUGAUCAUCGAUGGCCUGAAACCUCUGUGUUUUGAGACAGCUGUAGAGUUUGACGGUGGAGAGGAGACAACGGUCUUCUUGCGGUAUGAGCGGCUAUUUGGAUUCUGUAGAAUCUGUCACAGUCUCUGUCAUGAUCAACUGAGGUGUCCUACUCGGGUGAAUAGCGAUGGAAGGAGACCAGGAGAAGAUCAGUUGGAUGAGGAACAAAAUGGGAAGAGUCCGGCUUCGUAUAGAACAGCAACAACAUACGGUGUCAACAAGGAGUUCGGUGGAAACUUUAAACGGAAUGGCAAGUCACAUACGGUGGUGGAGGAGGGAAGACAACACAAAGAAAAAACGGAAAGGAGGUCUGGUGAGGGCUCGUCGAUGGUCUUUAGGUCACAUGGUUACAUUCCUCCAAAGGAUUUUCAGAAGAGGUCAUUAAGAUCAAAGAGUUUGGUCUUUGAAUCACACGGUAACAGGUCAUUGGAGAGCCACGUUCAGGUGUCAAAAGAAAAACCAAGAGAGGAACGUUUGGUGCAGGAAGAUAAACAAGAGGAACAUUUGGUUUCGGUGAGCCUCUUUGUGAAAAAUCAGCAAGGAAGAGUCUGGAUUUUGAGGGUGAUGACUUUCUUGAUUUUGACACUACGGAGGAAGAGACCACUGGGGUUGUGGACGCACUGUUAAGAACGGAAGGGGAGGCACGGGUUUUAGGAACAGUAAACAAAGAACCAGAAGGAAAACCAGAGAAUCACGAUGCUAUACAAGAGUUUUUACAACAGGUUAACAGCGGUUUGGAAACAGGGGAGCUCCAACUAAAUUUGGAUGCUGAGUUUGGAGGCAUGGAUCAGGAAGAGGGAGAGUUCGUGGGAAAUGAAAAUGGGGCUAUACCGAUGGUACAAGAUGGAUCAGAACAAGGGCACAUCAAUGAAGGCGAUAUCCAAAUGGCGGAGGAGAAUGAUGGUUUUGACGAAGGUUCCAAACAGGGUACAAAGAAGAAAGCCACGAAGACAAACUCAAAAUUUUUAGGCGGUGGCUCAAAGAAGAGAAUGGUGCAAGCACUAAUUUCCCCACGUAAGAAACAGGUGGCAAAGGUCAUAAACCGUAACGGAGACGGUAGCUCUCAAGGUGCUCCAAAGGGUCCAUCAAACCCGAGAGAGGGGCGGAAAUUGGAAACAAGCAUUAAUAAAUGAGAAUUCUCAGCUGGAAUUGCCAAGGAAUCGGGAGUCGCUGGACAAUAAGCUAUCUUCGGGAGGUUUGGAAGAAACACAGACCAGAGUUUAUGUUUCUCUCAGAAACCAAACAAGAUUUUUCUUUUUUACAAAAAUUUCAGUUUCAUUUUGGUUACAAUAAGUUGUACACGGUUGAGCCGUGCGGUGCAAGUGGUGGACUUGCCCUAUUUUAUAAUGAUUCUUUUGAUGUCACAAUUUUAUUUUCAAAUAAUCGGAUUAUUGAUAUUGAAGCGACUAUUCACGGAAAAAAAUGUACCUCUCAUUUAUUUAUGGGGAUCCAGUGGCAAAAAAUCGGGAUAGAGUCUGGGAAAGAUUAACACGUAUGAGUCUUACACGGUCGGAUCCAUGGUUCAUUAUUGGAGAUCUAAACGAGAUAACGGGUAAUAAUGAAAAACAAGGAGGCCCGUUAAGACAUGCUUCUACCUUUGUGUCCUUUAAUUUAAUGAUAAGGGACUGUGGUUUUUUAGAAUUCCCAUGUUUAGGAAAUAAGAUGUCUUGGAGGGGACGACGAAAUUCAAAAGUCGUUAGAUGUCGUUUAGACCGGGCACUAGCGAAUGAAGAUUGGCAUGAGGUUUUCUCACACUCCUAUGUUGAGUAUCUCGCAAUGAUUGGAUCUGAUCACAGGCCAAUAGUGGCUACAAUUGAGGAUAAAAUGACACGGAAAAAAACUCAAUUCCUUUUUGAUAAGAGGUGGAUAGAAAAAGAGGGUUUAAUGGAAUCUAUCUCCAAAGGUUGGGACCUCGAUCCGGGUGAUGGGGAAGUAAAGUUCAUGGACAAAGUACGGAAUUGCAGAAGAGAAAUAUCUAAGUGGAGAAAGACCCUUAAGCCAUAUGGGCAGGAAAGAAUUAACGAAUUAAAAAAGAUAAUAGAAGACAUCCAGAAUGAUGAUACAAGGACAGAGGAGGAAUUGAUGGCAGUCACAAAAAAGUUGAAGGAAGCUUAUAGAGAUGAAGAAUUAUAUCGGCAACAAAAAAGCCGCUCUCAUUGGGCGAAGGCAGGAGAUAAAAAUACAAAAUUUUAUCAUGCAUUGGUUAAACAAAGAAGAGCACGGAAUCGAAUUACUGGUUUGAAUAAUGCGGCAGGAACAUGGGUUACUUCAGAAAAAGAGGUUGAGCAGGUGGCUGUUAAAUAUUUUGAUGAGUUAUUCACCUCGACUUCGCCUACGGAAUUUGAUGAGGCAUUGGGAAAUAUUAAACCAUCAAUAUCGAGAUAAGUAAUGCAAUGCUCACGGCUAUGGCAUCCGAAGAGGAAAUUAAAAAAGCACUUUUCAUGAUGCAUCCGGAAAAAGCUCCGGGACCCGACGGAAUGACAGCACUUUUCUACCAACGCUCAUGGCAUAUCAUCAAGGCGGAUCUUGUACGUUUAGUCAACGGUUUCUUGGAGACAGGGGUUUUUGAUGAACGUCUAAAUAUGACAAAUAUCUGUUUAAUUCCAAAAACAGAAAGGCCAACGCGAAUGACUGAACUACGGCCUAUUAGCCUGUGUAAUGUAGGUUACAAAAUUAUAUCUAAAGUACUCUGUCAAAGACUUAAAAGGUUAUUACCGGACCUGAUCUCGGAAACACAAUCAGCUUUUGUGGCAGGACGGUUGAUUUCAGAUAAUAUCCUAAUAGCACAAGAGAUGUUUCAUGGCCUCCGAACUAAUAAAUCAUGCAAAAAUAAAUAUAUGGCGAUAAAGACGGAUAUGAGCAAAGCCUAUGAUCGCGUGGAAUGGGCUUUUAUUGAAGAUCUCUUGAAACGACUUGGUUUUGCGGAGAAAUAGAUAACAUGGAUAAUGCGAUGUAUUACCUCGGUAAAAUACAAAGUUCUAUUAAACGGACAACCAAAGGGACAAAUAAUCCUAGGGAGGGGACUCCGUCAAGGGGAUCCUCUAUCUCCAUAUUUGUUUAUACUAUGUACGGAGGUUCUAAUUUCCAAUAUUAAGAAAGCUGAAGAGGAAAAAUUAUUGACCGGUCUAAAAAUUGCACGAGCAAGUCCAUCGAUCUCACAUCUACUUUUCACGGAUGACAGCUUAUUUUUUUGUAAUGCAAAUCAAGAUGAAUGCCAGAAGAUUCUGGCUAUUCUGAAACAGUACGAAAGGGUCUCGGGACAACAAAUUAAUUUUGAUAAAUCUUCAGUUCAAUUUGGGCAUUUGGUCUCGGAAGACAUUAGAAAUGAUAUGAAACAUAGUUUAGGAAUUUCUUGUGAUGGAGGGAUGUGUUCCUAUUUAGGUAUCCCCGAAAGCCUAGGUGGCGCCAAAACAAAAAUCUUUAAUUUUGUAGCUGAAAAACAACAUGAUCGGAUCAAUAGCUGGACAUCACGAUUAUUGUCGAAAGGCGGUAAAGAGGUUCUGAUUAAAUCAGUGGCAUCCGCAAUGCCCACCUUCGUCAUGUCAUGCUUUCGAUUACCUAAAUCUACUGCGGCAAAACUAGCUAGUGCAGCAGCAAGAUAUUGGUGGAGCUCUGAUGGACAUCAUCAAGGUAUGCACUGGGUAGCAUGGGGAAAAACGUGCAGAGACAAAUCAGAAGGAGGUAUCGGUUUCCGAAAUGUAGAGGAUUUUAAUACGGCUUUACUGGCAAAACAAUUAUGGAGGCUGAUUGACAGGCCAACCUCCAUGUUUACACAGGUAUUCAAAGGACGAUAUUUUCGGAACUCAAGUCCUUUGGACACAGCGAAAUCCUACUCGCCGUCGUAUAGAUGGCGAAGCAUAAUCUCGGCUAGAUCUUUGGUUAAAAAAGGGCUAAUCAAAAGAGUUGGUUCAGGAUGCAUAAUUUCUGUAUGGAAUGAUCCUUGGAUACCUUCUUCUCGCCCAAGAUCAGCCACUUGUAAGGGGUUUAAUUAUUACCCGAAUCUUAUGGUUAAUCAUCUGAUUGACCCAGUGACAAACUCAUGGAAUCUGGGACUGAUAAAGGCCAUUAUCAACCCCGAGGAUGUGGAAAUUAUUCGUGGAAUUCCCAUUAGUAGAUCCUUUAGGCCAGACACAUUGGGAUGGCACUUCACAAAAUCUGGACGAUACACAGUAAAGUCGGGAUACAAAACUGAGCGAUAUUUCUCAGAGAGGAUCUCAGAGGUCUCAUUUGGCCCAGAUUUCAAAGUUUUACAAGCAUAUACUUGGAAAUUGAAAUGUGCGCCGAAAUUACAACAUUUUAUAUGGCAAGCAAUCUCUGGUUGCCUAUCAGUGUCGGCUAGGCUACGUACUCGGGGAAUACAAUGUGACACACAAUGUGCACGGUGUGGAGCAGCAGAAGAGACAAUUAAUCAUGUUCUGUUUGAAUGACCUCCUGCAUUACAAACGUGGGCAUUAUCACGAAUUCCAACACCCCCAGGGGUUUUUCCAGGGCCAUCGGUUUUUUCGAAUUUUGAUCAUCUGUUUUGGAGACUUCCAAAGGAGGAAAAAAACAUACAAUUUCCAUGGAUCGCAUGGUAUAUUUGGAAAGCUCGAAACGAGAAAGUGUACUCAAAUAACGAUAUUGAUCCAUGGGUUACACUAAAAAUAGCGGAAACAGAAGCGAAUUUAUGGGAAGAGGCUCAAAAUUCAGAACAGGAAGUAACACAUGUAGAUCUUGGUCAUACUACAAGCCUGUCUAUACCUAUAGUCUAUGAAGGCUGGUGGUGCUACAUUGAUGGAUCCUGGAAAGAUACGGAGCCAGUAACGGGUCUAGGAUGGUUUUAUAUUAAGGAAGGUGUUCCAGAGAAAAUAUUUGGGAGCACAAAAUGUAAGACGAAGUCUUACGCCUCUACACGCAGAAAUGGAAGCCCUUAUAUGGGCUAUGCACUGUAUGUUGGAGAAUCAAAAGAUGGAAGUCGCUUUUGCUACGGACUGUUCAGAGUUAGUGAAGAUGGUGUCUACACCCGAAGACUGGCCGGCUUUUGCUCUACACUUGGAGGAGAUAAUGAAGAUGAAAGACAGGUUCAGUUUCUUUCGUAUAUCACAUAUCCCACGCGCAAAGAACUCGAAGGCGGAUAACCUAGCAAGGAGUGCUCGGAUCUACCCUCAAAAUGUUAUGUAUGUAAACUCAAUACCACCAGUUUGGUUAACCCAACCGUACUAGGUAAUGAGGCUGUUGACAAAAAAAAAAAAAAAGAUAUAUUAUUCUAUGAUGAUCAAUGCCUUUUUUCAAAAUGAUGGUUAUGUUAGGCUAUGCCUUCGCGAUCAUGAUUUUAUUGUAGAUUCGUUUUAAUCAAUUUAUAGGUGGAACAAAACAAACACUACAAUUGAAAAAAGUAGAUAUACUAUUCACACAUAGAAAAAAAUAUCUUCUUUCGAGGUGUAUCAUAAUUGGAUGUAGAAAGAUUAUUUUUAAAUUGACAAAUCCCUGGCGUUUUAUUAAACGAUUUAUGGAACUAUACAAAAACAUGAGGCACACAAAAUGCCUUAAAAUCACCAUUGAAAUAUAGUAAUAUUAUGCUAGACAUACAUAAAAGCUUACACUAUUAUUAGGAUGGAAUAUGAUUGGAAGUUUAAACCAGGUAUACAAUACAGCAAAUCUUUGUUUCUUAUAUAUAUAAUUAUGGUGGUAAGAGUGAGAAAGAGUGGUGGAGGUAAGAGUGAUGAAGAAAAUUAUGGUAGAACAUUGUAAGUUAGAUAUAUGAAAGUAUAAAAUAAUAUUAGAUUUGAAUAAAAAGAAAUUAAACAUUAAUCUAAAAUCUAGCAUGUGGACAUCCGGAUGACUCUCCGUUAGUAUGAUAUUGUCUGCUUCAACUCAAGUGCUCAAGGUCGCACAGAAUCAUAUGAUACCCAAGCUCUCCGUUUGUGAUCCUUCCCAAAUGACUUAUUACUCGGUAUAUCUUUGGACUUAACUUAUAUAUAUUAAACUAUUACUAUCUAGAUUUCUGAUGUAAAACUUGGAUUGAUAUCCUAACACAACACCUUAACACCAAACUCAAAUCAUAUGAUACCAUAACAACAUAAUAUCGGGUUUGAAUCAUAACAUUGCGCAAAACAGCAAAAAAACAGGAGCCAUCAUGUUUUCAAGUCAUAAAUAAUGAAAAAAUAACAAAAAAUCAAGAAAAGUGGAUUUUUUGAAAUAUGACUGCUCUCAAGAUCAACUGCUCCACUAGUUAGAGGCCUUCCCUCUGAUGAAUUGGGAUGAUAAUAGAUGUUGAUAUAUAUAUAUAUAUAUAUAAUCCCAAACUGGUUUGGAGUCAUUUGGAGAUGUUCUUAUGAAUAUGAUCCCAAACUACUGAAGACAUGUCUGUAAGGCUGCAAAUGAAGCAAGCACAGAAUAAUAUUAGCCACCAGCUGAUAAUACAUUGGACCAGAGCUUAGACAUCCAUCAGAUACACCACCAUUGUUCAAGUGCAUCAGCCCGUGUUCUUGGUCGAGAUCAAACACCUUUGAAUGCAAAUUCCUUUUUUUAACCCAAACUAAACUCUAGUUGACUCUAAACCUAUAGAUACCCACUUAGCUACUUCCCAGAAAUGAACACAGCCAUAAUUUAUAGCAACCACAAUUAUACUUUCAUAAUUUGGGUUAAUUCAAGAGCUUCUCACGAGAAAAUCUUUUGUAUAUCUAAUGAACUUUAUUAUUACUUGCUCGCUUUAAUGCAUGGUUUCGUUCUACAAGAACCAACAAUAUCUUGCUUUUGUAUUUCCAAAGAAGAUUUUUGAACUUUCUUAUUUCUUAUUUAAGUUUUACCUAGUGUCCAAAAGAAUAUUCACUUCACUUAGAGGUUUUCGAAACCUCAUACAAUUGCCUGAUCAAAUAGUAUGUGGAUCAGGCGGAUUCACCCAUGCACCUACUUUGGCUAUCUGGGUCUAUUUAUGAAAGUUGCUUGUCCUUAUUGAUUUACUUGAUGUGAGAAACAUAUAUGACAUGCAGACGAUACAGUGAACUAUUUAAAAGUUAUCACAUGUAUUCUUAGCUGCCCAUCAAACAUUAUCCAUACAUCUGUAGCAUAACUAUUCAAUACUCUAGGUGGAGCUUUAUCUAGUUUAGUGAUUUAAGUUCGAGAACUAAACUUAACCAUCUGCCUGCCUGAUUAUCUGAUUUGCAAUUUAUGUUUCGUUAAAACUAACCCAAGGCUUACCAUUUCCAUCCAUCAAACUUACAUUGUUUGCUUAACUUUUAAGUUUUUAAUUAAUUUAUAAAUCCAAGAGCUUUCAUCUGUUUUUCUUUACUUUACUUUUUGCAUUCUUGUUGUGUAUCACUUCUAUACUAUUAAAAGGGAAGAACUUUUAAUCUUUGUUGCCAUUUAAAAUUUUUUUUUUAUCUUAGUCAACCAAUCUAAAGUUUCAAAUUUUCAAAAUUAGUUUAUAAUUAUAUUAUACAUAAUAUGCUGGAGAGUGUUAGACUUAUGUUUUUAGAAUUGCAGUCCUAUGUGUAUUAAUUUUUUAAAACAUGCAAGAUAUCUAUACCAUUUAAGAAGAUACAAACUUUAUAUUUCUGUGUUCAAAAAGAAAAAAAAUCUAUACAAUUAAAAGGGAGCUAUUUUAGUCUUUCUUGCAAUAUACUCUCUAUUUUCUUUAAAAAAAACAAUGAUUUGGAAUAAAAUAUUACAUUGACCCAGAUUGAUGUAGUAUUAAUUGAAAAAGAGAAUUUUAUUUUAUAUUAAAAACUUAUAUGUAAAAUAAAUAUAUCUAAAAUAGACAAAUAUCAUACAAUUAUGGAUAGAGUUCUGGUAGAGAACAAAUACAAUUGGAAAAGAAUAAAAAAAUAAAAGGAAAACAAAAUAAAAUCACAUGUGGCUUUUACUUCUUUUUGCAUGUGAGAUAUUUCUUUCUUCCAUGGGAAAUAUAUAUAUAUAUAUAUGUAUAUAUAUAUAUAUAUAUAUAAAAUAAUUAUCAGAGAAGUUAUGUGAGUUUUAUCAUCAUGCAUUUAUAAAAGAAAGAAUUAAAAAUAUAAGACAAAAAAUACUACUAUUGUCCCCUUAAUACUUUAAUUUUGGAAAUUAUCCCAUUAAUACUUCUACAACUUAUUUAUCCUCUUCUACCAUUAAAAUUAAAAUUAUCCUGAAUAAUAAAAAACUCUAGUAUUUAUUUUAAUCAGAUUAAAGUAUUAACAAAAAAAGGCCAAUUUACAGUUAUAAGUUUGCUUACAAGUGGGAAUAAACUGCGUAGGAAGCAAGUAUUCUUAAUUUGUAAGAGUUAAACUCUGCUAAUUGAAUGUCUUGCAUGAAAGAAACUCAAGAAAAUCCGACUUCAUGCUGUUCGUUACCAUAGUAAUGUGUAUAGGCUUACUGGUUUGUUUAUUUAUUUUGGGAAAUUUCUUGUGAGUUGUGACCAUUUUCUGUGGUUCUAAUGAAAACAUAUUUUAAGGUAGUUAGAACGAAAAAACAAGGAGAAAAGGUAAAAAAUAUGAAAAAACGUGAAAGUUUGUAGGUUGAAGGAGGAAAAAAAAACUAAGUUGAGGAGAAGAAGAAAAAAUUGUCGACAGAAUUUAGUUUCUAAGAAAAAUAUUUAAAAAAAAAUAAUUAUGAAAUUAUAUAUUUCAAAAAGGAAAUAAAUAUAUUCUCUAGAUUUGAUCAUAGAUUCUCGGAGAUUCAGUUAACCGAAUUGUAGAAUAGGUAUUCUAUAAUUGUAGAACAAAGAGUUUCCGUAGAAAUGCAAUUCUACUAAAAUGUAGAACAAAGAGUUAACUAUAGAAAUAUAAUUCUACUAAACUGUAGAACAAUGAAAAGUUUAUAGAAUAUGGUUUCAUAUCUUUGUAGAACAUAGAAGAUCUGUAGAAAACUAAUUCUAUAUUUUUAGUUGAAAACUAAUGAAAUAGUAGAUAGCAUAUUCUAUGAAUUAAUAGAUUUAUAGAAUGCACUUUCUACUAAUUCUUAAAAUAUCUGUUAAAAAUAUUUUUAAUUUUGUUUUGAACAUAUUAUGUUACGAAAUGUCUUCGUAUUUCCUUUUUUUGAUUUUUCCAAAUUUUUUAGAUUGUAAAACUAUUUUUUUAAAUUUUCAUAAUUAUAAAUAAAUGAUAUUUUUGUCCAAAAGUAGCAAAGUUUGAAAAAGUAUUAAGGGGACAAUACUACAGUUUUUUUGUCCUAUAAAUAUAAUUACCCUUUUAUAAAAUCAAACUACAUUUCUUUUCAAUUUCAGUAUAUCACUCUCUUCCAAUUUCAAAUUUUGGGGAAAUGAUAAUCAGAAACUUCCAAGAUACUUUGUUAGCUUUAUUACAUGAUUCUUCAUUUUCCAUUAUUUACUGGUCUUGCCUACAAUAAUUGAUCCAAAAAAAAGUUCCAGUCUAAAAACUUUUAUUGUAGUUAAAAACAGAAAAUGCAGAAAAAGAUAAUGGAAAUGGAGAGUCAAAUAUUAAGGCUAAUGAAAUAUACUAUAAAUCUAUGCAUCUUUAAGAGUAAGUAUGCUUUAUUUUUAUAGUUCUUACAUUAUAAACGUUUUACAGAUUAUCGUUUACCAAGUAUAUACAAAUUUUAAUAAAACGUUUGACAUAAAUUAUCUUUAUAUCAUAUUUAAUUAAAUUUAAGAAAUUAAAUUGUAGGACCAAUAAAAGCUUUAUAUAAUAUUGAUCAAAAAGUCUUCAUAUUUAAAAAACUUAUUUUAUAAAAUAUAUCAAGUUUUAUGAAUCAUAACGAAAUGAUAUACAAACAUGUUAUCCCACUAAUAUUUCUGAUCCAAGAUUUCAAUUAAAGUAUGAUGAUAUUUUACAAAAUAUUUAAGAUCAAAAAAUUUACUUACAACAUAUUUAACAAGUUGUUCAACCGCAUAAAUAAAGUGGUUGGAAAGAUCGCCACCCCAUUUUCAAAAUCAAAAUAAAAAAAUUAUGAAUUAGUUAUUAGGGUUGUUCAUUAUAAGACUCAUAUUAUAGUAAGUUUAUAAUAUUCUUAUUUUUCUUAUUUUUCCAAGUUUAGUUUGCUCCCCAAGUAUUUCUAUAUUUAUACAUUAUUCGUGGAAUAGGACAUCAAUUUCCUCCUUUUCUUAGCUCUCUCUUUUAUUCGCUACACGUUAUCCACAUGAUAGUCUCUCAAUCUAUUUAUUCUUACACCAAAAAUAUAAAUAUUUAAUUUAUGUUUAUGGAUAUAUUAUUCUAUGAUGAUAAAUGCUUUUUUUUCAAAAAGAUGGUUAUGUUAGGCUAUGCCUUCGCGAUCAUGAUUUUAUUGUAGAUUCGCUUUAAUCAAUUUAUGGGUGGAACAAAACAAACAUUACAAUUGAAAAAAUAGAUAUACUAUUCACAUAUAGAAAAUAAUUAUCUUCUUCCGAGGUAUAUCAUCAUUGGAUGUAGGAAGACUAUUUUUAAAUUGACAAAUCCCUGGCGUGCAUCAACCCGCGUUCUUGGUCGAGAUCAAACACCUAUGAAUGCAAAAUCCUUUUUUUAACCCAAACUAAACCCUAGUUGACUCUAAACCCUGUGUAGACACUAAGAUGCAGGAUCAGUUCUUAAUUCAAGCCAAUUGAGUAAGGUUUUGAUGUUACUUCCACUAAACAAGCUUAAAACAAGAAUUAAAGCUAAUGAUCAACUUAAACAAGCAAAUGACAAGUGGUAUGAAUAUGAGAUGAUGGAAGCAUGAGAUUCUAGACGUGAUAGUUGGCUAGGGUGCUUUGAUGCUAAAUCAGGAAUGCUAAUGACAAUGAUGAGACAUGAUUCAAGUGAUUUAAAACUCUAAUCUAGAUUAAUCCUCUCGUGAAGGCAUUAACCUCUACACUAAUCCAUUUUUAAACCAAAUCAUCAUUUGUGAAAUAUGAAUCAAUGAGCAUUAAGAAACAGUUCUAAAAGAUCAUUCAAGCAAAUAACAAAACAUCAUCAUGCAGCAAAUGCUUAAACCUCUAAAACAGCUCUUUCAGGAUCAUUUCAUCAAACACUUGUGGUGCAUGAAAUUUCCAGAAUCUAGAUCACAGCUUUUUAGAGAAAUGAACCAAUGAAUCUAGCCCUAAGCACUCCUAAUCUAACACCUUAGCACCCUAACCUACACAUCUAGAACCUCAUUAAGCUAAACUACUCACUAAUCAUACUAAUCUCUCUUAAACCUUUGCAAGUUAAGAUUAGUGAUGAGAAAUGGAGAUGGAGAAUAUGGAUAAUGAUGGGUUUGCAGCUUUAAACACAGAAAUAUCUCAAUCUCUCUGAUUAAAACUCACAAAGGGGUGGAAGAUGAAGAUGGAGAUGAUAGAUGAUGAUGGAUUUCAGCUUUAAACCCUAAUUACUCUCUUGAUUCAACCCAGAAAAUGAAGAUCUCUCUUACAAAGUUUAGGUUUUUCACAAAAGAGGCAAAGAAAACUAAGAGAAUAAAGCUUAGUCUGCUGGAUAAUGCCUAAAACAUAUAUAUAGGUAGGGUUUCUUGCUGGGCCAACCUAGGACAAACUAGGUUUUGGCCCAAAAAGGUCCACAAAAAUGUCAUGAAGCGAGAAUGUAUCGAGGUGAUUUUGGCCGGUGUAGGACGUCGAUAUUUCUUCGGCGAUUUGAGACUGGUUACACCGAGACACUACACCGGCUGAACUCACCUCGGUGCGGCGUCAAGGAUAGCUUCAGGGGAUUAAUACCGAGCAGAAUCAGUCGGUGCAGCAUCUAGAUAAUUAUUCAGCAAUUUGGCUUCCAAAAGCCAGCCAAAAACGUCAAGUUUCCAAGGUAAUACCGACCAGAUUUUGGUCGGUACUCCUUCUCGAUAUGAAUGUUGACCGCUUGCACCAAAUCCUUCAUAACUCCUUGCUCAGUUGUCCAAACCUCGAUAUUACAACUCCACGAACCAGAUGACGUACUUAGCUCCCCUUUUGGUAAGGGGCUUAACCCCGUAUGACAUUGGCAAAGCCCCCGUCUCGUCGGUUCUUUGAGGCGCAUCGCGUAAGACCUGAUCGGGCCGCGAGACAUGUGUUCCUUCCGAUGGCGAUAUCUCGCAGUUCACGGCUCCAUAUCGUCUGAUUUCAAGUGUUUCGGAAACUAGACUCAUUGCUCUUGAUCUUUUAUGAAGACACCGGAGGUUGAAUCGCAUUUAAUGUCCUUCGUCCCAUGCGAUAAAAGUGAAGGUCUCGUCUGCACCAAACCAUCUGUCCGAGUUGCUGUACACAGGCGAGGGUUCCUCUAUGAUCCCAGCUGCAAGUUUCUCCCAAAAGUAUCCAAAUGGCCUGAGAAUACUCCAAAAAUGCAGGACACUCUAGGACCUAAUGCAAAUCUUAAACAAAGCUAGAACCAAAGACAAACUCUAAUAAAACUAGCUAAAUGUAUGCAUGAGACUCAUAUUUGGACAAAAAUGCAAUCCUAAACAUGACAAAAUAUGAGUAUAUCAACUCCCCCACACUUGUCCUUUGCUUGUCCUCAAGCAAACAAGAACAAAUGAGAGAGAGAGAGGUUGAAUGCAUGGGAGUUCAUAUUUCUUUAAAGAGAGAUCAUCAUUAAAAGAAUUCAAAGCUCAUUGUUCAAGUUAUCAAUUCUAGACUGCAAUGCAAACUGGUUUACUCAUAAAAAUUAGCCAUACUUGUCACCAAAUGAACCAAACUCAAGCACCAACCUUCACAAGCAUUCCUAACCUCAACCUUUUGACAUUCAUUUAAAGUUUCAAGUGGAUCAUGUUCAUGCAAAUCAAGUGAAUUCAUUUGGCUUGGGACUGGGUUUUGAGAUUAAAAUGAUCUCAAUCAAGUAACUGGUACUCCAUGCAAGGGGAUCACUCAAAAAGUAGUAGACUUUAGUAAAAUGCUAAGGGUAAUAAGCAAUGGAUGCAUACAAAGAUAGAACUGCAUCUAAUCCACACCCAAAAUGCUUUUCACACUCAACUUUAAACCUCUCAAGACUCUUUCUCUAGUCUACUCACCCCAAAUGGCAUUUUGCCUUUGACACUCAAUCAGCUCUCAUCACUCUCUUCAUUUCAUCUCUUAGGGGAAUGCUUUCUUUAACAACCACUUAGUGAGUUUCUUUUCUUUAACACAUAAGCUCUUUCUUAAUCCAGCCUCUUUUUGAAUCUUUUCUUUUUGUUUCUUUUCAUGAGACUCUUUUCAUUUCAACACAUGAGCUUUACAUUUCAGCACACACUCACUUUCUUUCAUUUAAGCAUUCAUUCCCCUAACUAAUCCGGUUCUUUCCACUUUCAUCACUCAGAUUUUUUUUUCUUUUUCAGCUCACACACUCAAAAUCAAUGCUCUCACUUUAAUCUAAACCUAGACUAGCCCUUGAUGUUGGACUAGUGUCUACAUGCAGCACUAUCUUUGUCGCUCUAAACCCAACACUUUUUACCAAGUUUACUAGAAACAAGGCCUCACAAAUAAUGCACACAAGAAGGGUGUUUAGGCUUCAAAGAAAGGUUUGGCUAAAGGCAGGAAACUGUCUCAAUAUGAGAGAUCAGCUAUUUGAGCUAGCAAGAGUGAUUAAAAGGGAUAAGAAAGCUCAAAUAUGUAUGUGGUACCCAUGAACUCACAAUGAUAUGCACAAACAUGAUAAUUAGAUGUCAAAUUCAAGGGUUCUCACUUAAGCAAGGUUGAGGCUAUUCACAACUUGAUUCAGCUAGCACAGAAGUUUUGAGACACCAGUUCAAAGCAUGGUUCACACUUGAUUUCAUACCAGUUUUGCAAUGCAUUAAAGGACCAAACUCUUAAAAUGAUGCUCUCUUCAAGAAAAAACCUAUCAUUACUCCCAUUUGCAUAUGAUGAAACCUAUAUGAAAAUGCAAACUAGACUCAACCUAAAAUGUGAAUGCAACUACAUGAGAAUGAAGGAGAAGUGCAAAGCAAAAUCACAAAAUGUAAAGAGAAUAUAAGCUAAGCUAGAUGCGUCCCUCUUGGCUCUGACCUCGUCUUCCUCUGACUCUGGUGGUGAAUGGUUCUCUGAUCCGCAGAUUCUAAGUAACUCCCCUUGGUGAGAGCUCUCGCCAACUUUUCCUCUUUGGAACCUCUCAAGCUUUGUACUCAGCUUCUUGAUUUUAGCAGCCAUGCUCUUAAUUGUGCUUGCCAAAGUUUUCACUGUUUCCACCAGCUUCUUGGUGUUCUUGUCCUGCCACUUGUUCCAACUCUGAAGGUUCUUGGUUUGGUAAUGUGCAGCAACAGUGGCAUCAUGGGCAUCUGACCAUCAUAAGAAUCAAAGAAGUAUCUAUGACUCCCAUACACUGGGUCUGGCAAGAAGGGCUCUUCCUGAACCGGUUCUUGAUCUCCAUCAUAAUCAUUAGCAGGCGCUCUCUGCUUCCCCAACUUCCUGAUAGUUAUAAUCGGAGGAUGGAUCUCUGGGUUGUAGUGCUGAUCCUUGGUGACAUAGAAACUGAUGUUUUUACGUUCAGUGAGUGAAGUGAGGGAAGGAUUAGGCAGCAGGACUCUUACUUUAACCUUCUUAUCAAUGCUAAGGUUAUAAGCAAAGGAAUCACCCACAGCACCUUCAAGAAAUGUAGUCUUGGCCAAAUGAAGUGCAUCCAUCAACUUAAAACCGAUUUGUUCACCUCUCAUCUCAACUCCAGCACUCAGUAAAAUAGGAGUGAUCAGGCCUCCUAUGCGCAUGGAGGGUGCCUUCAUUUUUGUGACAUGAGACCAUUUCCUAAUUGAGAGAAGGUUCUUGACUAAAAUGGCCGCCAUUGUUGGUUUGUGAGGAUCGCCGUUAAAAGUCAUGCCACUGCUGAACUUAGGCAUCAAGGGUUUAAGACCUUCUCCAAUGAGCAUCAACUCCUCAUCAUACACUGUUGAGUACUCUUUCUUUCCAAGGAAGGUGUGAGCUAUGAUCUUGUGCACCAUCCUGAGCACUGGACUCCUGAUACAAGCUGCCUUUGUUACACCAGCUGAAUAAUCACCACUUCCUAUUGUCCCCCAUAGCUGAUCCAGGUCGGUUCCAUAGUAGAUCAACCUUCUUGAAAACGUCCUCCCCUCAACAGUGAACCCAAAGCAUUCACUUAUCUCCCUGAAGGUCAUCUCAUAACGCUCCUGUCCAAUUUUGAAUGCAACGGUUCCAAUCUCUCUAUAGAAAUCAACCUGUAGUGAUGCAAGAAAUUGGCAAGUCAUCUCUUUGUAGGAAGGGUGAGGCGUUUCUAUUAAGCUCCCAAGUCCAAUGGAUUGAAGCACUGCCUUUACAUCUUCAAGAAUACCAAGUUUCCCCAAGAGUUCAAGAUCAGGGAAGUAGGUUCCUUCAUGUGCCACAGCUUGGAGUUUUCUGAGAUAGUCUGAGUAAGCCGGAGGUUUUGGCUUUGGCUUCUUCACCACCUUCUUUUUCUUUUGGGGCACAACAGCUGGUGAACCCACAUUGCUCUCUUCCUCACUAGAUUCCACACUUGGGCUCCUCUCAAGUCUUUUAUGUUUCCCUGAAGCUCUUGAGCUUGAAGCUCUUAAAGCUGCUGCUUUCCCUUUGUUUUUAGAACCAGCAGAAACCGAUUGUGGUCUUUCCCCUGAACCAGAAGCAACUGCCUUGCCAUUGUCUCUCCUUGGUACUUUGGGCAUCAAAACAGGGUUUCCUCUUGCCAUGGUACCUGUUUCAACAAUUUCUCAAACAAACAAUGAGUUUCUAGAGAAAAAAAUCCUUGAAAUUUCCAAAAUGAUUUUUGCUUGGAAUGAAAUCAAUGGAAACAAUUCAAGCAAAAUCACAUUAAGCAUUCCCAAGCAGCACCAAGAGAUUCUCACUUCAAAAUAAUUUUCUAAAAUCCAAAUUUCAGCUCAAGAACAACAAGUUCUAAAGAGAGUCUAAAAUCAGGAUUCAAGAAACAAUUGGGCACAAGUGAGCUCGUUUCUAGCUACCCACGACCUAAACUCCAAGGUUCUAACUCAGUUUCAAGCAGUGCAUUUUCAGUUCCACAAAAAUUUCUUCAAGAAAAAUCAAGAGAACAGCGAUUUAGGGUUUUUGAACCUAAGAAGCAAUUUAAGCAAAAUGUACCUUGGAGCUGGGUUAACUGGUGCAAGAAAUCGAAAUGGGGCAAAGAAAUCUCCAGGAAAAUCGAUUAACAAGCAAGAAAUCAAGCUUUCUGAAAGCAACAAUGGUGUUUCUUCGCAAAAGUGGAGGAAGGAAAGAGAAAACCGAUUUUCUGUGUGUGGACCAGGGCUGGAGGGUCUCUUUUCUGUCGUGGGAAACAGCUGGAAGUGGCUGAAAUCUUUGAAUUUGACUGAUCCACCCUGCGGACCGCUGGACAAUAGACUGCACCAUGGUCAUACCGACUUGAUUUUGCUCGGUGUGGGAGGUCGGUGUGCUCUCAAGUUUCUUCCCUUUCUACACCGAGUUCUUGCACCAGGCAGAAUCACCUCGCUGUGAGACAAGACUCGGCUCCUUCCUGCACUGCACCGACCUCAUUUUGCUCGGUGUAUCUGGUCGAUAUUUUCGCGGCAUUUUGAACUUGUUUACACCGAGCAAAUGCACUGAGUGAAAUCACCUUGGUGUGAGGUAUCCUUUGCCAUCUUGUGCUCCAACACCGACCUCUCCUUGCCCGGUUUAACUGGUCGAUAUUUUCUCGGCCUUUUGAACCUGUUACACCGAGCAAACACACCAAGGGAAACCAUGUCAAUAUGAAUGCAUUCCUCAGCCCAUUUUUCAUCUUUUCUCUUCUCCAAUCCUUUCAAAACUGCACCUGGACCUUUCUAAAACCUGUACACACUUGAACAAAAGAUUAAAACAUCCUAAAAGCAAUCAAAGAAGGCAGGAAAAGAAACUAUAUACAAGGAUAAGCUUGGGGUGUCUCCCAAGAGCACUUUGUUUAAAGUCUCUAAGUUUGACUUUGAUACCAAGUUUAUGCUGAUGGUGGAUCAAAAAGGGGAACUGAUGUAGCUUGCUCCUUCUUUUGUGAGACUAGGUAGUGCUUGAUCCUUUGGCCAUUGACCACAAACUCUUGAUCAUCUUUACCUUCUAACACAACAGCUUCAUAUGACCUAACUUCAAGAAUCUUAAAGGGACCAGACCAUCUAGACUUAAGUUUUCCAGGAAAUAACUUAAGCCUAGAGUUGAAAAGCAACACCAGAUCACCUUCCUUGAACUCCCUUUUCAAUAUAUUUUGAUCAUGUAGAGCUUUGGUCUUUUCCUUAUAGAUCUUGGAGCUCUCAAAAGCCCCCAACCUAAUCUCUUUAAGUUCAUGGAGUUGAAUUAUUCUUUUCUCUUGAGUUGUUUUGAUAUCAAAGUUCAGCAACUUCACAGCCCAUAAUGCCUUGUACUCCAGCUCAACAGGAAGGUGACAGCUCUUCCCAUAUAGCAGAUUGAAAGGAGAUGUCCCAAUUGGAGUCGUAAACGCUGUUCUAUAAGCCCACAAUGCAUCAUCCAGCCUUUUGCUCCAAUCUUUUCUGCUUGAGCUAACAGUCCUCUCAAGAAUGGCCUUAAUUUGUCUAUUAGACACUUGAACCUGGCCACUAGUUUGAGGAUGAUAAGGAGUAGCUACCUUAUGUUUCACUCCAUGCUUCCUCAGCAAUCCCUCGAAGGUUUUGUUCACAAAAUGAGAACCUCCAUCAGAUAUAACAACCCUUGGUACUCCAAAUCUUGGGAAGAUUAUGUUCUCGAACAACCUGACCACCACCUUGGAAUCAUUGGUAGGGGAAACAAUAGCCUCAACCCAUUUGGACACAUAGUCCACAGCCACUAAUAUGUACUGAUUCCCAAAAGAUGAGAUGAAUGGCCCCAUAAAGUCCACUCCCCAACAAUCAAAAAUUUCAACCUCAAAUAUUGGAUUUUGAGGCAUUUCACUCCUCUUUGAAAUGUUCCCAUGCCUCUGACAGGAAUCACAUGCUGAAACAACCCUCUAAGCGUCCUUGAACAUAGUAGGCCACCAAAACUCACUCUGAAGAACCUUGGCCACUGUCUUGAAUGCUCCCAUUUGACCCCUAAAAGCUGAUCCAUGGCACUCUUGCAACACAGGUUGCAUCUCCUCUUCAGCAAGACACUGUCUAUACAGCUGAUCUUUGUUCAGGACAUACAGGUAAGGUUCAUCCCAAUGGUAUCUUUGGACAUCUUUGAAGAAUUUCUUUCUGUAGUAAGCAUCACUACAAAAAAAAGUGAAUAUUGUUAUGAAAAGUUGUGACUAUUUUUUUUUGUAACAAUUUUGUUACGAUUUUCAUACGAAACCGUGACAAAAUUAUUUAGUCAUAAAAGUGUUACCAUUUCGUCAUAAUAUUGUGACCGAAUUAAAAGUAGCAAACUUUUGUCACUAAUUGUGACAUAAUUGUUACAUAAUAUAUAGUAACAAAUAUUGCUACAGAUUUGUGACCAAAUUUAGUAACUAAAUUAUACGAUUUUUGUGACUAAACUUAAGUCACUCAAAGUUACAAAUUUUUUGUAAGUACAUCAUCACAAUUAGUUACUAUUUAUUCACUUUUAAGUUUGGUCAUAGAUUAUGACAUAAUUGUUACCACUUUAUGACAUAACUGUUACCACUUUGUGACAAGAUUAAAUCACAAGUUUAUUUAAAAAUAAAUAAGAAAAUAGCUUUAAUUCAGAUAAACAUCCAAAAAUCCAAUUGAAUGAAUUUCUUAUUCGAUUUUAUUUUUAUUUUAUCUAAAAACUUGUAUCUGACGUAGUGUUGUUGAAGAAAACAAUGUGUAUUGCUGAUUUUGAGAAUUCGAAGAUGCUGUUGUAGUAACCCGCGCCUUGGUUUAUAGUCCUUAACUAGACUUAGCUAGAAUUUGCAAAGGUAGACUUUACAAAUAAGUACCUAAAAUGGGUUGCCUCCCAUCAAGCGCUUUGGUUUAUAAUCCUUAGCUAGACUUUGCAAAGAAAAAGACUUAGUUCAAAUAGGAUCUUGUCCUAAGAGAAGUCCUUUUCAAAAUCCUCCUGUUCUGUCUGACAGGUUCUUCAUCACUCCAGAGUUCUUCUGGUUCAAAUGCCUGGGCUAUUUGCUCUCCUCUUUUGCUCUUAAGUGGUGUAGCUUCAUAGAAGAUGUCCUUGUCGAUAUUGGCAAAGGAAACUCACCUGUUGGGCCAAUCCAUGAUGGCUCCAGCAGUUGCUAAGAAAGGCCAUCCAAGAAUAACUGGAUAAGAGUCAUCUUUGGUCUUCACUAUGUAUAAAAAGACAGGUGCCAUGCAAUUUCCAAUCCUUAGAGGAAUGUCUCGGGCUAUCCCUCUUGGUGUUGCACUUGAAUCAUCUGCUAAGCUAAUCUUUGUCCUGAUACUUGAGAUGUGCUUAAUGCCAAGUCUCAAAGCAGUUGCUUUGGAAAUCAUGUUAAUGCAAGCUCCAGAAUCACAAAGAAUAUUGAGGAAUCUUUCAACUCUAAUGUCACAAGAGAUAAGAAAUUGACCUUUGUCUUGAACUUUGUGCAGAGUUCGAACUGGUCUUUCCUGUGGAUGAUCUGGUGCCUCAAAUGCAGAAUAAGAAUCACAAUAGAACUUGGCAGCAUCAAACUCGAUGAUUGAAUCUAUGUAUGGCAUUUUGAUUCUCUUAUGUGAUUCAUCCUCCACAUCUAUGACAUCUGGUUCUUCUUCUGUGAUCUUCAUGCAUGGGAUGUAAGAGUCAUGCUCUUCUGGUUUGUCAGGCUCUCGGUGAUGCAGACUUGGAGCGAGAUGGCGGUUCCCCGCGGGUGGAGACGUCACAUCCGCGGCUGAGAGGGAUCCGGCCGCGGGUGAAACUCUCGCAGCCGCGUUGAGGAUAGGCUUGGCCAGCUGAAGUCCUCGCGGCCGCGGUAUUGAACUCCGAAGGUUGCUCUGCUGCUUCUACUUCUUGCUCUUCCAGGAUUUCUGCAGGGUUAUUCUGAGUGUCCAUUGUGGGAUCUCCUAAAUCAGAAUUGGUUGGUUCUUCUUCUUUUUGCGGACCAUGAACAAGAGAAUCCUUCUCAUGAUUCUCAAAGAUCUUCCUCACAACAAGGUUGGUGUCUCUUUGGCACUUAGAGAGAUGCUUGAUGCCAGAACUAGUUUCCAUGCUCUUGUGCUCAAGCUUGCUAAGGCGAAAUUCAAUCUCUUGAAGUUCACCAUCUUUCUUUCCUCUGUACCAUGAAGCGAUUUCAUUGGACUCCUUGAUCUCUAACUUAGCAGCCUUGGCAUCGAUGGAUCCUUGAAGGAUAUCAUACUUCUGUCUUGGCUGCUCUUCCUCAACAGCAUCUAUCUUCCUUUUUAGGGCAGCAAUGUCUUGAAAGUGCAGAUCUUCUAGCGAUUUCACAUGGUGAGUGAGGUCAUCAAUCCUCUUGUACAGGAUAGAUUUCGUAACAACUUGAAAAUCAAGGUAUUGAUUCAGCAUAGCUCCUAAUCGAUUCAGUUGGGGCCUAAAUCGAUCAGCUUCAGUGUUUUGGUGCAGAAUCUGAUGAGGAAGAGGAUGAGAUGGUCGACGGUUCACCAAGUGUGGCGAAUAUGGCUCAUCUCGGUGGUGUGGAGGUUGCGAGUCUCCAUGGUGGUGGUUCGGAUUAGGGUUCCAAAGAUGAUGAUAAAAAUCACGCCUGGAGGGUGAUUCACAUGCGCAAGGAGCUUCACACAGGUCGCAGGACCUUCGCUCGGGAUUAGGGUUUCUCCUUGAAUGAUCCAUGCUUCAAAGGUUUCUGAAACUAGGGCAAACAGAAGAAAGAAUAAGCAGAAAAAGAAAACGUUAUGGUGUUUAUGAAUUUGGUUUACUUCCUAUGUUACUUUGGCAGAAACUCGACAUAUAUAUAGUCGUCUGCAGCUUCAGCCUCCCAGGUUUAGACCUCCAGCGACUUCAUGCCUCCCCGACAACGGCGCCAAAAACUUGAUGGGCUUGCAGGCCUAGGGUUGUUUUUUAAUAAGCCCGUUGGUCCUCCUUAAGUUUUAAAUUUAUAAAACCCUAGUGUCUGCAAGUGCACAGAUGUACGUUAUAGGACUUAGGGUGUCAAUCCACAGGGAGGAUGUCUAAUCUGCAAGAAACAACAAACUGGGAAGUAAGCAAACUCAUAAACCAAUAAAAGAUUUGGGGUUUUUGGUUAGGAUCCUAAACUAAACCUAAUCUAAUAUUCACAAGAAAUGCAGUGCAGGAUGAAUUGUUAAAAGAACAUCUAAAGCAUAUCGACUCAAACUAAAGACUCUUGAACUCAUAGGUGGUGAUUUAGACUUCUCCGGUUUACUCUAGUCGAUGUAUGGUGGCAUUUCCAAUUAGCUUCCGGUCGAUUUAUCUUCAUCUGUUUAUGGGAAUCUGCAUUGAACUAGAAUAGACACAUGUAUGAUUAGCCAACUGUCGUCACCUUAAUCAACUAAUCUCUUAGAUCUAGCAAUUAACUCUCGCUCUCAUGCUAAACUUAAGAUCAUGCAUUGAACAUUGAAUUCGUCUGCUCACAUCUUCUCUAUAGGUAGCUUUCGACUCCUAUAGCGACUAUGUUCUUCUGAAGCUAGGUACGGAUGAUCUGAUACAACACUCUCGUGGCUCUGAUCAAUCCUAGGCUCAGAGAAUAGGACAUGAAUCUACUCUCAUUCUUUACGAAUAACUUAGAAGAGAUGAGAUCCAGAAUAUGGCUAAGAACAAUAGAAAUCCUAAUCGAUAUAUAUGCUUGUCGAUAUCUUCAAACAACUUGACUCUCUGGGACUAAUCUAUAUGAUGCAAUGCAUGAUGAAAGACAUAGAAAAAUGCAAAAGAAUGGAACAGAAAAGUUAAUAAGAUAAAAAGGAGGAAGAACAAUGGAUCUGGGGAAGAAUCCCCAUCUCCAUCGCCUAACCCUAGAAAAACAAAGUUUGGUGGCUCAAAAUCUCAUUACAGGAGCACACACCCGUUUAGGACUGCUAAACAAUGUAUUUAUAGGUCCUAAGGUCUUCCAGGUAUCUUUUAGGGCUUCUCUGAAGAGGAUUAACAAAGUGGGCAUUGGUGUUGGGCCUUUUGGCUCGUCCUAAGGUCCACCGGGGGUGAGAGUCUUCCAGGGAAGGUAAAACAUGUGUUUUCCUCUGGUGAGAGUCUUCCUGGACUGGUGAACUGGGUCAACUUGUUCUCCAUGUAUCUUUUUAUUGCACCGUUGGAUCUUUGUGAUGUAAAGUGCUGUGGAAACUGGUUGUCUCCACUUGAUUGUCUCCAAAUUUGAGCUGGAUCGGACGGUGAGAAAAUCUUCAUUUGAGGCUGAACUUCUUAUGGUCUGACUGUGAGCUAAAAAUGUGGAUUUCUUCCAUUUUGCCAUCAUAUUCCUUAAGUUUCCUGAAAAGAGCCUUGAAACUAUAAAUACAUAGAAAUCAUAAUAAAAGUUCCUAAAACAGAGUAAAACCUUUGAAAAAGCAUUUGAAAUCAAUGGUGAAAAAUGGUCAAAAUCAGGUGUUAUCACAUAUUUAAUUAAAUUUGAGAAAUUGCAUUGUAGGACCAAUAAAACUUUAAUAUAAUUGAUCAAAAGAGUCUUUUUCUUUAAAAAACCUAUAUUAUAAAAUAUAUCAAGUUUUAUGAAUCAAAUAUUAACUAAAUUAUAUACAAACAUUUUGGCACAGAGUUAAACAAUUCUUCAAGAUGUUCAUAUUGAAAAAGUGUUGUUAAGUUUGCCAUAAAAUAAUUUGCUUUGUUACUCUAUCCAGUCGACUUGCUUGUCACUCUUCUACAUGUGUAUAUGUAUUUUAUUUUCCAUAUGAUAUUUAUGAGUAGCUCUUUUUUAAGAAAAUGUCAGCAUAUAUGGUCCAAACACAUACCAAUUUUUUAAAAACCUUUUUUUUUAUCUUAAAUGGAGCACUGAUAGAAAAUUAAUUUGUUUUUGUUAAAGACCCUUGUGAGUUCUCCAAUAUUCAUUAACUCCAAAAUCCUCCUAGAAGUUGCUUCUGUAGUUUCAUGAUAAUUAAUACAAAUUGAAUUUAAGUUCAGAAAGAAGGAUGUUUAGCUUGUAAAUCUAGAUUUAUAAAUUUAAUUUGGUUAUUUUGUGAAACAUAUUAUCACACUAAUAUUUUUGAUCCAAGAAUUUAAUUAAAGUAUGAUGAUAUUUAACAACACAUUUAAGAUAAAAAAUUCACUUACAACAUAUUUAACAAGUUGUUCAACCGCAUAAAUAAAGUGGUUGGAAAGAUCACCACCCCAUUUUCAAAUUCCCAAAAUCAAACAUAAAAAAUAUUAUGAAUUAGUUAUUAUGGUUGUUCAUUAUAAGACUCAUAUAUAGGAAGUUUAUAAUAUUUUCAGUUUCUUUAGUUUUUAAGUUUAGCUUGUUCCCCAUGUAUUUGUAUAUUUAUACAUAUUCCUAAUUAUUCGUAGAAUAGGACAUCAAUUUCCUUUUUUUCUUAGCUCUCUCUUUUAUUCGCUACACGUUAUCCACAUGAUAGUCUCUCUAUCUAUUUAUUCUUACACCAAAAACAAUAAUAUUGAAUUUAUGCUAAUGAUAAUUUCCUUUUUCCAAAAUGAUGGUUAUGGUAGGCUAUGCCUUCGCGAUCAUGAUUUUAUUGUAGAUUCACUAUUUCUUAUUUAAAGCUUUACCUAGUGUCCAAAAGAAUAUCCACUUCAUUUAGAGGUUUUCCAGACCUCAUACAACUGUCUGAUCAAAUAGUAUGUGGAUCAGGCGGAUCCAUCCAUGCACCUACUUUGGCUAUUUGGGUCAAUUUCCUCCUUUUCUUAGCUCUCUCUUUUAUUCACUACACGUUAUCCACAUGAUAGUCCCUCUAACCAUAAUUUGUGUUUAUGGUUAUAUUAUUCUACGAUGAUAAUUUCCUUUUUCCAAAAUGAUGGUUAUGGUAGGCUAUGCCUUCGCGAUCAUGAUUUUAUUGUAGAUUCAGUCUCCGCGGAACAUAAAUAUAGAAAGAUAGUUAUCAAUGCUUAUCUAGAAUAACGUUUAACGAUGGUUUAAUCUUUGUAUCUUAUUGAUUAUAGUUCUGUUAAAAUUCUUUAGAUAUGAAGAUUUGUUUAUAUAAAACAAAAAGAUAACAAAAAAGAAAGCUAUAUAAUCAAUUAGGGUUUUUGUGGUAUCUAUGUUCGACAUAACUAUUUUUGAAAAAUCUAUGAUAGUUUAGUUGAUUGUUAAUCAUAUAUGAGAAGAGAUUAUAUAACUUUUAUUUUGUGAUAUAAGUUAUUAGGGUUUUGAUGUUAUAAAAAUUUACUCAAAUAUUUAAUUAUGCAUUAUAUAUAUUUUAAUAAUAAUAAUAAGUAAUAAUUAAACAAAAUAAAAUUUUCUAAAAACAAUCUAAUUUCAUAAAUAGUUUAUAUGAAAACAAAAAACUAAUAAAACAAAUAUUUUGUUGUUAAAAUAUGGUCCUUCUUGCAUUUUUUUCAUGCAAAAUUGUUGAUCAAACUUUUAUAUUCGAUUUUUUUCAACCAUAGAUGUCUCAAUCUAUAGCAAAGUUAUCCAUUCAAUCAGUCUUGUGACAUGGUAGACCAAAUAUAUAUAUUUUUUUAUCAGGUUUACUUCGAAAAACUUCAUUCAGCAGUGGAAACAAAAAUGUAAAUGUGGUGUUGACAAUUAUAUCCCCAAUAAAAAAGAUUCAACUAUUUAUGCCUCCAAAAUUUAGAUGUCCUUAUUCGUCGCCUGCCUUACUUUUGCUUUGGGCCAGUCAUGGUGCUAGUCGAAUAUAAAAUUAUUAGAGUUGUUAGGUAAAACGUUGCUUUAUACUGAUUUCGUAUUCAUCGGGCUUGGUGUUGGUUGAUUGAGUUAACUCAUCCUAUAUUUGAUUAUUGCAUAAUUAUUAUGAUAUAGUUUGUGAAGCCAAGCAAUUAUUGCCUCAUCGUUCAUGCAUGCAUAAUUAGGAUUUGAUUGCUUUUGUCAUAUAAUAUAUAAGAUAUGGAGAUGCAUGUCUUACUUUGAUCUGUUCAGCAACUGUCGAUUGCAACUGAUGUGUGUUAAGAUCACCGAAAGCAUUUGUGAAUGUAAAAUAAAGCAGAUUAAAAACUAGAUGACCGAUAUAGAUGAAUAGACUUUUGAAAACCGAUUUGCUUAUAAGUUGCACAGAUUAUUCUGUUAUCAAAUAUGCAGUGUUAUCGAUGGUUAAAAAAAGUCUUGUAGCUUUACUUUUCCAUUCUCUAUCAUCGUUAAUAAAUGUUGAUUUAUUCUCUCCUCAUAAUUUUGAGAAAGGAGAACACUACCACCAGUUUGAUUUACCAACUUGAUCGUCCACCACUUGAUUUAAGGUACGCAAAUUAAUAUUAUUCGGUUUAGUUUUAGUUCCAAUAUUUAACCAUAAAGUAUUCACAAGUUAUUUAGAGCGAUUAAAAAAGACAUGAUCACUAGAAUGUGAUAUCACUAAAAGCUCAUUGCUUAAAGUUCCUUUCAAGAACUUGGAUUACCACUAGAAGUGAGAAGAUAAAGAAGGUAAUAUGCAAAAGAUAUAUCCCUCAUAUGGCGACAAAAUAAGCUAGUGUGAGUACAAUAUGAGGUAGUACAAAGAAUAUUAAAAGUUCUAGAAGACCAUAUAUAUUUGCCCAUAGAAAUACUAUAAGAAUUAAAGAAUCAUUUUGUUGUUCUAGAGUGUUCUCCUUAGCAUGGAGAUGCAGAGAAUUACAAGGUAUAACUAGGUACAUGACAUCACAUACUAGAGCACAAUGUUUGAUUAUACACAAUUUUCUUGAUUUUCAAGGAAUUUUAAUAAGAUGGUAGAUAUAAUAGCAAAAAGAGCCUAUUUGAUCCAAGUAUUCCUUUUAUUAGUCUUUUUAUUUUUUGUAUUAACCUUAGUCUUCAGUUUUAUGUUCUUAUUUAUCUUGUACAGUUCUUGAAUAAGGAUUACAAUCACUAUGAAGCUAAUGGAAUUUGCAGAAGUAAAAAAAAGAAAAAAAUACAUGUAGUGUAAGAGCUAAAUAUUUUUCAAAUUUAAAUUGAUCUCAUAUUGUUUUUAUAAUACAGACCACCAGCAAUUUAUUUUAUGGUUUGUAGAACCAUCCACCUAUAUUAGAUUUGAUUCAACACAAACGUUAACUCUAACUCGCUUUAAUCAAUUUAUGCGUGGAACAAAACAAACACUACAAUUAAAAAAAUAGAUAUACUAUUCACACAUAGAAAAUAAUUAUCUUCUUCCGAGGUGUAUCAUAAUUGGAUGUAAGAAGACUAUUUUUAAAUUGACAAUUUCUGGAACUAUACAAAAAAUGAGGCACACCAAAUAAGCGUUAUACAUAAUUAUCGUUUAUCAUAUUAUGCUAGACAUACAUAGAAGCUUACACUAUUAUUAGGAUGGAAUAUGAUUGGAAGUUUAAACCAGGUAUACAAUAUAGCAAAUCUUUGUGUCUUAUAUAUAUAAUGAUGGUGGUAAGAGUGAAAAAGAGUGGUGGAGGUAAGAGUGAUGAAGAAAAAUAUGGUAGAACAUUGUAAGUUAGAUAUAUAUGAAAGUAUAAAAUAAUAUUAGAUUUGAAUAAAAAGAAAUCAAACAUUAAUCUAAAACCUAACAUGUGGGCAUCCGGAAGACUCUCUUUUAUUAUGAUAUUGUCUGUUUCAAUUCAAGUGCUCAAGAUCGCACAGAAUCAUAUGAUACCCAAGCUCUCCGUUUGUGAUCCAUCCCAAAAGGCUUAUUACUCAGUAUAUCAUUGGACUUAACUUAUAUAUAUUAAACCAUUACUAUCUAGAUUUCUGAUGUAAAACUUGGAUUGAUAUCCUAACAUUGCGCAAAACAACAAAAAAACAGGAGCCAUCAUGUUUUCAAGUCAUAAAUAAUGAUCAAAUACCAAAAAAUCAAGAAAAGUGGAUUUUUUGAAAUAUGACUGCUCUCAAGAUCAACGGCUCCACUAGUUAGAGGCCUUUCCUCUGAUGAAUUGGGAUGAUAAUUGAUGUUGAGAUAUAUAUAUAUAUAUAUAUAUAUAUAUAUUUGAUAUAAUAUAUAUAUAUAUAUAUUCAGUUAGCAUUCAUAUGAAAUUUGUUUGGAGUCAUUUGGAGAUGUUCUUAGGAAUAUGAUCCCAAACUACUGAAAACAUGUCUGUAUGGCUUGUAAAUGAAGCAAGCACUGAACAAUAUUUGCCACCAGCCAAUAAUGCAUUGGACCAGAGCUUCUACAUCCAUCAGAUACACCACCAUUGUUUAAGUGCAUCAACCCGAGUUCUUAGUCGAGAUCAAACAUCUUUGAAUGCAAAUUCCUUUUUUUAACUCAAGUUGACCUUAAAGCUAUUGAUACCUACUUAGCUACUUCCUAGAAAUGAACACAGCCCUAAUUUAUAACAACCACAAUUACACUUUCAUAAUAUUUUGUUAAUUCAAGAGCUUCUCGGGAGAAAAUCUUUUGUAAGUCUAAUGAACUUUACCAUUACUUGCUCAGUUUAAUGCAUGGUUUCAUUCUACAAUAACCAAAUUAGCAAAGUUUAUUUGUUGCAAAACAUAGUGGUCGAAGCCACAAAAGUGGAAAGACUAUAAAUUCAUGUUUUGUAUUCAAGAUGGUUUUUACUUAAAUCCCUAACAUAUCAUCUAUCUCUGGAGAAAAUCUUGCUGUUGUAUCUCCAUAGAAAAUUUUGAACCGUCUUAUUUCUUAUUUAUUUAUUUAUUUAGUUUUUUUUUUUUUUUUGAUAACUCAGGUAUUCCGGCUGAUUUAAGGGACCGCCGGCGGCGCAGUUAGGGAUUGCAAAUCCUGACUGUAGAGCAGCGCAUCAUCCCCCCAACACCGACUAAUCCUGGGGCCCGGAGAGACCAUGUAAAUACCCCGGUGGCCAAGUGGAUUAAAUGUUGCAAUUCUGCUUCCAUGGGGAGUUGAUCCCUGGCCUGGACCAACAAGGCAACUCUCACCAAGGAAGGGAACCACCCCACUACCACCACUUGAUUCUUAUUUCUUAUUUAAGCUUUAGCUAGUGUCCAAAAGAAUAUCCACUUCACUUAGAGGUUUUCGAAACCUCAUACAACUGCCGGAUUAAAUAGUAUGUGGAUCAGGCGGAUUCACCUACUUUGGCUAUCUGGGUCUUUUUAUUAAAAGGUGUUUGUCCUUAUUGAUUUACUUGAUGUGAGAAACAUAUAUGACAUGCAGACGAUACAGUGAACUAUUCAAAAGUUAUCAAAGCAUUCUUAGCUGCCUAUCAAACAUUAUUCAUACAUCUGUAACAUAACUAUUCAAUACUCUAGGUGAAGCAUUAUCUAGUUUAGUGAUUUAAGUUCGAGAAAGAAACUUAACCAUCUGCCUGCCUGAUUAUCUGAUAUGCAAUUUAUGUUUUGUUAAAACUAACCCAAGGCUUACCAUUACCAUCCAUCAAGCUUACAUUGUUUGCUUAACUUUUAAGUUUUUAAUUAAUUUAUAAAUCCAAGAGCUUUCAUCUGUCUUUGCUUUUUUUUACUUUUUGCAUUCUUGUUGUGUAUCACUUCUAUACUAUUAAAAGGGAAGAACUUUUAAUCUUUGUUGCUAAACACUCAUAUUUUAUUUUAAAAAAAAUUGUUUAUCUUACUCAAUCAACCUAAAGUUUCAAAUAUUCAAAAUUAGUUUAUAAUUAUAUUAUACAGAAUAUGCUGGAGAAUGUUAGACUUAUGUUUUUUUUAAAAUUGCUGUCCUAUGUGUAUUACUUUUUUACAACAUGCAAGAUAUCUAUACCAUUUAAGAAGAUACAAACUUUAUAUUUGUGUGUCUAAAAGAAACAAAUCUAUACAAUUAAAAGGGAGUUAUUUUAGUCUUUCUUGCCAUAAACUCUCUAUUUUCUUUAAAAAAUAACAAUUAUUUGGAAAAAAAUAUUACAGUGACCCAGAUUGAGGUAGUAUUAAUUGAAAAAGAGAAUUUUAUUUUAUAUUAAAAACUUAUAUGUAAAAUAAAUAUAUCUAAAAUAGAGAAAUAUCAUACGAAUAUGGAUGGAGUUCUGGUAGGGAACAAAUACAAUUGGAAAAGAAUAAAAAAAUAAAAGGAAAACAAAAUAAAAUCACAUGUGGCUUUAAUUUUUUUUUGUAGGUGAGAUGUUUCUGUCUUCCAUGGGAUAUAUAUAUAUAUCUAGAAGCUCCUGAUUAUCAUAUAUAUAUUAUGAGAGAAGUUCUGUGAGUUUUAUCAUCAUGCCUUUAUAAAAUCAUACAACAUUUCUUUUCAAUUUCAGUAUAUCACUCUUCCAAUUACAAAUUUUGGGGAAAUGAUAAUCAGAAACUUCCAAGAUAUUUUGUUAGCUUUAUUACUUGAUUUUUCAUUUUCAUUAUUUCCUGAUCUUGCCUACAAUAAUUGAUUAAAAAAAAAUUCCAAUCUAAAAAAAUUGGGAACUCGAUCUAUUCCCCCUGAGUACUUUCGUAUCAUAAUACAACCCCCUCAAGUUUGAGGUUCGUUCUAAAUCCCCAUCAAAUGAAACUUCCAAUUCUAUUUCCCCACAAUAAACAACUUUAAAUUUUGUUUCCCCAUUAUACUAAAGUUCAAAAGUUAUUUCCCCCUUGACCAAGAUUUGACUUGGUUUACUGUAUACCGAUUAAAACUUAACCACAAAGAAAAAAAACAUUAACCAAACAGAACCUGAUUUAACAUUCUUAACCUGAUUUACCCGAUUUAAACCUGAUUAUAAAUGGAUACUACCCAGAAAAACACUAAACCCACCCAAAACAAUAAACCCACCCGAAAGAAUAAUCACAUCUGAAAUAAUAAACCCCCAAAUCGAUUUUGAACCUCACGAACCCUAAAAAUUAGAAACCAGAAAUCAAGUGUAGUAAAUCGAAAUCAAGUGUAGUGGAGUGAGGUGGAGAAAAACCGAGAAUGGAGAUAGCUGAGUGGAACGAGGUACCUGAAUUUCGCGAGGAAUUUCGUGAAGCGGAUUCCGACGGAGAAGAUCGACGUGAACGAAACGAUUUUAACAUCGAGAGAGCUGUAAUGGAUUUCGUUGAUGAAGAUCCUGUUCGUCACAACAUCUAUCCUGAGACAGAUGAUGAAGACGACAAAGUGCAACAGACAAUUAUAAUUCAAAGGAGGCGCACAGGGUUGGAAAGAGGUGAUGGGAACUUGUAUGAAGGUCAAAUUUUCUUCAGUGGAAUAGCGUUUAAGGAAGCCGUCCUUGACUACGCUCUGAAAACAGGCCGAAACAUCUCUCAGAAAAGGUGGGAUAAAGACAAACUCACCUUCAAAUGUGAAGGAAAAAAUGAAGAAGAAACUUGUGAUUGGAGGAUUUACUGUUCCACGACAGGGAAGACUUUGAAGUGGCAAGUGAAAGUUUUCAAUAGUGUGCAUAGCUGUGUUCCAAAUGGACGUGUUGAGAUGGUAAAAGUUUCUGUGAUUGCUCGUCUAUUCGUUGAUAAGAUUAGAGAGGAGCCUGAAUAUUUUAUGCCUAUGAAAAUCGAAGAGUUAGUGUUGGAGAAAUGGAAUAUCAGUGUGUCAAGGUCUCAGUGUCAAGCUGCUAGAAACAAAGCGAUUAGAUGGAUUCAGAGAGAGUAUGAUGAGCAAUUUGCACGUCUUCGGGAUUACGGUCGUGAGAUUCUAGACUCCAACAAAGGAUCCACUGUGGUGAUUGAAUGUCUGCAAAACGAAAAAGGUUUAGAUGUAUUCAACAGGUUUUAUGUAUGUUUUGAUGUGCUUAGGAAAACCUGGAAAAAGACUUGUAGGCCGCUUAUAGGACUUGAUGGAUGCCACUUAAGAUCGAGGAAAAAAGGUCAGAUAUUGGUUGCUAUGGGUCGAGAUACGGAUAAUGCUAUUUAUCCAAUAGCAUGGGCGGUGGUGCAAUCUGAAACCAAAGACAAUUGGUUGUGGUUUGUGAAGAAUAUCAAAGCCGAUUUGGAUUUAGGAGAUGGCGAUGGAUAUAUAAUGGUCUCAGAUAGGCAUAGGGUAAAUGUGUUUGAUUUUGGUGAUGGUGUUUACACUUAUUUCUAGUCACUAUUAAUCGUCGGUUGUGUUUGAUCUGGUUUUUUUUUUCAGGGACUAAUAGCAGCUGUUCAACUAGAGCUUCCACUUAUCGAGCAUAGGAAUUGUGUGAGGCACAUCUAUGCUAACUUGAGAGCAUUGAAUGGAAAAAGGCCAGAGAUGAAGAAGCUGAUUUGGCGUCUUGCAUGGAGCUACAACAAAGCAGAAUUUGAAGAGAAUAAAGAUAAGAUUUCCUGCUAUGACUCAGUGGUGUUUGUGAGUGUGAUGAAGACUAAACCAGAAACUUGGUGUAGAGCCUUCUACAAGUUAGGCCACUACUGUGAAGAUGUGGAAAAUAACUCGACGGAGUCAUGGAAUGCUUCUAUCGUAAAAGCCAGAGACAAACCAUUUGUGCCGAUGCUAGAGACAAUUGCAAGGUUAGCGAUGGUUCGUAUUGCCAAAAGAGGUUUUAUAUCUUUGAACUGGAAAAGUAAGUGCACACCGUAUGUUAUUGACUACCUAGCAGAAGAGUAUGAGACAGCUAAAGAUUGUACGGUUAAUAUAUCUACAAAUUACACAUAUGAUGUUAGAGCUAGUGGAUGUUCUUACCGUGUGCGCAUGCAAGAUAGAACUUGUACUUGCAGGAGAUGGGAGAUCACAGGCAUUCCUUGUGAGCAUGCCUACGCUGUGAUUAUCAAGAAGAACCUUGACGCUGAGGAUUUUGUGUGCCACUGGUUUAUGACCGCAAUGUGGAGGAAGACAUAUACUGAUGGGAUAGUUCCAUUGAGGGGAGCAAGGUUUUGGCCUGUAGGAGAAGAACCAUCGGUGCAUAUGCCUCCGUCGCCACUACAUCCUGGUCGAAAGAAAGGAGAAACAUAUAGAGUUAGUAAGAAGGAGAAACAAAGGAAAAAAGGGAAAAAUGAAUCUCCUGUGAAGAAGGCACCAGUACUUUUAAAGAGGGUAAUGCAUUGUAAAAUCUGUGGUUUAGCUAAUCACAACUCAAGAUUUCAUAAGAAGAAAGGCAAACAGGUUUGUCUCUUGAUUUUUAUGCAUAAUGAGAAUAGAUGAUAGCUUUAUAUAGAUAACGUAUCUGUUUGCAUUUUUGGCUCAUCUUGCUUCAUAUAUAUCUGUUUAAGGUGAUUGGUUUUGUGUUUAUAACUAAGUUCUGGUUUUGUGGUUGUAAUAGGGUGCUGUAGGUGAAUCUUCUCAGGCUGAACCUUCUCAAGGCGCUCUCACACAGCUUGUGGACUGAUCUGUUUUAUGAGCUUAUCAACGCAUUUCUCAGAUGGAUGUUUUUUGGGUUUAAGAAGCUAUUUGCUUUGUUGGUUUUUGUCUAUGUGAAAGCUUCUUAAAGACAGUUGGAUUUUUUUUAUGUCUUUUGAAUGAUUCUAAUGUUAUUGAUUAGACAAACCAGAUUUUAUUUAAAAACAACGUGCAACAAACAACACUGAUGUCUUGUGGGAUUUUUUUGAAUGAUCCCAUAACAUAAAUGACACAACGACACAGCAACACAACGACACAGCAACACAACAAACUCAACCGACUAGUUUACUGCAACAAACAAUGACCAGACACCCAAAACAAACAACAGCCAUCAUUUUCUUCAAGUUCGAUUUGGUUUCAAGAAGUGCUUCUUCCACUUUCUCAAAUAUCUCUUGCUCUAGUUUCAUUUGCAUCUUCUCAAACAUCAUCUUCUCAAGCUCCAUUCGUUCUCUGCAUAUUUGCUUUAACUCAUCUUCAAGUCUUCCUGCUCGAGAACCCAAUGCCUCUAUCUCAUUUAGCAAAGCCUCGUCCACCCACUUGAAAUCGUGCUUAUCAUUUGUAAGCUACAACCAUUCCAACAUUCAUAGCAAUGGGAUUUAAGAAAGAGAAAACCAACUUAAAUUUGAAAACCAAAAACGAAAUACAUUGCAUUUACCUUCUGUGCGACAGCAUAAGCACACCGAUAAUAUCUCCGGUACGGAUUCGCAUCGGAUUUGGAGAUCUUUGCCACAAUUUGAUCGCCACACCAACAUCUCCUCGGUACGCCGAUACCUCUUCCUCGAGUUCCAGAAUAUGAUGUUCCACUGGAAGCUCCGGAUUCAUGGCUCAUCUUCUUCAACGAUGAAUAGGGAUGUAUCGCAGGUCUAGUUGGUACGAAAAAUAAGAUUUUAGGGUUCUUAUGCUUUCAAAAUCGAUUUGGGGGUUUUAGGUGUUCAUCGGGAUAUAUGGCGGGUCUUUUAGCUGGGUUUAGAGUCGGGUCGUGUAACCAAAGCGGUUUCAUUUCGGCGGUUAAGAAUUAUGGUUUACGAUUGAAGUUACAAACCGAGUGAAACCGAUAGCAAAUAAAAAAACCACGUCUGUGGGGAAAUAGAAUUGGAAGUUUCAUUUGAUGGGGAUUUAGAACGAGCCUCAAACUUGAGGGGGUUGUAUUAUUAUACGAAAGUAUUUAGGGGGGAAUAGAUCGAGUUUCCAAAAAAAUUUAUUGUAGUCAAAAACAGAAAAUGCAGAAAAAGAUAAUGGAAGUGGAGAGUCAAGUAAUAGGGAUAAUGAAAUAUACUAUAAAUCUAUGCAUCUUUAAGAGUAAGUAUGCUUUAUUUUUAUAAUUCUUACAUUAUAAGCGUUAUACAUAAUUAUCGUUUACCAAGUAUAUAAAAAUUUUAAUAAAACUUUAGUUAUAAAACUAUAUUUAUAUCAUAUUUAAUUAAAUUUGAGAAAUUGCAUUGUAGGACAAUUAAAAGAUUUAUAUAAUUGAUCAAAAAGUCUUCAUAUUUUAAAAAACUUAUAUUAUAAAAUAUAUCAAGUUUUAUGAAUCAUAACUAAAUGAUAUACAAAUAUUUUGGCACAGAGUUGACAAAUUCUUCAAGAUUUCAUAUUCAAAAAGUGUUGUUGAGUUUGCCACAAUAUCAUUUCCUUUGUUACUCUAUCGAGCCGACUUGGUCGUCACUCUUCUACCGUAAGACAAGUGUGUGUUUAUUUUUAUUUUCCAUAUAAUAUUUAUGCGUAAUUGUUUUUUACGAAAAUUUUAGCAUACGGUCUAAACACAUACCGAAUUUUUUAAUUUUUUAUUAUCUUAAAUGGAGCACUUGUAGAAAAUUAAUUUUAUUUUUAUUAAAGACACUUGUGAGGUCUCCAAUAUUCAGUAACUCCAAAAUCCUCCUAUGAGUUGUUUCUAUAGGUUCACGAUAAUUAAUACAAAUUGAAUUUAAAUUCAAAUAGAAGGAUGUUUAACUUGAAAAUCUAGAUAUAAAAAUAUAAUUCUGGUUAUUUUGUGAAACCUAUUAUCCCACUAAUAUUUCUGAUCCAAGAAUUUAAUUAAAGUAUGAUGAUGUUUUACAAAAUAUUUAAGAUAAAAAAAUUCACUUACAACAUAUUUAACAAGUUGUUCAACCGCAUAAAUAAAGUGGUUGGAAAGAUCGCCACCCUAUUUUAAAAUUCCCAAAAUAAAAAUAAAAUAAAAUUAUGAAUUAGUUAUUAUGGUUGUUCAUUAUAAGACUCAUAUUAUAGUAAGUUUAUAAUAUUUUCAUUUUUCUUAUAUUUUCAAGUUUAGUUUGCUCCCAAGUAUUUCUAUAUUUAUACAUUAUUCAUGGAAUAGGACAUCAAUUUCCUCCUUUUUUAGCUCUCUCUUUUAUUCGCUACACGUUAUCCACAUGAUAGUCUCUCAAUCUAUUUAUUCUUACUCCAAACAUAUUCUUACACCAAAAAUAUAAAUAUCAAAUAUUUUUUUUAUCUUAAAUAGAGCACUUAUAGAAAAUUACUUUGUUUUUGUUAAAGACACUUGUGAGUUCUACAAUAUUCAUUAACUCCAAAAUCCUCAUAUGAGUUGUUUCUAUAGUUUCACGAUAAUUAAUACAAAUUAAAUUUAAGUUCAAAUAGAAGGAUGUUUAACUUGUAAAUCUAGAUAUAAAAAUUUAAUUUGGUUAUUUUGUGAAACAUAUUAUCCCACUAAUAUUUCUAAUCCAAGAAUUCAAAUGAAGUAUGAUGAUAUUUUAAAAAAUAUUUAAGAUCAAAAAAUUCACUUACAACAUAUUUAAUAAGUCGUUCAACCGCAUAAAUAAAGUGGUUGGAAAGAUCGCCAGCCCAUUUUAAAAUUCCCAAAAUCAAAACAAAAUUAUGAAUUAGUUAUUAUGGUUGUUCAUUAUAAGACUCAUAUUAUAGUAAGUUAUAAUAUUUUCAUUUUUCUUAUUUUUCAAGUUUAAUUUGCUCCCCAAGUAUUUGUAUAUUUAUACAUUAUUCGUGGAAUAGGACAUCAAUUUUCUCUUUCUCUUAGCUCUCUCUUUUAUUCGCUACACUUUAUCCACAUGAUAGUCUCUCAAUCUAUUUAUUCUUACACCAAAUAUAUAAAUAUUUAAUUUAUGUUUAUGGAUAUAUUAUUCUAUGAUGAUAAAUGCCUUUUUUGAAAAUGAUGGUUAUGUUAGGCUAUGCCUUCGCGAUCAUGAUUUUAUUGUAGAUUCGCUUAAAUCAAUUUUUGGGUGGAACAAAACAAACACUAAAAUUGAAAAAAAAAUAGAUGUACUAUUCACACAUAGAAAAUAAUUAUCUUCUUCUGAGGUGUAUCAUAAUUGGAUGUAGAAAGACUAUUUUUAAAUUGACAAAUCCCUGGUAUUUUAUUAAACGAUUUAUGGAAUUAUACAAAAAAUGAGGCACACCAAAUGCCUUAAAAUCACCAUUGAAAUAUAGUCAUAUUAUGCUAGACAUACAUAGAAGCUUACACUAUUACUAGGAUGGAAUAUGAUUGGAAGUUUAAACCAGGUAUACAAUAUAGCAAAUCUUUGUGUCUUAUAUAUAUAAUGAUGGUGGUAAGAGUAAAAAAGAGUGGUGGAGGUAAAAGUGAUGAAGAAAAAUAUGGUAGAACAUUGUAAGUUAGAUAUAAAUGAAAGUAUAAAAUAAUAUUAGAUUUGAAUAAAAAGAAAUCAGACAUUAAUCUAAAACCUAGCAUGUGGGCAUCCGGAAGAAUCUCUUUUAGUAUGAUAUUGUCUGCUUUCAAUUCAAGUGCUCAAGCUCGCACAGAAUCAUAUGAUACCCAAACUCUCCGUUUGUGAUCCAUCCCAAAAGGCUUAUUACUCAGUAUAUCACUGGACUUAACUUAUAUAUUAAACCAUUACUAUCUAGAUUUCUGAUGUAAAACUUGGAUUGAUAUCCUAACACAACACCUUAACACCAAACUCAAAUCAUAUGAUACCAUAACAACAUAAUAUCAGGUUUGAAUCAUAACAUUGCGCAAAACAACAAAAGAACAGGAGUCAUCAUAUUUUCAAGUCAUAAAUAAUGAACAAAUACAAAAAAAUCAAGAAAAGUGGAUUUUUUGAAAUAUGACUGCUCUCAAGAUCAACUGCUCCACUAGUUAGAGGCUUUCCCUCUGAUGAAUUGGGAUGAUAAUUGAUGUUGAUAUAUAUUUAUUUUUCAGUUAGCAUUCAUAUGAUAUUGGUUUGGAGUCAUUUGGAGAUGUUCUUAGGAGUAUGAUCCCAAACUACUGAAGACAUGUCUGUAUGGCUUGCAAAUGAAGCAAGCACAGAACAAUAUUAGCCACCAGCCGAUAAUGCAUUGGACCAGAGCUUCGACAUCCAUCAGAUACACCACCAUUAUUCAAGUGCAUCAACCCGAGUUCUUGGUCGAUAUCAAACACCUUUGAAUGCAAAUUCUUUUUUUUUUAACCAAAACUAAACCCUAGUUGACCCUAAACCUAUAGAUACCAACUUAGCUACUUCCCAGAAAUGAACACAGCCAUAAUUUAGCAACCCCAAUUAUACUUUUUAUAAUUUGGGUUAGUUCAAGAGCUUCUCAGGAGAAAAUCUUUUGUAUAUCUAAUGAACUUUAUCAUUACUUGCUCGCUUUAAUGCAUGGUUUCAUUCUACAAUAACCAACAAUAACUUGCUUUUCUAUCUCCAAAGAAGAUUUUUGAACUGUCUUAUUUCUUAUUUAAGCUUUACCUAGUGUCCAAAAGAAUAUUCACUUCACUUAGAGGUUUUUGAAACCUUAUACAAUUGCCUGAUCAAAUAGUUUGUGGAUCAGGCAGAUUCACCCAUGCACCUACUUUGGCUAUCUGGGUCUAUUUAUUGAAAGUUGUUUGUUUUUUUUGAUUUACUUGAUGUGAGAAACAUAUAUGACAUGCAGACGAUACAGUGAACUAUUCAAAAGUUAUUACAGGCAUUCUUAGCUGCCCAUCAAACAUUAUCCAUACAUCUGUAACAUAACUAUUCAAUACUAUAGGUGGAGCUUUAUCUAGUUUAGUGAUUUAAGUUCGAGAACUAAACUUAACCAUCUGUCUGACUGAUUAUCUGAUUUGCAAUUUAUGUUUCGUUAAAACUAACCCAAGGCUUACCAUUUCCAUCCAUCAAACUUACAUUGUUUGCUUAACUUUUAAGUUUUUAAUUAAUUUAUAAAUCCAAGAGCUUUCAUCUGUCUUUGCUUUACUUUACUUUUUGCAUUCUUGUUGUAUAUCACUUCUAUACUAUUAAAAGGGAAGAACUUUUAAUCUUUGUUGCCAAACAUUCAUAUAUAUAUAUUUUUUUAUAAAAAUUGUUUAUCUUAAUCAACCAAUCUAAAGUUUCAAAUAUUCAAAAUUAGUUUAUAAUUAUAUUAUACAGAAUAUACUGGAGAGUGUUAGACUUAUGUUUUUAGAAUUGCAGUCCUAUGUGUAUUAAUUUUUUAAAUGCAAGAUAUCUAUACCAUUUAAAAAGAUACAAACUUUAUAUUUCUGUGUCCAAAAAGAAACAAAUCUAUACAAUUAAAAGAGAGCUAUUUUAGUGAUUUUUGCCAUAUACUCUCUAUUUUCUUUUUUUAAAAAAACAAUCAUUUAGAAAAAAAUAUUACAUUGACCCAGAUUGAUGUAGUAUUAAUUGAAAAAGAGUAUUUUAUUUUAUACUAAAAACUUAUAUUUUAAAUAAAUAUAUCUAAAAUAGACAAAUAUCAUACAAAUAUCGAUGGAGUUCUGGUAGGGAACAAAUACAAUUGGAAAAGAAUCAAAAAAUAAAAGAAAAAAAAAUAAAUCACAUGUGGCUUUUAUUUUUUUUCUGCAGGUGAGAUGUUUUUGUCUUUCAUUGGAUAUAUAUAUAUAUAUAUAUAUAUGAGAGAAGUUCAGUGAGUUUUAACAUCAUGCAUUUAUAAAAUCAGACAACAUUUCUUUUCAAUUUCAGUAUAUCACUCUUCCAAUUACAAAUUUUGGAGAAAUGAUAAUCAGAAACUUCCAAGAUAUUUUGUUAGCUUUAUUACUUGAUUCUCCAUUUUCCAUUAUUUACUGGUCUUGCCUACAAUAAUUGAUGAAAAAAAAGUACCAAUCUAAAAAAAUUUAUUGUAGUCAAAAACAGAAAAUGCAGAAAAAGAUAAUGGAAAUGUAGAGUCAAGUAAUAGGGCUAAUGAAAUAUACUACAAAUCUAUGCAUCUUUAAGAGUAAGUAUGCUUUAUUUUUAUAAUCCUUAUAGUAUGCUUUAUUUUUAUAAUUCUUAUAUUAUAAGCGUUAUACGUAAUUAUCGUUUAUCAUAUUAUGCUAGACAUACAUAGAAGCUUACACUAUUAUUAGGAUGGAAUAUGAUUGGAAGUUUAAACCAGGUAUACAAUAUAGCAAAUCUUUGUGUCUUAUAUAUAUAAUGAUGGUGGUAAGAGUGAAAAAGAGUGGUGGAGGUAAGAGUGAUGAAGAAAAAUAUGGUAGAACAUUGUAAGUUAGAUAUAUAUGAAAGUAUAAAAUAAUAUUAGCUUUGAAUAAAAAGAAAUCAAAUAUUAAUCUAAAACCUAACAUGUGGGCAUCCGGAAGACUCUCUUUUAGUAUGAUACUGUCUGCUUUCAAUUCAAGUGCUCAAGAUCGCACAGAAUCAUAUGAUACCCAAGCUCUCCGUUUGUGAUCCAUCCCAAAAGGCUUAUUACUCAGUAUAUCAUUGGACUUAACUUAUAUAUAUUAAACCAUUACUAUCUAGAUUUCUGAUGUAAAACUUGGAUUGAUAUCCUAACAUUGCGCAAAACAACAAAAAAACAGGAGCCAUCAUGUUUUCAAGUUAUAAAUAAUGAUCAAAUACCAAAAAAUCAAGAAAACUGGAUUUUUUGAAAUAUGACUGCUCUCAAGAUCAACGGCUCCACUAGUUAGAGGCCUUUCCUCUGAUGAAUUGGGAAGAUAAUUGAUGUUGAGAUAUAUAUAUAUAUAUUUUUGAUAUAAUAUAUAUAUAUAUAUAUAUAUAUAUAUUCAGUUAGCAUUCAUAUGAAAUUUUUUUGGAGUCAUUUGGAGAUGUUCUUAGGAAUAUGAUCCCAAACUACUGAAAACAUGUCUGUAUGGCUUGUAAAUGAAGCAAGCACUGAACAAUAUUUGCCACCAGCCAAUAAUGCAUUGGAGAGCUUCUACAUCCAUCAGAUACACCACCAUUGUUCAAGUGCAUCAACCCGUGUUCUUAGUCGAGAUCAAACAUCUUUGAAUGCAAAUUCCUUUUUUAACCCAAACUAAACCUAGUUGACCCUAAAGCUAUUGAUACCUACUUAGAUACUUCCCAAAAAUGAACACAGCCAUAAUUUAUAACAACCACAAUUAUACUUUCAUAAUUUUUUGUUAAUUCAAGAGCUUCUCGGGAGAAAAUCUUUUGUAAGUCUAAUGAACUUUACCAUUACUUGCUCUGUUUAAUGCAUGGUUUCAUUCUACAAUAACCAAAUUAGCAAAGUUUAUUUGUUGCAAAACAUAGUGGUCAAAGCCACGAAAGUGGAAAGACUAUAAAUUCAUGUUUUGUAUUCAAGAUGGUUUUUACUUAAAUCCCUAACAUAUCAUCUAUCUCGGGAGAUAAUCUUGCGGUUGUAUCUCCAUAGAAGAUUUUGAACCGUCUUAUUUCUUAUUUAAGCUUUAGCUAGUGUCCAAAAGAAUAUCCACUUCACUUAGAGGUUUUCAAAACUUCAUACAACUGCCGGGUCAAAUAGUAUGUGGAUCAGGCGGAUUCACCCAUGCACCUAUUUUGGCUAUUUGGGUCUAUUUAUUGAAAGUUGUUUGACCUUAUUGAUUUACUUGAUGUGAGAAACAUAUAUGACAUGCAGACGAUACAGUGAACUAUUCAAAAGUUAUCAAAGCAUUUUUAGCUGCCUAUCAAACAUUAUUCAUACAUCUGUAACAUAACUAUUCAAUACUCUAGGUGAAGCUUUAUCUAGUUUAGUGAUUUAAGUUCGAGAACUAAACUUAACCAUCUGCCUGCCUGAUUAUCUGAUUUGCAAUUUAUGUUUCGUUAAAACUAACCCAAGGCUUACCAUUUCCAUCCAUCAAGCUUACAUUGUUUGCUUAACUUUUAAGUUUUUAAUUAAUUUAUAAAUCCAAGAGCUUUCAUCUGUCUUUGCUUUACUUUACUUUUUUUGCAUUCUUGUUGUGUAUCACUUAUAUACUAUUAAAACGGAAGAACUUUUAAUCUUUGUUGCCAAACACUCAUAUUUUAUUUUUUUUAAAAAAUUGUUUAUCUUAAACAACCAAUCUAAAGUUUCAAAUAUUCAAAAUUUAUUUAUAAUUAUAUCAUACAGAAUAUGCUGGAGAGUGUUAGACUUAUGUUUUUAGAAUUGCAGUCCUAUGUGUAUUACUUUUUUAAAACAUGCAAGAUAUCUAUACCAUUUAAGAAGAUACAAACUUUAUUUUUCUGUGUCCAAAAGAAACAAAUCUAUACAAUUAAAAGGGAGUUAUUUUAGUCUUUCUUGCCAUAUACUCUCUAUUUUCUUUAAAAAAAACAAUUAUUUGGAAAAAAUAUUACAUUGACCCAGAUUGAUGUAGUAUUAAUUGAAAAAGAGAAUUUUAUUUUAUAUUAAAAAAUUAUAUGUAAAAUAAAUAUAUUUAAAAUAGACAAAUAUCAUACAAAUAUGGAUGGAGUUCUGGUAGGGAACAAAUACAAUUGGAAAAGAAUUAAAAAAUAAAAGAAAAACAAAAUAAAAUCUCAUGUGGCUUUUAUUUCUUUUUGCAGGUGAGAUGUUUCUGUCUUCCAUGGAAUAUAUAUAUCUAGAAGUUCCUGAUUAUUAUAUAUAUUAUGAGAGAAGUUCUGUGAGUUUUAUCAUCAUGCAUUUAUAAAAUCAUACAACAUUUCUUUUCAAUUUCAGUAUAUCACUCUUCCAAUUACAAAUUUUGGGGAAAUGAUAAUCAGAAACUUCCAAGAUAUUUUGUUAGCUUUAUUACUUGAUUCUCCAUUUUCCAUUAUUUACUGGUCUUGCCUACAAUCAUUGAUUAAAAAAAAGUUCCAAUCUAAAAAAAUUUAUUGUAGUCCAAAACAGAAAAUGCAGAAAAAGAUAAUGGAAAUGGAGAGUCAAGUAAUAGGGCUAAUGAAAUAUACUAUAAAUCUAUGCUUCUUUAAGAGUAAGUAUGCUUUAUUUUUAUAAUUCUUACAUUAUAAGCGUUAUACAUAAUUAUCGUUUACCAAGUAUAUACAAAUAUAUCAAGUUUUUUUUUUAUGAAUCAUAACUAAAUGAUAUACAAACAUUUCGGCACAGAGUUGACAAAUACUUCAAGAUGUUCAUAUUCAAAAAGUGUUGUUGAGUUUGCCACAAUAUCAUUUCCAUUGUUACUCUAUCGAGUCGGCUUGGUCGUUACUCUUCUACCAUAAGACAAGUGUGUGUUUAUUUUUAUUUUCCAUAUAAUAUUUAUGCGUAAUUAUUUUUUACAAAAAUUUCAGCAUACGGUCUACACACAUACCGAAUUUUUUAAUUUUUUUUUUAUCUUAAAUAGAGCACUUAUAGAAAAUUAAUUUGUUUUUAUUAAAGACACUUGUGAGUUUUCCAAUAUUCAGUAACUCCAAAAUCCUCCUAUGAGUUGUUUCUAUAGGUUCACGAUAAUUAAUACAAAUUUAAUUUAAAUUCAAAUAGAAGGAUGUUUAACUUGUAAUUCUAGAUAUAAAAAUAUAAUUCUGGUUAUUUUGUGAAACAUAUUAUCCCACUAAUAUUUCUGAUCCAAGAAUUCAAAUAAAGUAUGAUGAUGUUUUACAAAAUAUUUAAGAUAAAAAAUUCACUUACAACAUAUUUAACAAGUUGUUCAACCGCAUAAAUAAAGUGGUUGGAAAGAUCGCCACCCUAUUUUAUAUUUCCCAAAAUCAAAAACAAAAUUAUGAAUUAGUUAUUAUGGCUGUUCAUUAUAAGACUCAUAUUAUAGUAAGUUUAUAAUAUUUUUCAUUUUUCUUAUUUUUCAAGUUUAAUUUUCUCCCCAAGUAUUUGUAUAUAUAUACUCGCUAUCAAUUUAUAAGAGAAUUCGUCGAAAGUGGACAAAUAGAGGUUGAACAUAUUCCCGGGAAUGAACAGAAGGCAGACAUUUUGACAAAGGCUCUUGGAAGGAUUAAAUUCAAAGAGAUGAGAGAUCUCAUUGGAGUUGAAGAUGUGUCUAAGGUAACUUCAAGCUUAAAGGGGAGAAUGUUGACUUAAGCUUGAAGUUAACAUUCUAGAAGUUAGUAUUUCCUAUUAGGAUUAGAAUUAUGUUUAGGAGUUAUCUAAACAUCUUUAGGAGUUAUCUAAAUAUCUUUAGGAGUUAUCUAUAGAAAAAGGAAAUAUAUAAUCCUAUUAGGAAGAGGUUUUAUUCUACAUAUAAGGAGAUGCAAAAGUGUUGCAUAACUUAUGAGAAGGUUUUGAGAGCUUAAGUUUUGAGAGAUUUUCUUAAGCUAAUAAAGAGAGUUAUUCUUUAUAUUGAGUUCUUAAUCUAUCUUGAGUUCUAUAAUUUCUAUAGAGCAAGCUGGUGGGGUUGAUGCUCUGACGGUAAAUUCUCAGCAUUAAUUGAUUUGUUUCUAUAGUUUGCAUUUAGAAUUAAAUCACAUAAGCUUUUUGUUUUUGUUUUUAUGUGGUGCUAAAUUUUGUAGGAUAUCUUCUACGUUUUACUCUGUUUAUCAUUUUUUUUUGAUUUGUCUCAAGUCGUAUCGCUAUCCUUAAUACGUUUAGAUGUUAAAAAAGGUUUUUAAUCAAUUAAGAUAUGAAGGUAAUAUUCAUUUAGAAAUUCAGAUCAAGGUAAAAUAUUCAAUUUUCAGUUUUUAGCAAUUGGCAUUUACGAUAUCAUGAAUUAUAAGAAAACUUGAAUCUUAAGUGCUGAAAUAUAAUAAUUAAUUAUUUGACAUGGCACUUAUUCGAUAAAAGACAAUAAACUCAAUGAAUUAAAUAUGAUUCAAUAACUAUGCCAUAAGGCCAAUGAUUAUUUUAUCAGGAUUAAAAUUUCUUUUAUAAACCACCAGCUUCUAGGCGAGAAAUUAUUAUGGGUAUUAACAAAGUGAUAUAAAUGAGAAACCAUGGCCAAUGAACAAAACAAUAAACAAACGACUAUAAUUUGAUAAGCAUAAGUCAUGUUUAAUUAUUGUGAUUAAUUUAAGAAUUUUUUUUAAUCAAGCUAUAAAUAAAUCUAUGGCACAAAAACAUGAUCGAUAGCAAAGUAUGGUUUUUUCAGAAAGAUAAUUAGCGAUCAUAAAAACCCUAAUUGAUUUAAAUUACCAGUUCAAAAUCAUUUUUUUUAUAUAGCAAAAUCUAAGAUAUCUAAUGACUUUUGAAAAAACUUUAAAUCAGAGAUACAAAGAUCAGACAAUCAAUAAUUAUUAUCCUAAAUAUAAAUACUGAUUACCAUCCCUUUUAUAAAUAUAAUUGGAGGACACAUAAUUUACCAUAUGAUUAUAUAAUCAUGGAGCCAUAGCCUACCAUAACGAUUGAUUGGGGAAAAAGGUAAUAUUUAUCAUCCCGAAAUAAUAUAAACAUAAACAAAAAUUAAAUAUCACCUUUCAAUGGAAGAACGAAGAGAGACUAUCAUGCUGAUAACAUAUGUUGUGAAUAAGAAAGAGAGAGAAGAAAAGAGAGAAACCAUGAAUAAUGAGAGGUAUAUAUAGUAUUACAAAGAUUUGGAGAGGAAAGUAAAAUCUAAAGAAUAAGGAAAUAAAGAAUAUUUUAAACCUCUUCUAAUAGUGGGCAUUCACAUAAUUAUUCAUAGUAACUAUAUAAAAGUAGGCCAACUCUCUCCAGCAGUCUGCCACGUCAGCGCUGGAGAGAGUACCACACGUCUCUUCAAAAAUUUGAUGCUCGCGCACUUUGUUAUCAACUCAUGCCUUCUAGUAUUCUUCGUUAAAGUUUUGAAAUUACUUCGACAUUUAUUCUCCAUCGCUUCUUCAUCCCUUCCCUCAAUCAUACGAAAAUCAGUUCGCUUUACUUUUGUCAUCCUAGCAUUCUUACUAGAAAAUCUACCAGGAGAAAGAUCAACACAAAUGAGUGCGAGAUUGGGUCUUCUUGGCUUUGCCUCUCUUCCAUGGAAACCACUAGCAAGGCAAUCUGCUUAGUCUAUAGAAAUCGCUUGUUUCUUCGAUUCGAUCAAUCAACCAACUGCUAAAGUAUUUCUUGCAUUCAUUCUCCAUUUUAACGAAACCUUGUAUCAUCCAUUCUGGGUUCACAACGAAUGCACCGAUCAUGGUGAUUUUAUUGAUCAAUUUCGAGUAUUUUUGUUCCCAAGGACUGAGUAUGACAGAUAAUCUAACAUUUAUCUCGAAGGCCGUCGAUUUCAGGUUGACUAUGCCAGUGAGGCCAUUAAGGUAACUUCUCAAUUGUUGUAGCCACUGAAGCCAUUUAGGCUGUCUAUUUCAGGGGUUUUCCUUUGUUGAGGAAGAGCGAGAAUCAAACUUAGAGUUUUUUAAAUUUUUUGUUUCUUAGCUAUAUCUGGUGUUAGUAAUGUACUAUGUUGGGACAUAUGUUGAUUGGGUGUGUGCACUUUUGUAUCCAUUGAUUCUCGAUGCUUUUGAAUUGUUGCAGCUUGGUUCUACUGCAGUUGACGUAAAGACAAAAGAAGGAGUUGUUCUUGAAGUCGAGAAGCCAAUCACAUCGCCCUUGAUGAUAAAUUUCUCCUUUACCAUCAAGUCACAAAGAGGAAAUUUACCAUCAAGGAGUUGUUUUUGUCUUUCUAUUGAGUGAUGUUGUUAAGCACUGCACUUGUUCAUUAACGACUGAUUAUAUUAAACACACAAAUUACUUAUAAUAAUAAUGGGACCAGAAUAUGUUUAAAAUAAUUUAUUCUUUACCCGAAAUAUAUAAAACUUGAGAGUAAUAUGCCACAAUAUAAUUUUAAGUUGCAUCUAUUUAUGCCAGUAAGGUAUGAGAUGUAUAUUACACUAAUUUUGAGAACUAAUUCAAAAUAUUUCAUUUGGAGUGACAGCAAAUUCAAAUCAUAAUAUUCACAUAUAAAUCGGGAAUCUAUUUAUUUUUGUUAUAGUUUCAGAUAUGAUAUAUUAAUUAUAGGAACUAAUUUAACUAUCUUACAAAAAUAAUCAUGGUAGAAUAUGCUUCCAUCAAUUUUUUGAUAUGUUUAUAUUUUAAAUUGAUUUAUACUAAACCUACCAUUCUAAAUAUCCUCUUAAAUCUUAAAAAUCGUUCGAAAUUUUGAAGUUCAUACCUCUAUAGUUUAAUGGGAAUCUAACGUCAAUAAAUAAAAAUAUAUACUUCCAUGUAGUGCUCAAAAGUAUCUCCAUAGUAAUCUUAAAAAAACAUAUUUCAAUAGAUAUUAACAUUGAAUAUAGCAACUUCAAUAACUACUUUACCAGAAAGAUACUCCAGCGGUGAAGAUACUACAAUUAGCUUUAUUUGAGGCAGAAAGUUGGAGGAUAGCAAAUCAAAAAGAAUGCGAAGAUGAGAUCGAGGUUCCACAGUAUCAUGACACCUCUAGUACCCAGCCCUUGGUACUUUGAAUCCCAACUUGUCAAAUCUAUGCCUCUUGGAUCGAUCAUGAACCAGUGAGUGGACUAGGGUAGAGCCAUACGGAUGCCAUGGGACAAGGGAUUUUCGGACUCCGAGGCUGUCGAAGAAGUCUCUCAGCACUACAUGCGGAGAUGGAUGCUCUUCUUUGGGCUAUGCUAUGCCUAAGAAACAAACUCUUUUCUUCGAUUCUUAUCAAGACAUAUUGCUCCAAUUUAGUAACAAUGACUGAGUACCCGAUAGACUGGCCGACCUUCACAUCAGAAUUAGACGCUUUUCAGCAUAUUCGAGAGACUUUUGAGGCCUUCAACAUCAUCCAUAUCCCCUGAGCUUUAACCGUUCGAGCUGAUUCUCUUCCUAAAGAGGUGCGGUCGCGUGGUAUCUUGUUCUCCCAUAUAAGUCAUACAGAAUCGGUAGGGAUGACUCCACAUAACCAUCAUCUUAUCGAUCAAGACUUGACUUAAGCAGAUGGGUAGUCGACAAAAAAGAAAAAAGAUAGGAAACCAUGUCUUAAAUAUGAUUUGAAACUAAAGUACCUUUAUUUCUAGCACAAUGGAAAAAGAAAGAUCCCACGACCCAACUUAUUGAGGGAAUAAUAUUCACUUGUCAUGGGCUCGGUAUCAACCAAUUCUUACCACGGUAACCUCUCCAGAUUUUCACUUUAGUUUAUCCAUAGUUUCAAAUGCUUAUAAAUCUAAUCAUCAAAAUGAAUGCAGUAGUUUGCCUUAUCGGCAGAGCCGUGCUUUAUAUAUGUCAAAAAGGGCAUUUACCUUAGGCCACCAAAUUUAUUUCUUAUUUUAAGGGCAUAUGUUCUUUUAAAUUUAUCCAAAUAUAUAAAUUAAAUGAUUUUGUUUGUUAUGUAUAGUAAAAAAAUAUUAUGUAUAUAUAUAUAUUUUUUUUUUGUCAAAAGGAUUGCAUUUCAUUCAUUUAGGUCGGCCCACUAGAAGCCCGCGGCCCCGAAAAAGCCUUGUUACACGAUUUUGCUAGAGUAUCUGCCAAAUAAUUGGCUUCACGAGGAAUAAAUUGGAAAUUGAUUACAUCAAAACGAGCUUGCAAUCUAUCGAUAUCCUGAAGGAUGCCAUAGAUCUCGGUCAUACUCCUCUUCAUAGUGAUGCAUUUUACCAGUGUGUCGGAAUCUGAAGCCAUGCAGAGACGGUUCAGGCUUAGAUCUGAAGCGAUUUGGAGGGCCUUUCGCAUGGCUAGUGCUUCGGCCACCAGUGGAGAUCCCACCGAUGCAUGUGCUUCUGAUCCUUGGUUCAGGAUGUUUCCGGUCUCAUCCUUGAAGACCCAUCCCAGCCCCGCCGUGAGAGAUGCACAAUUCCAUGAACCAUCAACAAAACAACGGAUCGAGUUUCUCAUGAAUGAAGGUCUCCAUGAUCUUCUCACCGAGCCAGAUAAGUCUCUUUUCUCUGGUUGUUCUAGUUGCCACUCCCUUGCUCCUUUGAGAAUAAUUGAGACUGUUUCUAAUGGGUUAAAGUUCCUCUCAUUGAAGACUCUUUUGUUCCUUGAUGUCCAGAUACUCCAUAGUACCCAGGGGUAUAGGGGGCCUCUCGCGAUUCCUGUAGGGGGGAGGCAUGUGAGAGAUCGCAAGCUUCGGAUUCCUGCUUUGAUGUCGACGACCUGGGAUAUGUUGAUUGUGUUGCUAAACGGAAUCAGGUUCCAGACAUCAGUCGCAAAAGGGCAUUGGAAAAAUAGAUGAAGUUCAGAUUCCGGUGCUCCGCAGUGGAUGCAGGAUGAUGUCAGGAUGACCUUUCGCUUGACUAAGUUGUUUCCCAGCGGUAAUGCUCCUUUCACUAGCUUCCAUAAAAAUAGUUUAAGUUUCUCAGAGCAGGCUUCAUGCCAAAUUUCCUUUCUCCAGUCAAAGCCCUCGUGGUUGUUUGGUUGGGGGGCAUUUAUGAUCGCUGUGGAUUCUACGGAGUGGUAGCCCGAUCUGGUCGUGUAGAUGCCGGAUGAUUGUGGCGUCCAGAUGAGUUUGUCAUCUACGUCAGUGUGGCUUAUUUUGAUGCACAUGAUCUCCUCUUCAAAUUGUGGUAAGAUUUCCUUGAUCAUAGCAAUAUUCCACUCCUUAGUAUUCUCCACAAUCAAGUCCGAAACUUUCAUGUUAUAGACAUGUGCAGGGGCAGGGCCAAUGGGCUUGCAGAUUGAAGACGUGGAUAUCCAAUUCUCCUCCCACACACUUGUUGUCUUGCCAUUCCCGAUUGCCUUCCCCAAUUUCUUUUUUAGUAAGUCCCUUCCCACUAGCACUCCUUUCCAUCCAUGCGAUGAUAUAUCAGGGUUUGGGGCAUCAAGAAAGGUUUUAUCCAUGAAGUAUUUCCCUUUUAGGAUACGGUGGAGCAGGCUCUCUAGGUUCAUGAGGAUUCUCCAGCUCAAGUUUGCCAGCAUCGCAUCAUUGAAGGUUUGUAUAUCUCUGAACCCCAGUCCUCCAUCUCUUUUACUUUUUGUUAGCUUGUGCCAAGCAAUCCAACACAUCUUUUUUGUGUCUGGAUUAGCAUCCCACCAGAAUCUUGUUAACACUGAUUGGAUUCUUUGACAGAGGCUAACCGGUAGUUUGAAACAGGACAUCGCAUGAGUUGGCAUCGAAGACAGGACCGACUUUAGGAGAACCAUCUUCCCUGCACUUGAUAGGGUUUUCGUUGAUCUUGCGAUAGCUUUCUGUCUAAUCCGGUCCACAAUGGAACUGAAAAGGUCCUUUUUCUUCCUUCCAAAAUGCUCAGGUAAUCCUAAAUAUUUGCCCACGCCUCCUUCAUUUUCAAUUCCCAAGAUUUGCUUUGCUCUUGCUCGGACAGCUUGAGAUGUUUUCCGUGAGAAAGAGAUAGCUGACUUUUGGCAAUUGAUUUUCUGUCCUGAUGCUUGCUCGUACUUUCGUAGGAUGUUGACCAAGGCUGUGCAGCAUUUUGUGCUUGACUUACAGAAGAACAUGGUAUCAUCUGCGAACAGUAGAUGGUUUAUCAUGGGGCUUCGUCUGGCUACUCUUAUUCCAGUAAGUGUUCUUCUCCUCAUUGCAUUGAGGCAGAGCCCUGAGAGAACUUCUCCACAGAUAAUGAAAAGGUAAGGUGAAAGGGGAUCACCUUAUCUUAUUCCUCUGCUUGGACAGAUUUGUCCUUUUGGUGAGCCGUUUAUAAGUACUGAGAAUUUCACCGUAGAUACACAUUGCAUAAUCCACUGAAUCCAUGUUGAAUGAAACCCCAUUUGCUUUAAGACUUCAUUGAUAAAAUCCCAUUCUAGACGAUCAUAUGCCUUAGUCAUAUCUGUUUUGACUGCCAUAGCUCCUCUGAUUUCUGCUUCUGAAGUUUUUAAAAAAUGCAGGAUUUCAUGGGUGAUAAGGACGUUGUCCGAUAUCAUCCUGCCGGGGACAAAAGCUGAUUGGUUUUCGGAUAUAAUCGUGUGGAGGAUUGGUCGCAAUCGAGCUGUCAGGAUUUUUGAGAUGAUUUUAUAGUAGACGUUGCAAAGGGCAAUCGGUCUGUAGUCUGCCACGGAUAGCGGAUUGCUGAUCUUUGGUAUGAGACAUAUAUGGGUGUUAUUGAUGUCCUUUGGGAGCAAACCCGAGGUAAAGAAACUCCGAAUCUCUUUGGUGAUAUCCGUUUUCAUUAGAUCCCAAUGAGUAUGAAAGAAACUCGCUGAGAAACCAUCCGGGCCAGGAGCUUUGUCCGGGUGGAUUCCAAAAAGGGCUGUUCUAAUCUCUUCUUCAUCUGGAAUCUUGAUUAGUUCCUCAUUGGUUUCAGGAGAGAUUCUCGUCUGGAUGGCUUCCGAGACAAUGUCCACACAUCUUUCAUUCGCAGAUGAGAACAGGGAGUGAAAGUAGUCCGUUAUUGUUUCUGACAUUUGGUCAUCCUCAUAGACUGAUACUCCUUCUUUGUUCUUGAUAACAGAUAUGUUGUUCCUAGCUCUUCUGCCCCUUGUAGCAGCAUGGAAAUAUCCACUAUUCUUGUCACCGAGGCUUAGCCACAACUGGCGGCUUCGUUGUCUCCAGAACUCCUCCUCCGCUUGGUAAGCUCGCCGAAGAUCAUCGUUGAUUUUAUUUAUUAGGUAGUCAUCACAAACCGGACUUGACAUUGCUGUCUCCAAUUCGCCCUUCUUUUGUGUGAUGAUCUUCUGGCUAUUGACAUAAUGCUCUUUUUUCCACUUGAUGAGGCUUCUUCGGCAAUGGCUGAUUCGCUGGUCUACUGUGGCCGAAGGAUAAGCCAGCCAGGUGCUCUCAAUCAAUUGUUUUACUUCCGUGUUGUUUUGCAGACUUCUAUCAUAUCUGAAAGUUCCUCUUCUACGGUUUGAAGGUGCGAAACUGGUGAUGAGAGGCCUGUGAUCUGACGCUUCGAAGGCUAGGUAUUCACAGCUCGCGAGAGGGUAUGCGCAGAACCAAGCACUGUUGGCCACCGAUAUGUCAAGUCUGCAUUUUACAUGGUGAUUACUUCGAUUCCCUCUCCAUGAUAAAAAGUUCCCAAAAUGCUUAAUGUCAUAUAGAUCAUUUUCAGACAUGAACGAGCGAAACUCUACAAACGACUCCUCUGAUCUAGGGGGCCCCCUUUUUUUCAGAGCUAUUCACCAUAUCAUUAAAAUCUCCGGUUAGUAUCCAUGGUGCAUCUCUGCUUAGGCCUGUAGUCGUUAUUCUUUGCCAUACUUCCUUCCUUUUUUUCUUUUCCGGGUGGCCAUAUACAAAAGUUGCAUAUAGAAGUUGUCCUUUGUGUUUGAUGGUGGUGUCAAUGAAGUUCUCACAACUGGAUAUCACUUGCAGGUCGAUCUCUUUUUUCCAUAACAACGCCAGUCCGCCGCAUCUGGGAGAGAUUGGUGGGACUGUGAAGUGCUUAUCGUAAUCCAAGGGUUGAAGCUCUGUGAGGACAAAAGGGUCAGGAUUUUUUGUCUCCAUGAGGAAUAAGAUGUCCGGGAAGUCAAACUUGCGCUUGAUUUCCUUGAGUCUAUGAACUGUCCAAGGGUUCCCCAGCCCUUGGCAGUUCCAGCUCGUAACUCUUAAGGAACGGGAUUGGGUGGUUUGUGAAAAUCCACCCUCUCCUUUGUGAUUCUCGGAAUAAUUGUCACCUGAGCCCCUUGUUGGUGAGAUCCCUUCCCUUUACUUGGUGGUAUUCCUCUGCUCGAGCUUCCCCUGUGGUAAGUUGUUGUUCCAUUCUCCUCAUUGCGAGUGAUGUUUAGAGCUUGUUUACGUCUUUUUGGUGAUUGUUGAACUUGCAUGACCCGACGUUUUUAAGAGCAAGCACCAGUAAGGAUAGAGGGGCUGAAAUGAGCUUUCUUUGCUCCUGGGGGUCUUCCCCGUUUCCUUGGAACAGGUACGACAUUCAUUUCAUUAGUCGGUCCCAGUCUUUGAGAGACUGGGGUUCUCUCUUGUUGGUCUUGUUCUGACUGUGGAUUCUGAUCCUGGUUGUUUUGAGUUGCAAGUACAGAUCUCACCAUGUUGGCAGCAGUCUCUUCAAAUUCCCCAGCCUCUUCAGCAAGUCUUACUCUUUCUCUUCGGGCAGCACUUUCAGUCGGGUCCUCACAAUUAGCAUAUCUGAUCAUGACGUCCCUUAGUUCCCCGAUGGCUUCUUCCAUCGCCUGCUGGGGUAAGUCUUCUAUAGGAGUAAUUGGUAUAUCCACCAGCUGUUCAUUGUUUUCCUGGACUCUCGAAUUUUCCGAUAGAGGGUUCAUUUGUCUUACAGGCGAUCUCGGUUUUUCCCUCCAGACUUGUCUUGCCACUUCUCUACCAUGAUUGGUUGAGUUGUUCCUCCCAUAAGAAUGAUGAUGGUACGAAGAGACAGAUGAACCUCUUUGGUGGAUACGGGAGUCAGGUCUGUAAGGUUCCCUUCUGUCGUUUUGGUUUCGAUAUGAACUCCGUGAAUAUGAUUCGUUUCUGCGUGGUUCAUAGGUGGAGUGCUCCAGGUUUUGGCGUCUUGGGGAGCUUCUCUCAGAUGAUCUUCUGCUGCGAAUCGAGUUCUGGGAUGCCUCUAAGGCCCUUGGAUCAGAUUCACGGGGUUUAGCAAAUCCCAUGUAGCUCCUUCCGUUUCUAUCAUUGCUUCGAGUAGGAAUAUAUCUGCCAUCCUCGAUUGCUUCUUUAGGUCCAGGGGCCUUUAUCUUUGGUGUUUUUGAAUCAUUCUUUGUCAAGGUAGGGCAGGACUCCUUUUCAUGAUCUAACCGGUUGCAAAUUUUGCAGAAUCUUCCCAACUUUUCAUACACAAGGGUAGCAAUAAUCUCACUUCCAUCAGGGAAUUCGAUGUGGGAUUUCAUGAUAAGCGGCUGGAGUCCAUUUACUUGGACUCGCAUUCGUGCUGCUGACGGUGAGAUGUCCAGGGUUUCAAGCAGACCAAGAUCUUCUCCCACACCUCUGAUUAUUUCCGUGGUCCAUAAGUGCACGGGGAUUCCUUGGACUUUAAUCCAGAAGGGUAUCUGUGAGGGGAAGCUAGGAGAUAAGGUGGGCUCCCAUCUUUGGAUUAUGAUCAUCCACUGCGCAAAGUGGUAAGGUCUGUUGUCUAGAACGGUUUGGAUAUCUUCCUCGGAGGAGAAUUGGAAUUGAAAAAGUCCCUGUCCUAGGUCAGAUCCCGUCGCUCUUGUUGAAGUUUUCAGCACAUUUUUCCACAGAUCUGAGAGGACCGGAAUGAGUGACCACAUUCUCUGUGCUUCCGGAUUUGUGACUCUGCCGAUUAGAGUGAGUGAGUGUCGUCUUAUCAGGUUGGCGUUGUUUGGGAUUUGGACUCUUACUCUCGAUACUCUUGGCCUCAGGUUUGAGUCAUCAGAAUCCCUUUCCCUUCUCGAGUAGUUUGAGUGACUGCUGUUAUUCACAACAGCUUUUCCUUUUUCGUGGUAGGAGAUUCUGUGGGUCAUUUUGCAAGGUUGUCGCCGGAGCUGGAGAUGAAGGUUGGAAGCGAACAGAUUUUUAAACGUUUAUAUGGUUCAGGGACGGAUCCGAGAUAGAGUAGAAGGAUUCUCCUAUUCCAGGCGAGAAGAUUCAGAGGCCCGGAAGCAUAGGUUUCUCCAUGUAGAUUUAGGCAUGUUGAGACAGAGCUUUUGGGACAGAGAAGGCUGAGCCAUGAGAUGGAGAGUACUACCAGUAGAGAGAAAACGGACCCUCCGACGGAGGUCGGGGGCGGAACCCGGCGAAGCAAGACCAAAGGUGGUUUUGGUUAUUUGAAAAACUUUCUAUUUUUGGCAAAACCAGGUAGCAAAAUGUCGUUGUCUGUUAAAACCAGGUAGCUUGAAACCUUCCAGAGAAACGUGUCUGAGAGAGUUUUUUACACAUACUAUAUACGGAUCUAUUUCCUUUAGUUCCUCCUGUAUAUAUAUAUAUAUAUAUAUGAGGAACAACUAUAACAAAUAUGUUAUGAUAUUUAAAAUUACAUUUUGUUUAAUAAAAACUAUAAUGUAGUAUUAACAAUAAUUCAACUAUAUAUAAAAAUUUUAAAUUUGAACAUAUAAAAUAAUAAUAUAUUUUAUAAUUUGUCUUAGGCCUCUCUAAAGCUAGGCACGGCAUUACUUAUUGGUAAAAUAUCUCUGCAUGAUACAUCAAUUGGCUGAGACAACCAACAAGAACAGACAAGCAAAGUCAGUUUUCUUUUCUCAAAUCUCUUCUUGGCAUCGUCCAUUAACUAAAACCAUUUCCAAUCCAUCUCAAACCGUUUAUGUACUCAUCAUUAUCUACACAAGAAACUGUUAAACUGAAGCUAACGUUAUAACAAAGCUGCAAAACUGUGAGAAGAUUUUCUAAUAUCUUAAAACAUCUUCAAGGGUCAGAAAGCGUCUAUGAAAACUUGGAUAAGAUAUAAAGUCUUUUGAAAAGUAGAGAACAAAGGUGACCUCGGAAAAAUGUUUUUCUCGUCAAUCAUGCGUCUUACAGAAAAUUUCAAUAACUUGAUUUGCAUAAACUUAUUUUUUUUAAAAAAUAUUUAAACACAAUAUGAGGAAUGUAAAGAUUCUCAACCUUGGAAAAAGGUAGCUCUCCUUUUCAAAGUCUUUAAAACGAGUCAAGGAGUAAAAUUAGCCCUUCCAAUUCUCUUCAUGUUGAAACAAGUCAAUGUACUUAUUUGUACUCGCAUGUUUAAUUAUUGAUUCUCAUGAGGAAUAAAGUUACAAGUGAGUUAUAUAUAGAUAAAAAGCAUUUUGAAUUAAAAUAAAUACAAAUGAAAAUAAGACAUUUACAUUUACUUAAGUUAAAAAAAAAUAAUACAUUUAAAAAAUGUAAACUUCAUAAGCUUAAUUAUUAAUAAAUAUCUAUCUUAAACUUCCAUGUUCAAUCUCAUAAAGUCCUAAGACAUUUCCAUUAUAAAAUCUCUAUCUUAAUUCAUAUUUUGGUCGAUCUCAUCCAUCUUCUUACAUUUUUAUUUUGAAAAAUACAUAAAAGAGAUUUGGAAGCCUAUUUGGAUGAUAAAGAAUUACAACUAACUAGGAUAAACAAAACCAACAAGUUAUUUAAAGAAAAGUCACAACUCACAACUAACUUGAUGGCUCAGCCACUUGAUUGGUGAGCAAAAUGAAAUUAGUGGAAACAUAAUUAGGCAAUUUCCACAAAAGAAGACAGAAUAAUCAAAUUAACAAUAUAUAAGCUUAAACACAACCACAUUUAAUCUCUAAAAAACCCAGUAUAUAUAAAAAUCCGCGUAUGCGCAGGUAUUCACCUAGUACUAUUAAAAGAAAAGUACAUUUAUCAGUUGUCCUUAACUUUAUGUGGCAUAUUACAAAAUAUGCCAUUAGAAAAAUAUUAAAUCAUGACCCAAAAAAAAAUUAAAACCAAGGUUAAAAGGAGAAGAGGUUUUUUUUUUUUUUUUGUCAACAGCCUCUUCUCCUAAACCGAAGGUGUUAACCAAACCGGUGGAGAUGAGUUCACAUAAAUCAUAUUCCGUGGAUAGACUCUAGCGCUGUGAGCAAAUGCGUCCGCCUUGGUGUUCUUCGCUCGUGGUAUGUGGAUCAGUUUGAAAAAAGGAACUUCUCUCUGGAUUUCUGGAUUUCCCCCAAUUGUAGUGCAAAUGCUGGCCAUUCCGUUGGUGCCGACACCAUCUUCACCACAUCAGAAUAGUCUGUUGCAAAAACUACUUCUCUUCGCUGAUUUUCAAUCAUGCACAACAUUGCCCAUAAUAGUGCCUCUACUUCUGCAUGUAAAGGAGAUAAGCUGCGUCGUAAAUUUUGUGCCCCCAUUAUGGUCUCGUUGGAUUCCUCGCUCCUAUAAUACCAUCCUAUACCUGAUUUUUUAUCUGUCUCCUUCCAAGAACCAUCCACCGAACACCAUCCCUUAUUAAAGGAGGUCGGGUGUGAUGGCAAUUGAGGAUGGUGUAUUUCCGUUUCAGUUACCGAUUUUUGUGUCUCAAUCCAUAAAAGGCUUUCCGUUUCUGCUAAUUUAAGCGUUAAUCGUGGAUCCCUGUCUAUGUUUGAGAAUAUUUUUUCAUUUCUUGCUUUCCAAAUGUACCAUACUAUCCAUGGGUAUGAUUCAUUAAAAAUUCCUGGUGGUGUACGCCAAAACAAAUAAUCCAAAUUUCCAUAAAUAGAACUUCCUGGGAAAACUCCCGUAGGUGUUGGGAACUGUGACAAAGCCCACGUCUGCAUUGCGGGUGGACAUUCAAAUAAAACAUGAUUGAUCGUUUCCUCCUCUGCCCCACAUCGAUUGCAUUGUGCAUCACAUUUGAUUCCUCUGUUGUUCAGAUUUUUGGCAACAGCCAGACAACCGGACAGUACUUGCCAUAGAAAAUGGCGUAAUUUAGGGGGACACCUCAGUUUCCAUAGUUUUACUAAUAAGGGCUCGAAAGUAGGUCCAUAUAGGUUUUGUGUUUCUGUUUCCGAGUUUUGGUGUUCAAUUUGGUAUCCAGAUUUGACCGUAUAUUUGCCUGAUUUUGUGAAGUGCCAACCCAAUACAUCCGGCCGAAAUGAGGCGCUGAUUGGCAUCCCUUGUAUUAUUUCCACAUCUUUUGGAUCUAUGAUAGCAUUGAGGAGCCCCAUAUUCCAAGUACUAGUCUGUGGAUCAAUGAGAUGAUUAACCAUGAGAUUUGGGUAAUAAUUAUAACCCUUACAUAUUGCUGAUCUCGGGCGAGAAGAUGGUAUCCAGGGAUCUUUCCAAACCGAAGUGGAACAUCCAGAACCAACUCUUUUGAUUAGCCCUUUGUUAACCAGAGAUCGAGCUGAAAUAAUACUUCGCCAUCCGUAAGAUGGGGAAUAUGACUUUAUGUUGUCCAUUGGACCUGCAUUCUGAUAAUAUCGUCCUUUGAGUACUCUCGCAAACAGCGUAUCUGGCUUUUCUAUUAAUCGCCAUAACUGUUUUUCCAACAGUGCCGUAUUAAAAUUCUCUAGCGACCUGAAGCCCAUGCCCCCCACCGAUUUGUGACGGCACAUCUUUGGCCAUGCUAGCCAGUGCAUUCCUUUUCCUUGACCUUUCGUGUUCCACCAAAAUCUUGCCGUGAUGCUCGUUAACUUUGUGGUGAUUGAUUUUGGUAAGCGAAAACAUGACAUGACAAAAGUUGGCAUAGCGGAAGCCACCGAUUUUAUUAGUACUUCCUUUCCCCCUUUUGAUAAAAAGUUGGAUGUCCAUCCGUUUACGCGAUCCUGUUGUCUGUCAGCUAAAAACUGGAAGAUCCUGGUCUUUGUUCCCCCAAGGUUUUCCGGUAAUCCUAAAUAUGAGCCCAUUCCCCCCAUGUUGUGAAUUCCUAAAAUUUGUUUCAUCUCAUUUUUCACUAUGUCUGAGACCUUAUGCCCGAAUUGUAUUGACGACUUGUCAAAAUUUAUUUGUUGACCCGAUACGUUCUCAUAUUGGCGGAGCACCUGCAAUAUCUGCUGACAUUCCUCCUUGUUUGCUUUACAAAAGAAAAGGCUGUCAUCCGCAAAUAACAAGUGUGAGAUCGAAGGGCUUGACCGGGCUACUUUCAAUCCGGUCAACUUUCUGUCUUGUUCUGCCUUCUUUAUAUUAGAUAUCAGGACUUCCGUACACAAAAUGAAUAAAUAUGGGGACAAUGGAUCCCCUUGUCGGAGUCCCCGAUGUGGAGUUAUUCUUCCUUUAGGUUGCCCAUUCAAAAGAACUUUAUAUUGUACUGACUUUAUACACCACAUCAUCCAGGUAAUCCAUCUUUCCGCAAAUCCCAUUUUUCUCAAGAGAUGUUCUAUGAGAUCCCAUUCAAUCCUGUCAUAGGCUUUGCUCAUGUCCGUUUUAAUUGCCAUGAAUUUAUCUUGGCAGGACUUAUUUGUGCGGAGCCCAUGGAACAUUUCCUGUGCAAUCAGAAUCUUAUCCGAGAUCAAGCGUCCCGCGACAAAAGCCGAUUGUGUUUCUGAAAUAAUAUCGGGUAAUAGUUUCUUUAACCGUUGACACAAAACUUUAGAAAUUAUUUUGUACCCAACAUUGCAUAGACUUAUUGGUCGCAGUUCCGUCAUUCGAGUUGGUCUGUCCUUUUUUGGAAUUAAACAUAUGUUAGUCAUAUUUAAUCGUUGAUCGAAGAUCCCUGUUUCCAAGAAGCCAUUUACUAACCCAAGUAAAUCCGUUUUAAUUAUCUGCCAUGAUUUUUGAAAAAAUAAGGCUGUCAUUCCGUCAGGCCCUGAGGCCUUUUCCGGGUUCAUCAUAAACAAAGCUUUGUACACCUCAUCUUCUGUUGCCUCCGCCACUAACAUGGCAUUAUCCUCCUCUGUGACUCGAUUUUGAAUUUCUCCAAGUGCGGAUUCAAAUUGUAAUGGGGAGGUUGUAGUGAACAAGUCCUCAAAAUAUCCCACUGCAACUUGUUCGACCUCUUUUUCGGAGGUCACCCAUGAACCUGCCGCAUUAUACAAGCCGACAAUUCGAUUCCUUGCUCGUCUUUGUUUUACAUGCGCAUGAUAGAAUUUUGUAUUUUUAUCACCCCCAAUAGCCCACUCGUUCCGGCUUUUCUGUUGCCAAAACAGCUCCUCGUCUCUAUAAGCUAUUUUUAAUUUCCUUGUAACCUCUAUUAAUUCCUCCUCCGAUUUUGUAUCAUCAUUUUGAACGUCCUCAAGCUCCUUUUGCAACUCAGUAAUCCUCUCUUUCCCGUAAGGUAGAUUGUUUUUCCUCCAUCUAGAUAUUUCGCGACGGCAAUUAGAGAUUUUUUCCAUGAACGUCCCCUCACGUCGCCCAAAAUUUGAAGUCCAUCCUGUAGAAAUAGCAUCCAUUAAACCCUCUUGGCCAAUCCAUCGUUUGUCAAAUCGGAAUUGGGUUCUCUUCCGGGGGAUUUUAUCCUCAAUUGUUGUUACUAUCGGUCUAUGAUCCGAUCCAAUCAUUGCCAGAUACUCCAUAAACGAAUGACAGAACAUCUCAUGCCAGUGUUCGUUUGCUAGAGCUCGGUCCAAUCGACAUCUUACUAUUUUGGAGUUUCUACGUCCCCUCCAGGACAUGGUAUUUCCUAAACACGGAAAGUCUAGAAAACCGCAAAUACUAAUCAUGAGAUUAAAGGAUGUAAAGGUCGAUGCAUGUCGCAAGGCUCCACCUUGCUUUUCAUGGUUACCAGUAAUUUCGUUUAGGUCUCCAAUGAUAAACCAGGGUUCUUUUCGAGAAAGGCUGAUUCUCGUCAAUCGUUCCCAUACUUGAUCCCGUUGUUUGGGAACCGGAUCUCCAUAAAUAAAAGACAGAUAAACAGUUUUUCCUUGAAUAACCGCUUCGAUAUCGAUUAUUCUUGCACUUGAAUAUAUUACCUUAAUGUUAAAAAGAUCAUUAUAAAAAAGUGCAAGUCCUCCACUUGUUCCGCAAGGUUCAACCGUAAAUAAUUUAUUAUAACCAAAAUGAAAUUGAAAUUGUUGCACAAAAGAAAAACAUUGUUUAGUCUCAGAAAGAAAUAAAAAUUCGGGCCUAUGUCUUUUCCAAAUCUCUCGCAGGUAGCUUAUUGUCCAUUUGCCUCCAAGACCCUGAAAAUUCCAGCUAAGUACUCUCAUUAAUGGCUUUGUUUGUUGCUUUCUGCCCCUGUUUUGGGUUUAAGGUCCCCUUCGGAGCUCCAUUCUGGCCUUUGUCACCGAUGUGGUUCCCAUUUUUGACCCCUUGUUUUUUCUGAGGAGAUGUAAAUUUUUGAACCAAUCUCUUCUUUGUACUGCCUCCUAGAAAGAGCGGGUUGCUCUUGACGGUUUUCUUUUUUACUUCGUUUUUGUCUCCGUCCUUCGCCACCUCAUCGAGUCCCCCUCCCUCUAUAUCCGAUGACUUUGCAGGACCUGUCUCACCCAGUAAAUCUGCAACUGUGACCUCAAGACCUGCAGAGUCCCACAAUUCCUCAACCUCUGUAAUAGACUGGAAAAAUUCCCCGUCUUCAAAGUCAUCCUCACCCCUUUCCUUUUCCACAUUUCCUUCGCAAGUGAACAUGUCCGGAUUAGCUUCCAUGUCUUGCCCAAGAGUCACCGUGAUUUCAUUACCGGAUGAGCUUGGCUUAAUAUGGUCCUGCAUUUCCGAGCACAGGUUUAGCUCCUCCUCUUUUGCAGCUUCCAAACUGUGUUCCAUCAUGUAUCCUGAGAUGUCGUUAGCUGAUAAGGUCAGCCCCUGGUCCUGCAUAUCCUCGUCACCUGCCAUUCCAUCAUCAUUAGUCUGUUCUGUCACCGUAUUAAUCACCUCCAACUCCCUGUUUCUGUUAACAUUUGCUCUCCCAUUCAAGACCGGUUCUUCCAUGAGAUCAUCUUCAUCAAAAGAAAGGCUCUUCCUUGCUAAGCUCCUUGUUUGAGACAAACCGGUUUGGUUCCCGAUGUUGUGAUCCCCCUUUAUGAUCGCCUUAUCUUAGUGGAAUUCUUUCCUCUGGCUCCUAGUAACCUCCACCGUGGAGCUCAACUCCUUUUCAGAAAGGGGUUGAGAUCCCCCUUUGUGAAAUCGGUGAAUCUGGAUGAGGGGAAGGUUCAGGUGGUAAUCGACGGUUCGAAGCCCUUAUGCUUCAAGACAACAGUAGACUUCGACGAAGGUGUGGAGAUGACAAUAUAUUUGCGAUACGAGAAGUUAUUCGGUUACUGUAGGAACUGUCUAAGCCUCUGCCAUGACCAACAACGCUGCCCCCUGCGGACGGGAACGGAUGAACGGAAACCUCAAGAAACCGGCCUUGAGAUAGCAGAUAGAAACCAGAGUGUGGCUUCGUACAAGACGGUCACAAAAUAUGGAGGGGGUGGAGGAAGAGACUCGGUGAAAAAUGAGAGUGUGAAUGCAGGUUUUAAAGGGAAGGGCAAAGCUCAUAGAGAAGAAGCUGAUCACAAGCUGAAAGGCAGAUCGGAGAAGAAGACCGGUGAUCACUCAAUGGUCUUAACGAGACCAUCAGGGUAUAUCCCUCCAAAGGCGCUACACAGGACAUACAAAGCCAAAGCAGCUGGUAAUAAAGGAGAAGAGGUUUAUUAUAAUCAAAACCAGUGGAUCUUAUAUUUUACCAGACUUUUAAAAACACAACCCAUUUAUACAUUUUCUUUGGUAUUUUAUGAAGAUCUAUGCGUUUAUCGGAUUGCUAAUUGGAUCCAUUUGGUUUUUCUGAAUUCUUUAGUAAAAACACUCGGAACUUAAUUAUUACCUGACUUAAAAUAAACGCGAUCUGUUUUAUUUGUCAUUUUACUCUUUACAAGGUCCGCAUCUCAAUUCAACUUCUAAUUGGAUCCAUUUUGGUUUUUCCUGAUUUUUUCCCGUUUUCUGAACUACAACAAUACCAUAUAUAUCAUUGACUUUCGUUGACACUUUUUUUAAAAACAUUUGUGACAUUAUUUGACAUACUAUUAUCUGAUUAUAUUAAACACACAAAUUACGUAUAAUAGUAAUAGGACCGGAAUAUGUUUAAAAUAAUAUUCUCCUUACCUGAAAUAUAUAAAACUUGAGAGUAUAUGCCACAAUAUAAUUUCAAGUUGCAUCUAUUUAUGUCAGUAAGGUAUGACAUGGACAUUACACUAAUUUUGAGAACUAAUUCAAAAUAUUUCAUUUGGAGUGACGGCGAAUUCAAAUUAUAAUAUUCACGUAUAAAGUGGAAAUCUAUCUAUUUUUGUUAUAGUAAUUCAGAUAUGAUAUAUUAGAUAUAGGAACUAAUUUAACUAUCUUACAAAAAUAAUCAUGGUAGAAUAUGCUUCCGUCAAUUUUUUUUUAUGUUUAUAUUUUAAAUUGAUUUAGAAUAAAUCUACCAUUCUAAAUAUCCUCUUAAAUCUUUAAAAUCAUUCAAAAUUUUGAAAUUCCCACCUCUAUAGUUUAAUGGGAAUCCAACGUCAAUAAAUAAAAAGAUAUACUUCCAUUUUUGGAGAACUUUGUGGAGGAAGCUAGGUACAAAGCCCUUUUCUCCACUACUUGUCAUCCUCAAACGGAUGGACAAACUGAAGUGGUAAACCGUACUCUUUCCACUUUACUUUGAGCAGCCCUUGGGCGUUAUAUGAAAACUUGGCUAGAUUGUAUACCCUUUGUAGAAUUUGCUUAUAACCGCGUGAGGCGCUCAGCUACUAAGCUGUCACAUUUCGAGGUUGUUUAUGGUACUAACCCUUUGUCUCCAGUAGAUUUAAGACCUAUAGCACAGGUAGAACCAAAAAACUUAGACGGCCUACGAAGAGGCGAGUUGUUCAAGAAGCUUUAUGAGACGGCUCGCGACAACAUUGAGAAAAAGACCGAUGGCUACAAGAAAGCCGCAGACAAAGGACAAAAGGAAGUCACCUUUGAACCAGGAGAUUGGGUGUGGUUGCACAUGAGGCCUGAAAGAUUCCCUAAUCAACGUGCCUCCAAGCUCGCACCAAGAGGAGACAGACCGUUCAAAGUCUUAAGCAAAAUCAAUGACAAUGCCUACCGUCUUGAUUUGCCAGGUGAGUUUAACAUUUCUCACACUUUCAACGUUGCUGAUCUGUCAUAUUUUGAUGCAGCUGAAGAAGUUUUGGGGUCAAAACCUUUUGAAAAGGGAGGGAAUGAUGUGGACAUCGACCCUACCGACCCAUCAAACAUCGAGAGACACAUGCCGGAGGUCCAAGACGGGGCCAUGACUCGGUCCAAGAUCAAACAAAUGAGGAAUAAAUACAGGAAGGCGCUACACGUCAUUAUAAACUCACUGGACCCAAACAACCCCCUGUUACCAGAUCUACAAGUCAUACAUGGUUUAAACGACCUUUGCGGCCAAAUCGGGCCCGAGAACAUGACUCAAGGAGAAGUCACACCAGACCAUCGAUUCCCACAAGGCCAAUGUAACAUCUCUCGACCAACUUUUCAUUUAAAAGCUAACAGUCCGAGCAGAAUUCCUUUUACAGGCUUAAAACUUGAAGAAAUCGGAGAUAGCCCAAAAAUAGCCGAUGCGCGAGAAUUUUUAGCCGAUACACGAGAACUUUAAUCCGAGAAAAUGGAGCCUCAACGGCUAGACCACCCUGACGACAAAAUCGACCGUCUUGGAGCUGACAUUCCUCGACCAAAAUCAUCCCCUGAAGCCAACGCUCGAGAAAGAAUUGAAUUCCAACGAGCAGAACAGGAGAUUGCCGAUGCCACACUCGUUUUAGCCGAGAAAUGCCAUGCAACACAGGCCGAGCCACCAGACGACCUAGAAAUGACCAACAAAGGUAAUUUCUCUCAACCAAGUGCAUAUUAUAAGACUAAUGCACGUGGAAUUCUCGCAGGCGAACGUGCAGAAUUGGAGUUGCUUCACAACACACCAAGUGGACGCGAUGACGAGCUAACCGAGGCCGAGCGACUAGCCAUACAAGAAGCGACGGUCAUAGAGCUUAAGGGACAUGAAGAUCAAGAUUCUCCGGGACUAGAAGACGCCUCAAGCGACCCAAGCCACAGCAGGCCAAGGCAGGACACUUCAAUGAACGACGAGGCCGCACACGACACCAACGAGCCGCGCCACCCAAAGUAAGUAUUUCAAUUAUUUCAUUGUGCUUACAGGAGGAGCCAACAUCUCCAUCGACUAAGUGUCAGAGUUAAACGACUCAAGUCAUGUAGUUUAAGUCUUUUAUUUUAAACUUUCCAUUUCUGUAAUAAAUGAAACGAUGAGCUUUGUUUCUUAGACUAGGUUUGUUUUCUUUGAGUUUUAUUUACUUAGUCCUGUCGUUUUGAGUCCAGAGUCGAACCCUAGAAGGUUCAAGCUGACGAACCAGUUUAUAAGGUUCCUUUGCAGCAUUGUAGUCCGCAGACUUUUUCCCAUAUCAAUAAAAUAUCGAACUUUCUUCAAAGUUUACCCAAGAAGCGAUUUCUCUUUGUUCUUGGUUUGUUUGUGCGAUUCAAGCAAGCUUUGAGCCUUCACCGUAUCAGAGACUCACCAUCAUUCUGUGUUGUGAACUCACGCCGCCAUCACACCCCGUUUAGAUCCCACACGAGGGGGCGACCGCGUGUGUGUCAGAUCAUUCCAUCAUCGACCAUUAACCGAGCUAAGGAGAGGGCGACCGCCUAUCUUAGUUCCCACCCGUAUCCUCAGUGUGAGAGCCACCACCGGUUCUUACAUCAUUUUGGUAUCAGAGCCGAAGUGCCUGCUUCGGUUUUCUUACCCUUAUCUUUUGUUAUUUUCUGUUAUUCCGUAUUCAUUAGGUUGUUUAGAUCGGUUGAAGUUUAAUAAGAAAAAAAUAAAAUAUAGUUAGGGUUGUUAGUUAAGCGUUAAUUGUUUUCGUUUAUUUAGAAGUCAAAAUAUAUAUAUAUAUAUAUAAAUAUAUAUCAUAGUCUUAUUUCAUAUCCUUGUAUACCCGUUUUCAUUCAAAACUAGAAAAGAACAAAAGAAUUAUAUUAGAGUUUCAGUUCCUUUAGUGUUAUCUACUCGUCUCACACUUAAUACUUUGACAAGUCGUUGUUUUUGGUGAGCUUACAAGGAACCGUGUUUUAAAACCAUGGGAGACAACAGUGACAUUACCAACAACGCCGCACCAGCUCAUGCCAAUGGACAGCAACAUAAUGAGCUCAUGGCAAUGCUUGCCACCAUGAGAGAGGAGCUGCGAGACACUCAUGAGCGUGUUGCGCGUCUUGAGCCACAACAACCGAGGACUCUCAACACAGAACUUCCACCAGCUCGGAGGAAUGUGUGAGCCAACCUAGAGCAUAACCCUGAGGACUCGGAGACGGACAGCAUGCCGGAACUAGAGGAGGAUCAACCUCCUGAUCCUUUGAAUCGGCAUCACCAGAGGAGACAAGACCCUUUGCUCAGAAACAGGCCAAGAGAACAAGAGCGUAGGGAAGUUAACAAUGACAUGAAAAUAACUCCUCCCACUUUUGCAGGCAAAUCAAACCCUGAGAUCUAUUUAGAUUGGGAGAGGCGCUUGGAGUAUAUCUUCGAGUAUUACGAUUAUGGAGAGCUCAAGAAGGUCGCGUUAGCUGCGGCUCAGCUCACCGACAAUGCAUUGGCAUGGUGGGAUCGCACCGUAUUCAAACGACAGGAGGCGACAAGUCUUUGGCCCAAUUCAAACGUGGCACGACAUGAAAUACCUACUGCGGUUGAGGUAUGUGCCCGAACAUUAUCAUAGGGACUUACAAAAACAUUUUCGUAAGUUGACACAGGGCUCAAGGAGUGUUGAGGAGUAUUUCGAAGAGUUCGAGAAACUCAUGAACUCUUUGGAGUUAGAAGAGUCCGAGGAGGCUCUCAUGGCUCAGUUCGUUGAUGGCCUUCAAGAGAGAAUAACUCGGAAGGUGGAACGAAUUAAGUAUAGUGGCUUACAUGAGCUACUACAUCUUUCGGUGCAAGUGGAGCAACAAAAUCAAGAGAAAAUCAACUCUCUCAAACCGAGGCCGAAACAAUCAGCCUUGGAAAGCCAGCACCAGCAAACCCCUAGACAAAGGCAAAGCUAUAGAAAUUGAGUCUCGAUUCAAAGGCAAACCCACUGAGCCUCCAAAAUUAAACAAACCGGAACAAGGUAAGUUUCAAAACACUAGUCAAGCUAGAACCCGAGACAUUGUUUGUUUCAAAUGUCAGGGAUGAGGUCACUAUCAGCGAGACUGCCCCAACCAACGGGUCAUGAUCGUUACCCCGAGUGGAUAUGAAUCUCAAGAUGAAGUCGAGAUGGAGGUAAACAGCAAGGAGGAAGAUGUAGAGUACCCCGACACCGGAGAGUAUCUACUGGUGACCCGGAGGGUCCUGAGCGUUCAGGUGCAACCUGAAGAGACGGUCCAACGAGAGAAUUUGUUCCACACGCGUUGUACAAUCAAGAACAAGGUAUGUAAUCUAGUUAUAGAUGGUGGAUCUUGUACUAACGUGGCUAGUAAGUUCAUGGUGGACAGACUAGGUCUUGAAUAGACAAAGCACCCACGGCCCUACAAGCUACAAUGGCUUAAUGAUGCCACAGAGCUCAAGGUAACCGAGCAAGUCACCGUACCGUUCAGUGUUGGUAAGUACCGAGAUAAGGUGCUAUGUGAUGUGGUGCCAAUGCAAGCCGGACAUCUGUUACUAGGCCGACCUUGGCAAUUUGACAAGGCCACCCUACACAACGGCCGAACCUAUUACUAUAGCUUCACACAUAUGGACCGUAAGUUCAACUUAGCACCCUUAAGUCCAUCUGAAGUUCACGAGCUUCAAAGUAAGAUGGCUCAAGAGUCUAAGUCCUCUAAGUCUAGUUUAUAUAUUACUUAUGGAGGAUUAAACCGUGCUUUAAGUGCCAAUGACACUAUAUUACUAAUGUUUUACAAAGAAUGUCUAAGCGCAGAAUCAACAGAUAUGGAAAUCCCACCAGAGGUCAGCGCCUUAUUAGACAGGUACAAAGACAUGUUCCCUGAAGAGAUCCCUCCUGGCCUCCUACCUCUGCGAGGCAUAGAGCACCAGAUUGAUCUUGUUCCCGGAUCAGCGCUUCCCAACAAGGCCGCUUAUCGCAUGAACCCGCAAGAAACAAAGGAGUUGGAGAGACAAGUGCAAGAACUCAUGGACAAGGGGUACAUCAGGGAAUCACUUAGCCCAUGUGCUGUCCCUGUUCUACUGGUCCCCAAGAAAGAUGGCAGCUGGAGGAUGUGCGUUGAUUGUCGAGCCAUCAACAACAUAACCAUCAAGUAUCACCAUCCGAUCCCACGUUUAGACGACAUGCUUGACGAGUUAAGAUGAGCCACUAUCUUCUCCAAGAUAGAUUUAAAGAGUGGAUAUCACCAAAUGAGGAUGAAGGAAGGAGAUGAGUGGAAGACGGCCUUCAAAACCAAGCAAGGCCUAUACAAAUGGUUGGUGAUGCCAUUCGGCCUCACAAACGCACCGAGCACCUUUAUGAGGCUCAUGAACCAGGUUCUACGGCCUUAUAUUAGUAAAUUUGUUGUUGUCUACUUUGACGAUAUGAUGUGUCGUAUCAACUGUGUGAGGGAACAAGUUUUACCCUUAACAAAACAAAAGAAAGCUGGAAGUGCACAGCUAAUCAGUUCUAGUAUUUAGGGAUCGAAUCCACAGAGAUUUGUGUGCCUGGUAUUCUUCUACGGUUUUUAACUUUAUGUCUAGACUAAAUUGGUUUUAAAGGUUGGUUGUUUUUCUCGAAUUAAACUAAAGCAAAAGAAAGCAAAUAAAUCUAUCCUAAAAAGCAAGUAAAGAAAAUCGAAUGGAAUGCAAAUGGAAUAAGUAAAAUAUCGAACUAAACAAAUAUUUGGCAAGUAAAAUAUCGCAUGAAAGGUAAAUAAAGCAAGUAAAUAACGAACUAAGGAAAUUGAAAUGCAGGUCUAAGAAAACAAGUAAAAAUCGAUGGAAUUGUAAACUAUGGCUAAAAACGCUGAGCUUUUGGGAACUCUUAAGGGAUCAUAAUCGGUUUUAACACUAAGGUAGAUAGAUUGGGAUUGACAGAUAACGAUAUAUGGGUUCAAGAGCUAGAGUACGGCGGUAUGACUACGUCACUGUCGUGAUCAUAACCAACUGUUUCUCGCAACCCUGACCAGUAGGUUUCCACUCUGGCCCUGGAAGGGAGAGAACGCAAGAGCUGCACAAGACUCGUCAAUACUCACGAUCUCGCCGCAGGUAGGUUUCCACUCCUACGGAAAAUACGCCUGUUUCAUUCUAGGGCUGAUACUUAAUGAUAACUUUUGCAACACUAACUAUCUAGAUCAGAUACUAGGUGAUCAAUCAAGCAUACAUGCAAUAAGAACAAGAAUAAACAGAGAAUAGUUCGAAAUCCCAGAUCUAUAAACCUAGAUGUCUUAAUCGAUUAUGAGCCCCUUUCGGGAACCCUAAGCCCAACUCGGGAUCUACUCAGACAUGGCUGAGUUCGACAUCAUCAUUGGUUUUAAUAAAAGUAAUGAAAAACGGUAAAGAAAAGAGAUAAAGAAAGCUUCUCUAUUGAAGAACUCGGACUUGAACAAUCUUCUACAAAAAUCUCAUAAAAACGGCUAAAGGAAAAGGGUUUCUGUAAAGUAUGAAGGGUUCCCCCUAAAAACGAACUAAAUGACAUGUAUUUAUAGUCUCCAAUACUCCAUGGUCUCUAGGGUUCCGGAAUUGAGGCUGAGAAUGACUUUGAGCUUCAGAGAAGUGGGCUUUAACUCGGAGAUUGAUUGCCGCGGUCGGGAGUGUUGUGACCGCGGCAAUUGGCUUGUUGGCCGCGGUCAGGAAGCUUCUGACCACGGCAAAUAGCUUGUUGGCCGUGGUCGGGUGAGUUGCUGACCGACUUCGAAUGGCUCCGGGGCUAAUGAAAUAUCUUGAGAUCCAACCGUUGGAAUGUCUCCAAACCAAGUGCAUUUGAAAGCUGGUUGAUUCUUCUAUAAGUUGUCCAAUUUUGAGGGUGACCAGACGGUGAAAAGGUCUUCGUCUCUUCAUGAGAGUUCUGACGGUCUGCAUUUAUCCAAAAGAGUCUUUUUGUUCCAUUUUGUGCCUCUUUAUCCCAAAUUACCUGAAAAGUCUUUUAAAAUCCGGAAACAUAGAAAUCCUUUGAAAACCUUUGAAAAUGGAGUAAAAACACCUGUAAAAGAUAUUAAAAUGAUCCAUAAAAAUGGUCAAAAUCUGGUGUUAUCAACUCCUCCAGACUUAGUCUUUUGUUUGUCCUCAAACAAAACAAAGGCUAAAUCUCGGCGAGAGGUUUGAAAACGCAGGAACUAAACAAAAUCUCAGAGACCAAACUUCUAGACCCAUAUCAAUCAGUAUGCAUCAAUCGGGAAUAGCCUAGAAAAUUCUCACUAGCAAUACAGGCAUAACUAGUCCGUUAAUCCGUCAUGCAGAAAUCUAUGCACUAGGAUCUAACUUCCAGUCAACUAGCUCUUAACAUUCAUUAAAAAUCUCGGUGGUUCUCAUCAAAGAAAAUCUAGGCAAGGCGAUCUAGGCUAGGUGUCAAGAACGAUUAUUUUGGGGGGUAAGGUUUAAAGUGUUUACGGGUUACCUGAAGAUCUGGAGGAUGCAGGAUAUUAUGCAAAACCGCAAGAGAGAGUGAAGCUGUUGGUAUCCACAGUUUUCAGUCACUUUCUUCUUGACAUAGAUUCAUGGUCUUCUUCCUCAAGUUCUCUCCAAACUCCCCCAGACUUAGAUUUUUGUAAAUCUUUCAAAACAAUAUCUCCUUAAACGAAUAGUGGUUGCUCAUUGCUCCAAAAAUUUUGACAAUCUAAGACUCAUUAGGCUUUUUGUUUCCCUUUCUCUUUUCACGUUUUUUUUUUUUUUUAAAGAAAGGGAACAUCUUUAGAUAUAGAGUCUUAGAGAGUACGAAUUUACCAGUUAAUAUCUGUCUUGUAAAGCUUUAUUAUGUUUCUGAUACUCUUCCUUCCCAAUUCCAUUCAGUCUCCUUUGUGAGUGACUGAAAACUGCGUCGCUCCUCUUCUCUCCGACGUUUUUGCACAUAUCUGCUGAUAUAAACUAAAGAGAGAAUGCAUGAGGAUUGAAAACAAGGGUUUUGGGUUUAGGGUAUGGUACCAGAUAAAGAUAAACUGGUCAUCUAGGACGACAAAUAGUGGUAAAAGUGAUGGUAAAAGACGUCCUAGAUGUGUAUGUCGAUGCCUGCCUAAAAUCAAUGAUGAGAAAAUUAGAUAUCAAUAUUAAGUCCAAAUAAAACGAGCUAGUAUAUCCUGUCAGAAAGAAUCUCCAUGAAUAGAAGUACUCUGGUGGGAGUUCGUAGUGCAAGUACUCUAGCUACCGCCUAGUCUAGUGAUAACCACAAAUGAGCUAUCAUGCAUAGUGUAGAAGUGUGCAGGUCUAAAUCAUCAUAGUUUUGCGUCAAACAUUCUUGAAAAAUACUUAAUGUCGAGUAGGUUACAUAUUAAAAUUUAAAAAGUACUUGAAUUUAAAAGCAAAGCAGGGAAAUGAUUAGUACGGAUAGACAUCUUCCCCCAGACUUAAAUCACACUGUCCCCAAUAUGAAAAAGUUGGUGAGAAGAUGGUGAAUGAAAGCAAAAUAAAAUAAAAUAAGAUAAAAGAAAAGAAAAUGAUGAUAGAACCGUGAUGGUAGUGAAGUGCUGAUCAAUCACUCAUCCUCCGAAGUGUCGUCUGUGAAAUGGUGCUGCUCCUGUAAGAAGGUGACAACGCGCUCAAAGCGUCGUCCCUGUCUCUCAACUCUGCGCUCGAGAUCGGAAUGAGUGUGUGAUAUGUAGAUGAUGAGGUGUGACAAGUCGAAAUAGAUGGCUGAAAAUGAUCACAGGCUGCAGCUGCAUCACGCUUCGCCUUGGCCACUAUGUAUUGGCCAAUGGUGAAUGGUAGACGAGGUACAGAUGGCAGAAAAUCAUCGGAUACCGGAGUCCAUCGUGGGCGUCCUCCGUUGCACAAUCUCGGGAUAGAUGCUGAAGGUAAGUGGACUCGAUGCUCCUCGGUUCCAGUGCAAUACUUGUAACCAAACCUGUCUGGAUCGAAAGCGGCACGAGAGAUAGUGUGAUCGCGAGAGAGAUAAAGUAGAUCAUACCAGACAUCGGGAAGUGGAUCAUCAGAUGAGAAAUCAAAUCCUACAGCCUGUAGUAUCGCUGUAAUAGCACUCCCGAAAGCUGGAGUAACGUCCUCGCAACCAUGUAAAUCAUGCUUCACCUUCACCAUAUUCUGCGCUAUGAUCCAUGCGAAGCAGGCAAGUCGUGGAUCAUCCAUAAACGGAAUCUGAAGUGUGAUGAGCUCAGUCUUCAAAACACUUCCCAUGUUGGCUCUAGAGAAGAUCGUGUGUGCUAAGAGUUUGUGCACAACUCUCACUGCUGGGUGGCUAAGAAGGGCAGACUUCGAUCUCCCACUAUCAUAGGUUCCAUGACCCAUCUCUCUCCACAGGUUAAGAUCAGGUUCAUCUUCAAGGUAAAUGCCAUCAGUGUAUGGAAGCUUAAGAGCUUCACAAACCUCGGAAAUGGUGAGAGAAUAAGGCUGUCCGCGGAUAGAGAAUGACAAGAUGCCGUCUGAUGUUCUGGGGUUCCUCCUCUUCGUGUGGUGGAGUGUAUGGUCGCUAAAAGCUCACGAACUAGCUCAGGAUAAGUCGGAAGGUUCAGCUCCAUGUAGGGUCUCCGCUUAAGUACAUCGAUGUACCAGAUCACAUCCUCUCUGAUUCCAAGCAUCUCGAGUGUAUGAUAAUCAAUGCAAGGCGUGGGUUUGAUGUUCAGCUUCUUGAAACGCCUUGCAUAGUCCACUCUCGGGUUUGUCUCUCUCCCAAUGUAUCGAAUCUGUGGUGGCUCGGGAGGUGUUCGUGUUUCUCUUGAGUGCUGGAGCAAUCUCAUCACAUAGCUUCUUCUUCUCGGUCUGGCUUGGUUCAGCAUGUACUCUCCUAGAGUAGCAUCAUCGGGAAUGUCCUCGGAGCUGCCACCAGUUCGACGGCUCCUUCGGGAUCUGGUUUCGUCCAUUUUCUGCAAAAUGAAAUGAUUCUUGGAAAAAGAGUGAAUAUGGAUGCUGAUUUUAACACAUUAAGAUUUGUUACACCAAUACUAGCAUAAAAAGAUUAAUUAAAACCAUGAGCAAGCAAAAUUGAUAUUGAAUCAGAGAAAUCAAGUAGUUCAUGACUAAAUUCGGAUUUUUGAUGUUCUUAACAUAGAAAUCUUCUAAAAAUCGGUUUUGAUGAGAAAUUUCCAUGUAAAUUCUAAAGAUUACCCAAUACUAAUCACUAAUCACACAAGACUAAAUCAAAUUCAUCAAUUUUGCUGUUCCAAAUUUGAUUUUUAUUAAGCAUGUAGAAUCCAAAUUUCAAAAAUCUCAAUUUCUCUUAAGCUAGGUGCUAAAAUCGAUUUUUAGAUAACCUAAAUGGAUAAUCUAUCAUUCUUAAGCUAUUUCCACCAUCAAUAGACCAAGAUUUUGGGUUUUUAAAGAAAACCCUAAGUUCAAAAUCGAGUAAGAAUGGUGAGUUUGAGGUUCAUACCUUGCUGGAAAGAGAGAAUUGAUGGCAGAAUUGAAAUCAGCUUUGAAAAAGAGUGAUGUUUGAGCCAAAAAUCUCUUAAAAAACUUAAGAAUUGAAAAAUGUUAUCUUUCUCGUAAAUCUCUAAGUUUUUGGAAGAGAAGAGAAGAAAGAGUUUUGAUCCAAAAAGUUUGUUUCUUUUCUUUAAAAAGCGUUUUUGAAGCAAAAACAGAAAAUUUCUGGAAAUUUUUAAGUUUACGGGAACUUACCUUUUCUUGUUUGCACAUUAGGAAAGUUUAAAACUUACGGAGGAUCUUUUCUGGUUUUACCGGGAACAUUUGGGGAAACACCGGGAAAUACCGAAAAACGGCAGAAAUCCGCGGUAUCACCUCAACGACCAACGGCCGCGGUCAGGAGACGCGCGACCGCGGUGAUUGAGGGCUUGGCCGCGGUCACGUUCACGGUGCCGCGGUUAACGCACCCUUGGCCGCGGGUCGAACGGUCGCGAUCGCGGUCCUUCCUCCUGCGGCCUAUAGUCCAAUCUUCUCGUCUUUGCCGGGCCGAGCAGCUAAAAACCUACCUUUUCUUCUUGGUUUUUCUAAUUUUGUGAUUUUUUUGUGUUUUUGUUUCAUAACAUACCUAAAACUUAAAAAGAAAAAGAAAGCAUAAAUUGUAAAAAAGGAAAAGAAAACUAAAAGAAAGAGUACCUAAAUGGGUUGCCUCCCAUUAAGCGCUUUUGUUUUAAGUCGUUUAGCUCGACGUAAGCAUGAGGAAUCAGGCUGAUUUAAAUGGCACUCCACUUGAUAUGCCUUUAUCACUUCCGGUUGCUGGAGGUUUUACUUCUUCUCCUUGAGGAGAAGUCUUCUUACCUUUACUCUUCUUUCGGACUUUAAUGUUGUUCAGAACCCUUUUUGUGUUUUCGAUCAGCUCCUGGAUUUGGUCCUCACUAGUUUCUGUUGCAUCUGGUGGAAUGAUGAUCUUGAUCUUUGCAAAAGCUUUCGGCUUCUCCUUUUCUUUCUCUUUUGGCCUGUUCCCUUUACUUGGAAAUUCAUCUAAGAUAGUAGGAUAGUACAUUUUUCGGUCCACAUUGAGGAAAACAGCAUGCCGGUUUGCGUGAUCGAUUAUUGCUCCUACUGUAGCUAGGAAUGGUCUCCCGAAAAUGAGUGGCCUCUCCUUGUCUUUAUCCAUCUCCAGGACUUAGAAAUCUGCUGGAACAAUCUUAUCUCCCACUAGAACUUGUAGAUCAUGAAUCGCCCCUUCAGUAUCUUUUUGAGAUGAAUCUCCAAAAAUAACUUUAACCGUCGAUGUCCUUAAGGUUUUUAUGCCCAAUUUUUUGGCAAAUGCCUUAGACAUGAUGUUGACAUUGGCUCCGGAAUCGCACAAGCAGUCUGUAAACUUGAUUCCUGAAAUGAAACACUGGAAAACAAAACGUCCCGGAUCAUCGGCUUUGGUAAGCCUUUGAAACGGUGAUCGUUCAGGUACCUUAAACGGUGGCUGCUUGGGAUCGAUAUCCUUGUACAGUGGUACAAAGAUUGGGGUUUCUUCUUUCUUUCCAUCGGUUCCGGCCUCUUCUUCGAGCAAUGUGGUUAUGGCAUUGCAAAACUUCUUAGGGUUAUCUUCAACCCUUCCUGGAAGAACUCCACUUUGCCUCUUCAUAGAGUCGGCUGUUUGGGCGACUUGCACAUCUAACUUUUUUACGUGCGAAGAUAAAGAUUCAAACUUACCAUUCAGAUCAUUGUACAUGCAGUCCACUUUCACGUUCACGUCUUUAGAUGCUUUUUCGUUCGUCAUAACGAGCUGUUGGAUUGACUGUUCAAGUCUACCGAUUUGUGAAGCUAGCUGGUUCGUUGUGACUCCCUGCUGUUGUACAAAUUGAUUGUUAAAACCCGUACCUUGGUAGUUAUAUGGCUGUCGCGGUUGAUAUGGUACUAUUCCUCCAAAUUUUCCACCUUGAAACUUGUUUUGGAAGGAUUUUUGCUGAGGUGGGUAGUACUGAUCUUGAGGAUUCUCCACAUUUGGAUUGCGGUAAGAGAGAUUGUUGUAAUUUGUAUUCCGGAAGUUGUUGUUGAAGUUGUUGUUGGAGCGAUUUUGGUAUGGCACCAGUGCUCCUACGUAGUUCACAUCUUCUUCUUGAAAUGCUUGAUUAAUGUGAUCGAUAUCACUAGGUCCUUCAUCUUCUGCGCCAUUGUUGGUUUCACAAGCAUGGAUUGGGCGAUUGUUGCUCUUCAGAAACUGGCUCACCAUGUUCUUCAACUCGGUUAUCUCCUUGUUGUCUGUUCCGGCUUGCUUCAUCGAUCGAUCGUAUUCAGGACAGUCAUUGCUAUUUGCUUGAGCCAAAUUUUCGAUGAGAGCUCUUCCUUGGGUUAUCGUCUUUUGCCCAAAAUCUCCAUUGCUAGCUGUAUCAAGUGAAAGUUUGUAUUUUGGUUGCAAACCUCAGUAAAAUGUGCUCAGCAGGCUUGAUCCAUGAAAUCCAUGGUGAGGGCAAUCACGUUCAUACUCCUUAAAACGUUCCCAAGCUUCAUAGAAAGAUUCAGUUGGCCCUUGUUGAAAGGUUGAGAUUUUCGUUCUCAAAUUGUUCGACCUUGACUUAGUGUAGAAGUGGUUCAGGAAAGCAGUUCUACAUUCUUCCCAAUUGGUAAUCGAUCCUGCAGGCAAAGACUUCAACCAACGGUGAGCUUAAUCUGCUAAUGAAAAAGGGAACAACUUACACUUUAAAUAGUUAGGUGGAACUUGGUUUGUUCUCAUCAUGCUGCAAAUUUCUUCAAAAAGCUCGAUAUGGUCCACUGGGUGCUCAGAAGGAACUCCAUGGAACUGGUUUUGCUUCACCAAUGAGAUGAUUUGUGGCUUGACUUCAAACUCAUUCCGGUUUGGAAAUGGUACUUGAAUCGCAGAUCCAUUCUGAAAAUUUUGAGUAGGUGCAGUAAAAUCAGAUAUGCGAUGGUUCCUGGCUUGUCCUCGGUGUUGAUUUGCUGGCGGAAUGGGGCGGUGAAUGCGUUCAUUUGGCUGCAUUGCUGGGUGGUCACCAUCGGCUGCAUUGAUGGGUGGAUCAAGGUCUUCACGUCAUUCUCUCUCUCGGUUCUGGUGGUUUCUUGGAAGAACCUCAUCCUCCUCUCCAUCUUGUCGAGCAUGAUCACCUUCUAUGUGAUCAUUCUCUUCGUUUUCUCCAUGUUCGGACCCGUCUUGGUCCAUAUUUAAAUUUCGAUUAAUAGGAUCUCCAGGCUGGUCGUCGUUGGCCAUUCCUUGCGUUCGUCUAAGUCUUCGAAGUUCUCUUUCGUGUCUGUCUAUCUCGUCUAGAAUUGGAAUGUCUCCUGCAGGUCUACUCCUGGUAUUCAUGCAAUUCAGAGAAAGACAAAAGAAGGGAAAUAUAGUUCAGAAAAACUUUAAAAAAGAACUAGAGAUCAGGUGUCUAGAACAGAAGUUAAAACAAGAAAAAUAGCAAAAGGCAGCGAAACAAAUCCCCGGCAACGGCGCCAAAAACUUGAUGUGUCGUAUCAACUGUGUGAGGGAACAAGUUUUACCCUUAACAAAAUAAAAGAAAGCCGCAAGUGCACAGCUAAUCAGUUGUAGUAUUUAGGGAUCGAAUCCACAGAGAUUUGUGUGCCUGGUAUUCUUCUACGGUUUUUAACUUUAUGUCUAGACUAAAUUGGUUUUAAAGGUUGGUUGUUUUUCUCGAAUUAAACUAAAGCAAAAGAAAGCAAAUAAAUAUAUCCUAAAAAGCAAGUAAAGAAAAUCGAAUGGAAUGCAAAUGGAAUAAGUAAAAUAUCGAACUAAACAAAAAUAAGGCAAGUAAAAUAUCGCAUGAAAGGUAAAUAAAGCAAGUAAAUAACGAACUAAGGAAAUUGAAAUGCAGGUCUAAGAAAACAAGUAAAAAUCGAUGGAAUUGUAAACUAUGGCUAAAAACGCUGAGCUUUUGGGAACUCUUAAGGGAUCAUAAUCGGUUUUAACACUAAGGUAGAUAGAUUGGGCAUGACAGAUAACGAUAUAUGGGUUCUAGAGCUAGAGUACGGCGGUAUGACUACGUCACUGUCGUGAUCAUAACCAACUGUUUCUCGCAACCCUGACCAGUAGGUUUCCACUCUGGCCCUAGAAGGGAGAGAACGCAAGAGCUGCACAAGACUCGUCAAUACUCACGAUCUUGCCGCAGGUAGGUUUCCACUCAUACGGAAAAAUCGCCUAUUUCAUUCUAGGGCUGAUACUUAAUGAAAACUUUCGCAACACUAACUAUCUAGAUCAGAUACUAGGUGAUCAAUCAAGCAUACAUGCAAUAAGAACAAGAAUAAACAAAGAACAGGUCAAAAUCCCAGAUCUAUAAACCUAGAUGUCUUAAUCGAUUAUGAGAGACCCUUUCGGGAACCCUAAGCCCAACUCGGGAUCUACUCAGACAUGGCUGAGUUCGACAUCAUCAUUGGUUUUAAUAAAAGUAAUGAAAAACGGUAAAGAAAAGAGAUAAAGAAAGCUUCUCUAUUGAAGAACUCGGACUUAAACAAUCUUCUACAAAAAUCUCAUAAAAACGGCUAAAGGAAAAGGGUUUCUGUAAAGUAUGAAGGGUUCCCCCUAAAAACAACCUAAAUGACAUGUAUUUAUAGUCUCCAAUACUCCAUGGUCUCUAGGGUUCCGGAAUUGAGGCUGAGAAUGACUUUGGGCUUCAGAUAAGUGGGCUUUAACAAGAAGAUUGAUUGCCGCGAUUGGGAGUGUUGUGACCGCGGAAAUUGGCUUGUUGGCCGCGGUCGGGAAGCUUCUGACCGCGGCAAAUAGCUUGUUCGCCGCGGUCGGGUGAGUUGCUGACCGACUUCGAAUGGCUCCGGGGCUAAUGAAAUAUCUUGAGAUCCAACCGUUGGAAUGUCUCCAAACCAAGUGCAUUUGAAAGCUGGUUAAUUCUUCUAUAAGUUGUCCAAUUUUGAGGGUGAUCAGACGGUGAGAAGGUCUUCGUCUCUCCAUGAGAGUUCUGACGGUCUGCAUUUAUCCAAAAGAGUCUUUUUGUUCCAUUUUGUGCCUCUUUAUCCCAAAUUACCUGAAAAGUCUUUUAAAAUCCGGAAACAUAGAAAUCUUUUGAAAACCUUUGAAAAUGGAGUAAAAACACCUGUAAAAGAUAUUAAAAUGAUCCAUAAAAAUGGUCAAAAUCCGGUGUUAUCACGAUAUACUCAUUUACAGUAAAGGUCCAUCCGAUCAUUUAAAUCAUCUUGAACUCGUUCUAAAUACACUUCGAAAGGAAGGACUUUAUGCCAACCUAAAGAAGUGCGCCUUUUGUACUGAUAAACUUGUUUUCUUAGGCUUUGUAGUGAGCAGUGAAGGGCUACAAGUUGAUGAGGAAAAGAUCAGAGCCAUACAAGAGUGGCAUACGCCCACCACCAUCGGGCACGUGAGAAGCUUUCACGUCUUAGCCAGCUUCUACAGGCGGUUUGUUCGAGAUUUCAGCACAAUAUUAGCACCCCUAACAGCCGUUAUCAAGAAGAACGUUCCAUUUGCUUGGGGAGCAGCUCAAGAGAGGGCUUUCAAUACCCUCAAGAAAAGACUUACGUGAGCACCGGUCUUGGCAUUGCCCGACUUUGACGAAAUGUUCGAAGUGGAGUGCGACGCCUCCGGACUGGGCAUAGGAGCUGUCUUGCAUCAAAGGAAGAGACCCGUGGUGUUUUUCAGUGAGAAGCUCAGUGGAGCUACCCUCAACUAUCCCACAUAUGACAAGGAGCUUUAUGCUCUUGUGCGGGCCCUCGAGACAUGGCAGCAUUACUUAUUGUCUAAGGAGUUCAUAAUACAUACCAAUCAUGAAACACUGAAGCACUUAAGAGGGCAGACAUCCUUGAAGAGGAGAAAUGCCAAAUGGUUGGAGUUCAUUGUGACGUUUACAUACGUCAUCAAAUAUAAGAAGGGCAAGGAAAAUGUGGUGGCAGAUGCACUUUCUCGGAGGCAUGCAUUGAUCUCCACAAUGGAGGCCAAGGUCUUCGGAUUUGAGCACAUCAAGGCUCAAUACCAAGACGACCCUGAGCUCGGAGAAUACUAUCAAGAGUGCCUUAAGGGACCCUACGGUUCGUUUUACUUACACGAUGGAUUCCUUUUUAUCUAUAAGCGUUUGUGUAUUCCGCAGGGAUCCAUGAGAGACAUGGUGCUUAGUGAAGCACAUGGAGGAGGACUAAUGGGGCACUUCGGAGUGGAUAAUACUCUAGCCGUAAUGAUGGACCAUUUCUAUUGGCCGCACCCAAAGAAAGAUGUGGAACGGUUCUGCGCCAAGUGUGUGCAAUAUCACAAGGCCAAAUCCAGGUUACACCCUCACGGUCUUUAUAUGCCAUUACCUAUACCUAACGCCCCUUAGGUAGACAUUUCAAUGGACUUUGUCUUAGGGUUGCCCAAGAUUCGACACAAGGACUCUAUCUUUGUAGUUCUUGAUCGUUUUUCAAAGAUGGCCCAAUUCAUACCAUGUGAGAAGACCAAAGAUGCGACUCAAAUCGCGAACCUGUUCUUCAAAGAGGUAGUACGCCUACAUGGGAUCCCAAGAACCAUCAUCUCUGAUCGCGACACCAAGUUUCUAAGUCAUUUUUGGAGAACUUUGUGGAGGAAGCUAGGUACAAAGCUCCUUUUCUCCACUACUUGUCAUCCUCAAACGGAUGGACAAACUGAAGUGGUAAACCGUACUCUUUCCAUUUUACUUUGAGCAGCCCUUUGGCGUAAUAUGAAAACUUGGCUAGAUUGUAUACCAUUUGUAGAAUUUGCUUAUAACCGCGUGAGGCGCUCAGCUACUAAGCUGUCACAUUUCGAGGUUGUUUAUGGUACUAACCCUUUGUCUCCAGUAGAUUUAAGACCUAUAGCACAGGUAGAACCAAAAAACUUAGACGGCCUACGAAGAGGCGAGUUGUUCAAGAAGCUUUAUGAGACGGCUCGCGACAACAUUGAGAAAAAGACCGAUGGCUACAAGAAAGCCGCAGACAAAGGACGAAAGGAAGUCACCUUUGAACCAGGAGAUUGGGUGUGGUUGCACAUGAGGCCUGAAAGAUUCCCUAAUCAACGUGCCUCCAAGCUCGCACCAAGAGGAGACGGACUGUUCAAAGUUUUAAGCAAAAUCAAUGACAAUGCCUACCGUCUUGAUUUGCCAGGUGAGUUUAACAUUUCUCACACUUUCAACGUCGCUGAUCUGUCUUAUUUUGAUGCAGGUGAAGAAGUUUUGGGGUCAAAACCUUUUGAACACUACAAAAAAAUUGAGUUAUUGUGACAAAAUUUUGAUACAAAAAUUAUUAGUCACAAAUUUGUUACAUUUUAGAUACAAUAUCGUGACUAAUUUUCUUUGUCACAAAUAAGUAGCAUUUACGUCACAAUCUUGUGACGUUUUAAAAUUGUAACCAAUUUUUGUCACAAUGAAUGACAAAAUUGUGACAAAAAUAAUUAUCGUAAUAAUGAUGACAGUACUAUGACCAAAUAUGUUGUCAUAAUUUUGUUACGAAGUUGUGAAUGAAUGUAUAGUCUCCAUUUAUAACAACAUAGUAACUAAACGCAACUUAUAAUUUUGUUCGAAUUGAAUACAAAAAAUAUCGUAAUCAAUUGCAACCUAAAAACGGUAACAAAUUUGUGGUAUUUUAAUUACUUUAUAGAAGUUUUACUCAGUCAUAAUUAUUUAUGUAAUAGCUACAAAACUACUUUAGAAUUAUUUUGUUUACACAUUAAACAUAAACAAAUUUUUACAUAUACAAUAUAUAUAUUUAAAUAAUAUAAAUUAUAUUUACAUUAGCCAAUUGGUCUAAGGAAUAAAUUUAAUAUUCACGAUUCAAAAACGGUAUCAGAACAUGACAAAAUUGCUGCUCGAUUCCUUUUUGUUUAAGAAUAAAGUCUUUUUUUUGUUCCUUCACAUCUCUUCCGUCGACCUAUUUCUUCUCUGUGAAAACAGGAGUGAAGAUUAUCCUUGAAAACCUUGUUCUCAUUCAGGAAAACUAGUGUUAUCGAUACUCUGUUUUUCAUUCACGAAAACAGGACAAUUCGGUUACUCGCUUUGGCUCCUUGCUCUAAUUAAUCACGUCAAACACAGAAGCUUUGGCUCCUUGUGUUAUUAUAUUGGAGCCAGUCAAUGAUACAUAUUAUAUUGGAGCCAGUCCAUGAUUCUAUUGUUGAUAGUAAAGUAUGUAAAUGGAACAUCCAAAGUAAUCAAUCACCAACCAUACAUAUUAUAUUGGAGCCAGUCCAUGAUACUAUUGUGAUUAUGACCCUAUUUUGGAUAAUUCUUACCAAAUUCUUCUGUCCCAUGAAUUGAGUAUUCGAAUAAUGUAUGCGCUUACAGUUAUAAACGUUAAUUUAUUCCAAAAAUUAAUGAAACAAUUGUGUGAUAUGUCAUAUACUUUCCAGUCAAAGUUCAUAGUCAUGUAUGUAUGACAAUAAUAUGUUGUAACUUGUUCAAUUCGGUGAUGUGAUAGCAAAAUCUAGCAAAUAUAAAAUCGGGCAUAUUAAUAUCAUAUAUUAAUUAAGAUGUCGACUGCGAGAAAAUUAGAUGAUGCCUAAAUCAAUGCCACAUGUUAUUUAGCAUGCAAGAGAUAUUGAAUUAUUGAUGCAUAUAUGAAGGUUUGGGAAACUUUUUCUAAAAACCGAACGAUUGUUCCUACUUUUUCUCUCUCGCGAAAACCCUAGUUGACUAUCAGAUCUGAUCUCCGAGCAUCUCUGUUGCUAGCCGGCGAUGUGAGAGGACAUCGAUAAAAGUAGACCUUCAUCUCCGAGAGAAAGUGUUUUCGAGGUUUUCUACUGUUUUCUCUCCGGCGGUGCUGAGGGGUGGUGUAAUCGUGGCGGAGAGGCAUUGCGUUGCGGUCGCGGACACUUACGACGAGACGGUUCUGAACAGACAAGGCUUUUGUGAAGAGAUGGACGAGCCGCUUGGUGGAAUCGCCGUAAGGAGAAGAGUUUGCCGAGAGGAUCGAGAGCAAGUUCUGAGCGGCGGAGAAGUUUGACUGAGAGACAAAAUCCCCAGCGGUGAAAAGAAGACGACGGAGGUGAUGUGAGGCGGAGGUUGCGGCGGAGGAUCAGGCGAGGCAUAACGGAGAAGGUGGAGUUCUCGGUGGUGGUGGUGGCAUCAUCGGAGGAGGAGCUAGAGGAUUUGAAGGAAGCAAGUAUUUGAAAAGAUUGAAAUAUGCUUUUGGUUCAUAUGAUAGAUUCGUUUUCUCUCUCGAUCAAAUGAGUCAUUUUUAAUGGGUAAUAAUAAAUAUUAUUUCUCUUUAUCUGAAGGUAUAUUGCUUGGAUUAUUAUAAAUAAAUUCUCUGGUGCUCCGAUGCUGCUAGAGGAAGGCAGCGAGAGCUAGGAGGAGGUUAAUUGGGGGUUGAAGAAGAAGCUGCAGCAGCGGAAAUCGGCGUGGCGGUUCGGUGGGUGGGCAUCGCUAGGCGAUUUCUUCAUUAGGUUAAUGUGUAGCCGGUUCAACUUUUGUCUCGAUUAUUCUUUUUGUAAACCAACUCCAAUUUUCGGUUUGGGACGAAACAAUAUAAUAUAAAUUAAAAAUAAUAAUAAAAAUUAAUUAUUUCUUUUUCAUGUUAUCACUUAUAUGAUUUGUGACUAAGUUUUGUCGAAAGAAGCAACAAAAUUGAAAUAGUCCAGUAGUCACACUAUAUGAUGGUUUUGUGACAAUAUUUUUAGUCUGUUACGGUUAGGAAUAUGCAACGACACUUUAGUCAUUAUUUGUUACAAUUUGCAACUAAAAUUCUGUCAAAACUAAUGACAGAUUUAGGACAUUAUACAUGUAGCAAAAUGUGAUAAUUUUGAGACAUUUUUAUAGUCUCUAAUUGAUACGAUUUUUUUACUAUUAGUUUUCGUCGUCAUUAAUGACAAUAUAGAUACGAGAGAUAUUCGUCACAAAUGAUGUGACGGUUUUGCUACGAAAAUAAGUUUGUGACGACUUUAUUGUGAUUGUUCAAAAAGCGUCAAAAUACCGUCACAAUAAUUUUAUUGCUACGAAAUUGUGAUUAUUGUGACGAAAUUUUUUGUAACAAUACUCUUUUUUUCUUGUAGUGGAAGAGGGAGGGAAUGAUGUGGACAUCGACCCUACCGCAUCAAACAUCGAGAGACACAUGCCGGAGGUCCAAGACGGGGCCAUGACUCGGUCCUAAAUCAAACAAAUGAGGAAUAAAUACAAGAAGGUGUUACACGUCUUUAUAAACUCACUGGACCCAAACAACCCCCUGUUACCAGAUUUACAAGUCAUACACGGUUUAAACGACCUUUGCGGCCAAAUCGGGCCCGAGAACAUGACUCAAGGAGAAGUCACACCAGACCAUCGAUUCCCACAAGGCCAAUGUAACAUCCCUCGACCAACUUUUCAUUUAAAAGCUAACAGUCCGAGCAGAAUUCCUUUUACAGGCUUAAAACCUGAAGAAAUCGGAGAUAGCCCAAAAAUAUCCGAUGCGCGAGAAUUUUUAGCCGAUACGCGAGAACUUUUAUCUGAGAAAAUGGAGCCUCAACGGCUAGACCACCCUGACGACAAAAUCGACCGUCCUGGAGCUGACAUUCCUUGACCAAAAUCAUCCCCUGAAGCCAACGCUCGAGACAGAAUUGAAUUCCAACGAGCAGAACAGGAGAUUGCCGAUGCCACACUCGUUUUAGCCGAGAAAUGCCAUGCAACACAGGCCGAGCCACCAGACGACCUAGAAAUGACCAACAAAGGUAAUUUCUCUCAACCAAGUGCAUAUUAUAAGACUAAUGCACGUGGAAUCCUCGCAGGCGAACGUGCAGAAUUGGAGUUGCUUCACAACACACCAAGUGGACGCGAUAACGAGCUAACCCGAGGCCGAGCGACUAGCCAUACAAGAAGCAACGGUCAUAGAGCUUAAGGGACAUGAAGAUCAAGAUUCUCCGGGACUAGAAGACGCCUCAAGCGACCCAAGCCACAGCAGGCCAAGGCAGGACACUUCAAUGAACGAUGAGGCCGCACACGAUACCAACGAGCCGCGCCACCCAAAGUUAGUAUUUCAAUUAUUUCAUUGUGCUUACAGGAGGAGCCAACAUCUCCAGCGACUUAGUGUCAGAGUUAAACGACUCAAGUCGUGUAGUUUAAGUCUUUUAUUUCAAACUUUCCAUUUCUGUAAUAAAUGAAACGAUGAGCUUUGUUUCUUAAACUAGGUUUGUUUUCUUUGAGUUUUAUUUACUUAGUCCUGUCGUUUUGAGUCCAGAGUCGAACCCUAGAAGGUUCAAGCUGACGAACCAGUUUAUAAGGUUCCUUUGCAGCAUUGUAGUCCGCAGACUUUUCCCCAUAUCAAUAAAAUAUCGAACUUUCUUCAAAGUUUACCCGAGAAGCGAUUUCUCUUUGUUCUUGGUUUGUUUGUGCGAUUCAAGCAAGCUUUGAGCCUUCACCGUAUCAGAGACUCACCAUCAUUAUGUGUUGUGAACUCACGCCGCCAUCACAUCCCGUUUAGAUCCCACACAAGGGGGCGACCGCGUGCGUGUCAGAUCAUUCCAUCAUCGACCAUUAACCGAGCUAAGGAGAGGGCGACCGCCUGUCUUAGUUCCCACCCGUAUCCUCAGUGUGAUAGCCACCACCGGUUCUUACAUCAUAAAGAGGUGUGAUCGCAUGGUAUCUUGUUCUCCCAUAUAAGUCAGACAGAAUCGGUAGAGGUGACUCCACAGAACCAUCAUCUUCCCGAUCAAGACUUGACUUAAGCAGAUGAGUAGUCGACAAAAAAAAAACUACUUUACCUGUUCAGUCAAUAAAUCACUGUACUAUAUUAUUAUUAACAUUUACGGGAAUAUAUGCUGCGCUCUUCACGCCAUUAUGUUUUGAAUUGACAUUUUAUGAAAACCCUAAUUAUAACUCUAUAAAUGAAGAAGUUGCAGCAACAAUUUUAUCACACUGAUAUUUCUCUCUUAUUUUACUUUGUUGUAUGUCUUCCCAUGGGUAUGUCUUCACAUGGACAUGUGUGUCAUUGUAGCAAUGUUUUGAUAGUAUGAAAUUUGUCAUUUGUAACAACGUAUUCAUUCUGUCAAUACUGCAUCAAAAUAUCAAUGAACAUUUAAGUACUUCUAAUGUUUUGAUCCAUAUGUAUCAUAUAUUGAUUUAUACAAUUUUUUAUAGAAAAUAUAUGCGGAUAAAAGUAAUUAUGUAUAUAUGUACACAAUCUCAACCAGAAUACAUAUAUACCAUUAAUAAAAGUCUAUUUCAUUAUAGGAAAUAUUCCAUACGUAUAAAAGAUCUCUGUUACCAUAAUUAUUUCUGUUAGUAUCUUAAUUUUUAUUAAAUAAUUAAUUCAAAUGAUAUACAAGAUUUUGAAUAUUCUUUGAUUCCCAAUCUUUCAGUUUCCUAAUAUCUAUCAUAUCUGUUCACAUUACAAAGAAAACCUUAACACAUUCAAUAUUUCAUUCUACAUAUAUAUAUGGUUUUCCUUCCCUUAGACACGCUUAUUCAUAACAAAAAAAAAUCUCUGUUAACAAUGAAAUGACGCUUCUUAUAGACAAAGUUUCUGAUUAAAAUCGUUUUACAACAGAAUGGACUGUUAGGUUUAAGCUACUUAAGAAGUGGAAGCAGUACACCAGACAUCAUAGGAUUAUUUUUGAUAUGAAUCUGGUAGACAUAAAAGUAUAGUGAUAUCUCUAAAUUUUGUUAAUACCAGAAAUUUGAAUUUCAACUAAUUUUUUUAUUUUUAUUUUUUACCUUACAAGGUCAUACAAUCCAGGUCAGAGUAACAAGGAAAUUCAUCCGAAAUGAUGAGAACAUACCAAGGGAUCAUGGUUUGAAACUGAAGAUUUAACAGUCAUUCAAACAUAAUUUAGAGAUACCAUUCAAUCAUACAACAAAAUUAUUCAAUUCAUUGUCUCUACAACAAUUAAAACACUUAACAAUGUUGAGGGUAUGUAUCUUAAUUGUUGAAUAAAGUUUUAUUUUCAUAAGAUAUAAAUAACUAAUAAUUAUGUCAAUGAUAUAUUACUUAUAUGUAGUUAGAAGAAUGUGUUUCAAUGGCAGGAGGUGCAGCUUAUAUUAUUAGCCUUUCAAGGUACGUCUUAUUCUUUUAUAUUUUUUUGAUUACAUAGAUAUAUAAAAUAAAUUAAGGAAAUUUAAAAUUAUUUUUUCUUAACAGUAUAUUUGUUAUACUAUGCAUGAUUAUCAAUUAGAAGACUUAAGCAUCAUGAAGAAAUAAUUUACAUAUUAUCAUAUGUCUUUUGUCAUAAAGAAUUAUCUACUUCUUUGACAUAGGAUUUAUUUGUUAUUUAAGAUCUAAUUAUUUCAUUUAAGCUUUCUACGAAUAUUUUUAGAUGUACUUUUUCUUUAUCAACUUAUAAAGUAAUCUUUUUACCAUCGACUUAUGUUAAGUUAAAUUUACAGAGUAGCAUAACAAUGUAGUUGCCAAUUAGAUGAUUAUAUAGAAUAAAUAUUAUUUUCAUUUAAUUUUACCUUACUAUUUAGCUGCCAAGUACCAUAUUUUUUAUCUUAUAUGGCCCCAAAACUUAUUUUAUAAACCGAAUAUCAAAAACAAAGCAGAGAUGAACACUAUAUACCUCAAAAACAUAAGAAACCGUUCUAGAAUUGGGCGACUAUUCUUUCGUUAAUCAACUUUAUGCAUGGAGAAAUGAUUGGGAUAUCAAGGUCAAAGGUUACAAACAUUGGCAGAAAAUAAGACUCCCAAAGAUUAUCUGGCCUGAACUUCAUAUUUGUUGACGAAAAUGUAUGUUUUCUGCAUUCUAUAUGUUUCUUUCCUUCGUCACAUUAUUUCUGUAGGGUUGCAGGAUCAACGGCUUUGCUUAAAACAUGACCCUAUCCUACUUUGACUGGUCUGUCUAAAAGGAAAAUGGGUGGAGAUGUCUAAUUUCUGUUUGAUUAAUUCAGAUUGAGAAGUCUUAGGAAUCACUACUAGACACGCAGAUCAAAUCAUCUUUAAAGAAAAAAUAAUGGUUGGACCUCUCAGACCACUGACAGAAGAUCCAUUCAUAUACUUCGUAGAAUUCACUAACAUUUAUAGAAAACCAUAUGCGCAGUACUAUCUUGUUGGUAAUUUUCUACUUAUAACAUAUAUAAAUUGAUAGUCAUAUGUGUUGUAUUAAUAUAACUUUGUUUAGAAAUACAAUACAUAUUCAUAUCUAUGCACUUAGUUUUAGUAUAUAUAAUCUUUAACUAUGUAAACAGAUUUGAUGGGUGUUCUUGAAACUGCUGGCAAUCUCUACACAAUGUGCUAUCCCGAUGGAUAAACUGUGCGAGCUCUCAAGUUUACCAUUCAAGAUUCAGUGUCCGUAUAUACUUAUUUGUUUGUAUCUAAUACGAAGUUUUACUAUAUCUUACUCAUAUGUAAUUUAAACAUAUACCUUCAACUGCUUUUCAUGGGUUCUUUGCUGUUGGCAUCAAAGAAAGAUGUAAAGGACUGAAAGGUCUAUUAGCUAUAUGCAUUUUAACUGACUGGACGGUAAAGAAAAUCUAGGUAUGUUAACCAAAUUAAUUUUUCUUUGUACUCAUUCUUAAUGAUUCAUUGUUAAUAUCAAUUUCUAAUUGUUUAUUUUAACUAUGUGUAGAGAAAUUGUCAAUCCAUGAACAUGAAAAUGUUCGUUUUUCCCGCUUUCUCAUUGCUCCACCAAUUGAUGAUGUUGCAAAGUUGCAGAACAAGUUAGUAAGCCAUAAAUUUAUUGUAUCUUUUCUAAUCAUAAUGCUUAAUCUUUUGAUGCUCACUGAUAUAUUGCAGUUUCUAAUUUGCAAAAUUCUGAAAAGGGUCAUGAAUUCGUCUGAAACUGCUGGACCUUCGACUAUGAGGGAUGGAUAAAGAUGAAUCUAACAUUGUUAAGGAUUUCAUAUUUUAGUUAUCAAGUUUAAGGAGUGAUGUCCUCCUAUUUUCGAUGUCUUGAAACUUAUUUUAAUUUCUGCUAUGCUUUAUUUUAACCUAAUGGAUUAAUAUCAACAUUUGCUUUUUAUAAUUCAAUAAAAUUAGACAGAUUUCAGAUUAAAACUCUGUUCAAACCAUUCUUCUAAUAAUGGGAAUAUGUUGAAGUUUAAAGUUGGAUUCAUAUCCAAUUACCCAAAUAGUUUAUACGUUUCCUGUUUCCAAAUAAUUGGUAUACAACAAUGUUGUAUAUCUUCUUUAACGCUUUACUUUUCUAAUAUGUUGGUUUCCAUGGGACUUAUAUUACCCGAUCUAUUAGUAAUGAUUAAUAAUUCCUCAAAUUCUAAAUUUUUACAUGUUUUCCUAUUGGGGCAAUUAUAUUUAUAGGACAAAAAACUGUAGUAUUGUCUCCUUAAGACUUUUUCAAAUUUGGCCACUUUUGGACAUAAGUACUCCUUUUUAGAAUUACGAAAAUUUUAAAAAAAAUAGUUUUACAGUCUAAAAAAUUUUGGAAAAAUCAAAAAGGGAAUUACAAAGACAUUCCGUAACAUAAUAUUUUAAAAAAAAAAUUAAAACAUUUGUUUUACAAAUAUUUUCCAAAUUAGUAGAAAGUACAUUCUAUAAAUCUAUAAAUUAUAGAAUAGGCUUUCUACUAUUUCAUUAGUUUUCUACUAAAAAUAUAGAAUUAGUUUUCUACAUUUCUUCUAUGUUCUACAAAGAUAUGAAACCGUAUUCUAUAAAUUUACCAUUAUUCUACAGUUUGUAGAAUUAUAUUUCUAUAGUUCACUCUUUGUUCUACAUCUUAGUAGAAUUGCAUUUCUACGGAAACUCUUUGUUCUACAACUUAGUAGAAUUGCAUUUCUACGGAAACUCUUUGUUCUAGAAUUAUAGAAUACCUAUUCUACAAUUCGGUCAAAUGAAUUUCCGAAAAUCUAGGAGCAGAUCUAGAGAAUAUAUUACUUUCCUUUUCAUAAUAUUUAAUUUCCUAAUUAAUUUUUUAAAACUUUUUUUUCAAUUUACAGAAUUCUGUCGCCAAUUUUUUUCUUCUCCUCCUCACCUAGCGUUUUUUCUCCUCCUUCAACCUACAAACUUUUACGUUUUCUUCAUAAUUUUUACGUCUUCUCCUUGUUUUUUCGUACCAACUACCUUAAACUAUGUUACAAAUCUACGUAACAUAUGGAUUAUGGACUUCUGGUUUGAAGAGAGAGUGGGAUUUUAUUGUCGAUGAAGAGAAAGGAGGAAGAUUGAUAACGCUGGAAUCGAGUACAAGUUUUGAGGAGUUAAAAAUGAUGGUGCAUGAGGACUAUGGUAUCGUCGAUCAGCAUGUUCAAAUCAGUUAUCUACCUAGUGAUUUGACUGAUAAAUCAGGGUUUCCCCCAGUCAUUAUCACAAAUGACCGUCAAGUUAAAAAUUUUGUUGGAUAUGCAAAAAAAACCCUUCCGUUCGGCUCUGUGUGACACUGACAGGUCCAUCUGCAAUUAGAAGCGAACUUGUCAACAUUGAUUUGAAUAAAGAGCCAUCUGACUCAGGCAGCGAUGAGAAACGGCAGGAAAAAACUGAAGCUUUAGUCUUACAACGACAAAAUGAUGGCUGCACAACAGGUGCUCGUAAGUUAGAAGGUCUUGGCGAGGAUGGUGAAGAUAUUUUGUUUGGUGAGGAGGAAGAAAAAAUUCACUCAGAAUCUCGGUGUUGGUUGGUAGACGCUGUCAAGAAGGGGCAACUUUUCAAAAGAAAAAACUAUUUGAAAGCGACAUUGGAAAUAUGUGCAAUGCAGCACAACUUUGAUUAUGAUGUGAAGAAAUCGACAAAAAAAAUCUGGUCAAUACGCUACAAAGAUAGAGUGUGCAACUGGAGCGUUCGUGCAGAAUGUUUAGAAGGCUCAACCUAUUUCAAAAUAAACAAGUAUGUUGCUGAACAUACAUGUGCUCCAUCGAAAAAAACAAAAAUCGGUAGAACAGCUUCAACGAAAACAAUUGGACUACAGAUUAUGCAUAGGUCUGAAGGUGUUAAAGAAGGGCCAAUACCUCGGGAAAUCAUGGAAUUUAUGCGAACUGAGUAUGGAUGCGAGAUCUCCUACCAACAUGCUUGGAAUGCGCGUGAAUAUGCAGUUAGUGUUGCUAGAGGAAUUCCAGAAAAAGGUUAUGGCAAAAUUCCCAAAUAUUUGCACAUGUCGAAACAAGCUAAUCCAGGUACGCAUACUCAUUUCGAAACUGAUUCCGAUAAUAGAUUCAAAUAUCUAUUAAUUGCUUUCGGCCAGUCGAUUAGAGGUUUCUAUAGAGCCAUGCGUAGGGUUAUUGUUGUUGAUGGCACGUUUUUGAAAAGCAAAUGCAAAGGUGUGCUGCUUGUUGCUACAGCUUUAGAUGGUGUCUCCAGCUUGUAUCCAAUAGCAUUUGGGGUUGUUGAUUCUGAGAAUGAUCGUUCUUGGGAGUGGUUUUUCAGGCAGCUAUUGGUCAUUAGAGCUGAUGGGCAUGGUGUAGCUUUUGUGUUAGAUAGAAAUUUGUCUGUUACUAAAGCACUUGCUAGAGUUUAUCCGCACUCUUCACAUGGAAUUUGCAUACAUCAUUUGUUGAGUAAUGUGGCAUCCCAUUUCAAGACAAAGGGUUUGGUUGGUUUAAUUGUAAAAACGUCUAAAGAAUAUAGGGUUUCUGAAUUUGAGAGGCGAUUCAAUGAUAUUCGCAAUAUUAGUCAGCUCGUUGCAAAAUACUUGAUGGAGGCUGGUGUGGAAAAGUGGGCGCGAUGUAGGUUUUCUGGAUUCAGAUAUGACAUUCGAACCACUAACCCAGCUGAGUCGCUGAAUUCUGUUCUGUUAGCACCCAGAGAGUUUCCUGUCAUUCCUUUGUUAGACAGCAUCAGAGAAAUGUUAACCAAAUGGUUUUAUGAUCGAAGAAGAGUAAGCUCAAAGCAUAAUGCCCCAUUAACUAUUGAGACCGAAAAAAAAAUUGACAGGAGGAUUGAGAAGGGUAAAUCACUUUGAGUUCAUCCAGUUAGCUUGAAUCGAUUUUUGGUUAGAGGAGACAAAUUCGAUUGUGUAGUUGACUUGAAGCUAAGGACGUGUACUUGUGGGAAGUACACACUGUUAAAAAUCCCUUGCAGACAUGCCAUCAAAGCUGGUUUUUCGGUGAACAAGGAACCACACACACUUACUGAUCCAAGGUUUACUAUAGCAAUCUUAAUCUCCUUUUACAAUAUUCGAUUUUUUUCUCUUACAUUUAAAAUACAUUGCAUUCUAGGUAUACCACUGCCGUAUAGAGAAUAGCUUAUGAAGAAAGCAUUAAUCCAAUAGCCGUUCCCGAGGAUGCAUGAGUCGUCCCAUUGGACAUUGAAAAUUUCAAAGUUCUUGCACCAGAAACAUGGAGAGCAGCUGGUAGACGACGCAAGCGAAGAUAUGAGACGGUGGAAGAUGUAAUACGUAAUUCACAGGGAUCACAGCGGACUAAAAAACAUUAGUGUAGUCGUUGUGGUUUGGAAGGACACAAGAGAGGGACAUGUGACAUGCCUAUCUAGGCAUCUCUUUUUAGUUUUUGGACGUGUUUGCAUUUCUUUUCUCUAGUUGUUUGAACUGGUUGACAUUGUUGUUUUUAGAAUUCUAUUUGCAAUACAGUUUACCAUUUCCAUUUUAAAACCAUCAAGUGCAUUUACGUUGAAAAAAGUACUCAUGUAGAUUUAAAGAAGUAAACAAAACUUGGCUCAAAGGUGCAACAUUAUUCAUCACCAAUUAUUCCGUAAUGGACACCAAAAUUCCAAAAAGAUGACAGCAUUCACCUAGUAGGCAAAGUACCAAACAAAACCACAAACAAAAAAAUCUCACAGAUGAAAAGUUGUUUUCUCGCUGAUGCCUUCAUACAUUCUAACUGAUGCUCCAAAUUCUGAUUUUUCUCCACAAUCUUCUGAACCUUCUCCAUUAUGAUCUUCUCUGUACUGACGAUUCUUUUCAUGUCCUCAAAUAACAUCAACUGAUUCUCCGAAAGAAUAUUUAAUUCUUCCAAAUGUGCUUCGUCAGCCCAUUUGAAAACAUAACUGUAGUCUCCUUGUUUUGCGACCAAGCAUUUGUAGAACUUUCGAUUUGUAUUUGGGUAAUUACGUACCGGUGUAUGUAGCCAACUCCUAAAACUGAUAAUCCGAUACAAUAUGUCACAUACAACUUUCACAAGACAACAUAGAUAUUACAUUUCAAACAACAUAGAUAUUACAUUUUAAAUAAUUGUUCAGUUAUAGAUAUAACAAUACGAAGGAAAUCCCAAAACCAGAAUUAUAUUUGGUAGACUAGUAAAUCAUCGCUUAGAGUUUCUUGUCUUUCGUAUCCGGUACACUUCCUGGCGUAAAAAAUCGUUUAGGCAAGUCAUAUCCAAUCCUGCGAAUAAGAAAUACAAGAUUACGGAAAUGAGUAGCUAUCUUCAUACAUACAACAUCACAUAAACAAGAUUAAUGAACGUGUCAUCUCUUUAUUUCUGUGAAGACAGCAUAUAUGGGAAGGCACACCGUGUGAGCUUUGGAGUUUCAAAGCACACUAGCAAUCAAAGACAAUGAUGAAAACGAAAAAGAUGGUAACAGCCAAAAAAAAACUUUCAUCACGAGUUAACAAAGAAGUUCCCUUGUAUUUUUAAAGCUGUUUUAAGAAAACAAAGAAGUUCAAACCAACCAUAGACCACCAUGACGACAUAAAAGAAAAUAAGAUUCCUAAUGCAGAUUCUUAGUUGGGGCUGAUAAACAGUUUACAAAGCACCAAGAUUCUGCAUUGAUCAACAAACACAAUAUAACAGCUGAGAACCUGAGAAACAACCUAUGUAUAGAGACUGGUAAAAAGCUAAUAAACAACUUCAUAGUAACACAGUACUCAGAAACAAAUGAAACUCAAGUAAUAUCAACAACAGCAACAACAAAUCCAACGAUGAUCCUUGUAGAAAAAAAGAAAAAAAAAACACUAUGAGAUACCAAACAAGUGAUAUCUUGUUUUGAAUGGUGUUGCUAGGACAUUGCUAAAAAGCUAACGUAUAUAGAGUAUCAGUCAUGUGAAGAGAUAGGAUUUUUUCAAAAAAAAGUCGAUAUUGUUUUUCAAUGAUGUAAAAAACGAAAGCAACUUAGAAGAACCUUCCAGGACCAAUUCCAAAGCGGCGCUGUCUCACAGUCACUGGUCUUACUUCAGCUACACUACCGUAGACUGAAAAUAAAACAAUAAGAGAUGUCAAUUCAUGCUUUAGAAUGAAGAAAAUACAGUGAAACAGCAUUAUUAUUCUGAGGGGAAAACAAAAGCAAACAAAAAACAAAACAAAAAAAAAAUGCUCAAGUCUUUCAAAGACAUACAAUUUGAUUAUCGCUUAUUCAAUUCUAAAGUCUAAGUGCCAUUAUCCUAGGAAAAAUGACCAAAAACAAAUAAAAAGUAGAAGAAGUCGAAAAAAACAAGAUUUUAAAAGAGUCUCUACGUGAUUGGAAUAAUCUACAUGAUGCAAUUAAUGAUGAAAGACAUAGAAAAAUGCAAUAGAAUGAAACAGAAAAGUUAAUAAGAUAAAAAAGGAGGAAGAACAAUGGAUCUGGGGAAGAAUCCCCAUCUCCAUCGCCUAACCCUAGAAAAACAAAGUUUGGUGGCUCAAAAUCUCAGUACAAGAGCACACACCCGUUUAGGGCUGCUAAACAAUGUAUUUAUAGGUCCUAAAGUCUUCCAGGUCUCAUUUAGGGCUUCUCUGAAGAGGAAUGGCGAAGUAGGCUUUGGUGUUGGGCCUUGUGGCUCGUCCUAAGGUCCACCGGGGGUGAGAGUCUUCCAGGGCAGGUAAAACAUGUGUCCCGCGGGUGAGAGUCUUCUGGGACUGGUGAACAGGGUCAACUUGUUCUCCAUGUAUCUUUUGAUUGCACCGUUGGAUCUUUGUGAUGUAAAGUGCUAUGGAAAGCUGGUUGUCUCCUCUUGAUUGUCUCCAAAUUUGGGCUGGAUCGAACGGUGAGAAAGUCUUCAUUUUAGGAUGAACUUCUGACGGUCUGAUUAUGAGCUAAAAAUGUGGAUUUCUUCUAUUUUGCCAUCAUAUUCCCUAAGUUUCCUGAAAAGAACCUUGAAACUACAAAUACAUGGAAAUCAUAAUAAAAGUUCCUAAAACAGAAUAAAACCUUUGAAAAAGCAUUUGAAAUCAAUACUGGAAAGUGGUCAAAAUCAGGUGUUAUCAACUCCCUCAGAUUUAAGACUUUGUUUGUCCUCAAACAAAAUAAGAUCUAAUCUGGAAAAAUAUCAGCAACCAUACUUGUAGACCUUAAUAAUUAUGGAAAAUGCAUCAAUCAGAUCAAGUCUAGAAAAUUCUCACCAAAAUACAAACAUAACUAGUCCGUUAAUCCGUCAUGCAAAAUUCUACACACUUAGAACUAACUUUCAGUCAACUAGCUGAUGCGGACAUCAACCCAUCAAGACGUCUCAUGGUGAUCUCAACACUUGGAAGAAUUAGGUGCAACGGACAUGAGAGUCUAGCUAAGGGUAAAGGAGAGACAAUCUCCCUUGUUGAACAAGUUAAUGGCGAAGGGGAGACGACUGUCAUUAACUUGUUCUCUCUAGACUCCUAUCCCAUCACCAAUAAGCCAUUAGAUCACUCAAUCUUAACCGGACCAAACCAAAGAGGAGGCAACCAAUCUAUUGAAGAUACUGUUUAACCCAAAAAGAGCCACGAGCAUUGUCCAGGUCAAAUGAAGUCCAAUAACAAGUGUUCCAGACCAACUGCCACUUGGAUCACAUUCUUAGCUCAACCAGAGCACGCCUCGAAGUGGAAUCAGUCCAAUUGGAGUUCAGAUGAAGGAGAUAUUGAGUUUAUAAAUCGGGAAAUCCUCUACUUACCCGAUUUGGACAUAUGCGCCUUAGUUGGAGAAUUCCGACUAAAUCAGGAGGAAUUAAGCUAUCAACCGACUUGUUCUGGAAUCUUGAUUCAUCAGAGAAUCACAGAGAAUUUGAUUCAGACCGAGAUCGAUUCUGUUAGGAGAUAUCCAAAUUCUAACCCGAUGGAUCCUCCACUUGCCUUAUUUGCAACCUUCUAGGUUUUGGAGUCUUCAGACAUAUCUUUGGCGACCAGGAGACAUUCUAACUCAACCAGAGGCUCUACUAGGCGUCCUUACUUCCACCAAAACGCAUAGGAUCAAUUCGAGAUGCACAUGGACUGAGCUUCCUUAUUUAGAUCCAAGUGCAUUCAACAUGUUCACACUUGGUGUCAUAACUCUCCAAUGGCUAUAUCCUUGCUGCUUCUACGACUUGAGCACACAUUCAGCGAACCUGGACGUCCCAAGACAUCACUUCUAUGCACCCAAGUUGUCAAGACUCAAGCUCAGCUCCAUUUACCUUAUUUGGCCGAGAUUUGGUCAUUAUGACUUAAACGGCUAGUUUGCAUUUAGUUUGUGAUUUCUUUCUUGCUUUAGCUUUUUAGAACGUUGGUUUAGACUUGUGUAGAGCAUUAUAUAAGCUCAUCUUUGUCUUCAUUGUAAAUCACCAUUCAAUCUUAAUUAAUAAAGCAUUUUCGUUUUCUUCAAAGAGAGUUCUUUGUAAGAGUUGUUUCUUUUGAAUAUUGUGUGUGAUUCACAUUGUUCAUUAGAAUUUUUGGAUUAAACUAUUUGUGUGAUUCAAGUAGUUUGUUCCAUCACCUGAUAGAGAUAGUCUAUCAUCAUCAGAUUGAGUGAAUCAAUCAAAUCCACCACCUUCCAUCCUACCUUCAUAUCCACUUCCGCACAAAGCUUGUUAGCUUUUCAUUAUCAAGAGAUCUCCUAAGCAUCGGUGUGAUUCCGUACCUACAUCAUCUGUUAUCAGAACUCAAGUUCCUACCAAGGUGCUUUUGUUAUUAUCUUUUGCUUUUUGUUAUUUCAGUUUUUGUUUCAUUAUAAAAUUAAAAACCCAUAAAAAUUUGUUUCGAUUCUGUUUUCAUUGUUUUGUUAUCUGAUUUCUUUUCUAGACUCACAAAAAAAAAAUCUCUUGUUUUGAAAUAUUCUAUGCUUGCUUUGAUUCUAAAAACCAGAAAAUAAAAAUAAGAAUUUUUCCUUUUGUUAUUUGCAUUUUCGAAUUAUUUUCACAAAAAAAACAAUCAUAUAUCUUUCUUUUCUGUUAGUUGCUUUUGAUAUUUGAAUUCUCAUAGCUUCCUUAAAAAAAAUAAAAAUAAUAAUAAUAAAUUAGAAUUUUCUCUUUUGUUUUAUUGAAUUUUCGUAAUUUUUGUAGUCAAAAUUGUUGUCCUUGUGAUCUUUUUUUUUAUUAUUCAGUUUUGUAAUAUUUCCCUUAAUACAAAAAAAAAUCAUAAAAAAAAUUUUGCUUUGCUUAUUUUAGUUAUCGAGAUCUUCCGUUUUUAAAAGAAAGAAAACCAAAUAAAAAGUUAACUAUUUCUUCUGAAUUUUGUCCCAAAAAAAAAUAAAUAAAUAAAUAAAAUAAUCUGUUUUCCUUUUUCUUGUUAGUCGAAUUAGUUUGUUUCCAUUUACUUGGUCGUGUCUUCAAUAUUGCAAAUAUUUAUUUUUGUCGACCACUGAGUCACGCUUCUGAUUAUCUCUUGUCUCUCUCUUGCGAGGUACAACUUGAAAGCCAGAAAAUUAUGGAGUAUGAAGAUGAAGCCAACAAAUACAACACAUCAGAAAUUGAUUGGGGUGAGGAACCGUAUGAUUCAUGGGAAGGAGGAGGAGCAUACAAAGACCAGUCAUGCUAUGGAGAAACUGAUUCUUAUAUUAGUUAUGGAAGUGCCCCAGCAUGUGAAGAAGAAGACUCACAGAUCGAAGACGCUGCUUCCCAAAUCAGUCAUGGAGAUGAAUAUGAGAAUUCUGAAAGAGAUGACCAUGACGGAGAUUCAUGGCAGGGAGAGACUGAAUCCCAGCUCAGUCAAGGAGAGGGGGACCACGAAAGUGUGCAAGAUCAUAGAGAGUUCACUUAUGCAGGAGAUCAUGAUCAGUUCAUAGAACAAUACCAAAAACGUUGGUAUGAAGAAACUGAUUCUCAAAUCAGUUCAGAAGAUGGUGAUCCAUAUGGUGAUGAGCCUUGGAACGUAGGAGCUGAUCCAAAAGAAGGUAAUGUUGAUAAAUUGGAGAUUGAAGAACAGGUUCAAGAACCAAAUAAAGCAAACAUCAACUACACCGUGGAAGAUGAGUCUUGUGGUGAGCCAACAGAUGAUGAAGCAGCUUGUGAGCCACGCCACAUCUACUUUUCAGGUCAUGAUCAAGGACCAGAAGCUUACCUACAAUGGGAGAACGAAAUGGAAUAUUGGAUGCAGUCCAACAACAUUCCUAAGGAGGAGAGACUAUCAUAUGCAAUUGACUCAUUUGUUGGAGAAGCUACCACAUGGUGGCGACAGGAAGAAGCUCUGAACUACUACCAUAAUCCAGUUCGCAGUUGGGGUGAUCUAAAGCAGCGUAUGUACAGAGAGUUCGUACAGAAGUUCCACAACCGCAACUACACUCCCAAGAAGCUUUUGUUCCAAGCAACUACAAAAGGUUGGAUAUCAAAACCACCGCUUGUCCCUAAGCACAAGCACGCCUACUGUCCUGAGCCAAAGAAAGUGUUUCAAAACACUUUGGAGAAGAAGUCAAAUGCUGAGAAACCAGUGGUAACUACAGAAGUUAAACCAAAUUCAAACCCACCACUCACAGCUCACAAGGGAAGCACAAAAUCGACACUUGAGCCACAAGACAAAGCAAAGCAACGUAAGUCUUCUAAAACUCUUAUGAUAGAUACCACAAUCUGUUAUAGAUGUCAUCAGAGAGGACAUUUUGCUAAGACAUGCCCAUCUAGAGAAUUAGAAAUUAGUUCAUCAGUUGAACCAGAAAAAGAAGAAGCUAGAAAAAUAGAAAAAGAUGAGUUGCAUUUUAAAAUUUCCACUUCAGAUAUGAUUUGCUUGUCUUUGCCAAAGGUUUUUGCUGCAGGUUUAAAUCAUGGAGAGCAGCACUAUGAAGAGAUAGAUACGUGUCAGCCUACUCCUGAGAAAGAUGAAGUUGUUACCAACUUCACUCUGAUCCAACCAGAGCCACCAGAUAACAUGUUAACUCCAAAUGUCGUGGCAAUAAAGGAAACAGAACUAAACAAUAGUUCUACUCAGGUAAGUAGCACAGAUCUCUCACUUAUUUCUGAUAAUUCUAAGUCUGUGAUAAUGAAUAUUUUAUAUCCAGAGACAUGUGAGAAAGAACCCAUCUCUUAUUUUAAACAACAAAACUGUGAAGAACAUGAUGCUUUGCAAAAAGUUAACAAAAUGGUUAAAACUAGAUCAUGUUUCUGUGUUUCUUGUACUACCAUGACUGCCAUAACGCACUUGUCUUCUGUCAAAAGUGUCAAAGAUCUUGCAGGUACAGAAGAGAUGUUACAAAAAUCCAAACCGCCAAGCUUUAGUGGAGACACACCACGUGAAUAUGAAGUUUUCACCAAGACGACUACGUUGCUGCCAAAGGAAAUCAACAACAAACCUUGGAGAGGAGUCAUUGCCUCUUUACUGAUCAAAGAAGAACCACCAGACAUUCCACACCAAUCCCACCUGAACCGAAAUGGAGAAAUGAUCCAAGGUAAGUUUCUAGACUCA
rnacentral:lncRNA from 1 species